CCAUGGGUUUCAAACUUAGUGGUUUUAUUUUGGACCACAUAUUUAUUUUUACAUUAUCUUUAUUUUUUACUUAAAAAUAAUGACCACAUAUUUUCCUUACAUGCACUUAUUCUACACUAUGCAUGAGAGGGGAACCAUAUCAGAUUUUUAAGGCAAAAAACCCUAGCUAUCUCUCACUUCUGAUCUCUCUAAACUUAGAGAGAUCACCCGCAUUCUCUAAAAUUGGAGACUCUUAUUUCUCUCUAUCUCACGCCUGUCAACCCCCCCUCCCUUUCUCGCCGGCCAACCGUCGGAUUUGACUACCGGUGGGUCUGGUCGGCCACCACUGCUACCACCUCACCUCCCUGCUCACAUCUCUCUCACUUCUCUCUCUGUUGCGACGAACUCACUGAAAAUCGGUGAACUUGCACAUGGCAUUUCAGAUCUAACAAGAUCUGGCUAUAAUUGAUGUUAAAUCUGGCGACCUCUAUGAAACUAACACCGCUUGACCGAAGAACAUUUUUUGAUAAUCUUUUGAAUGUUGAGGCGUCGUUCCGAUACUUUUGCCGUUGAAGCGGCGUCAUUGACUCUAGAACUCUCUAGAUCUGGCCAUUUGUCCAUUUUAUGCUAGUUGCCUGAAUUUUAGUUACCAGAACCUUGUUUUCAGUGACCCUCACAUUUUUCGGCGAGCUUCACCAGCGGACGACGCCAUUGUUUCUUUUGGUACUAUUCGGGUGUUUGUUUUCCCUAUUGUUAUGGUCGAUGGCUCCUGUCUCGGUAUUAUUGGACUUCGUCCCUAUGAUGUUGGUUUUUAUGUUGGUUGGACUCUUGAUUUUUUUCGGCAAUCUCUUUGGUCGCUAUUUUGUGUUAUUGUUUAUGUUCAUGGAUGUUAAUGUUUUAAUUCUUUUGGUUGACUUAUCUUUAUGGUGAUGGAUGUUGUCGGCUUUAACUCCACUGUGGCUCCCUCUACUAGCCGAAAAUUCGUUGAUGAUUUUAAGACUAUUUGCCUCUUUAAUAAUAGUAUCUUUGUUUAGGCUCAGUUAUUUCUUGUCCACGUUGUCGAUGCUGUUGUGCGGAUGCUUUAACAGUAUUCAUGUCGUGGAUUUUGUUGUGAUAUGCUCGAUGGGAAUACUUUUUAGAGGUACGAUGCCCCGAAUGACUCUCAGAUUUGGCCUGAAAUAACGAGCCGAUGGUGAUAAACAUCGAAAAGGAAAAAGAUGAGAAUUUGACGAACCAAUAGCCCUUCGAAAAUACGACACAAUUAGCUAUCUAGUCGCAACCAAGGCGGUUAUCGUUAUCAUGUCUAGUCGGAUAUUACAUAUAUCUGAGCCUCCUAUAUUAUUUUUCUAAACUAUUUUCCAAUAAAUAAACAAUUUUCCAAAAGCAUUUUCAAACUAUUUUCAAAAACAAUCUUUCAAAAAUAUUUUCAAAUAAAAUCAUUUCAAAAUAAAUUAGUUUAUUAUUUACUUUAUAUUUUACUAAUAAUUUCCCUUCUUUUGUCUUGCGAGGUACUAUCACACGAGGUUGCUUUCGGAAGAUGAUACCCGAAGACGAAAAGACAAAUCCCCGUCAAGCCUCCCAUUUCGUAACUUCCCUUCUUAGAUGUACAAAACGCAAGUACAGUGAAACCGUAGAUAGAUAUCAUAUUUGCUAGUUUACUUGAUGUUUACAUAUUUGCCAACACUUCGGUUGUGUUGCAUCUAGUUAAUAAUCCGGUCAACUUAAGAUAUUAUGUGCUAGAUAAUUUUGCGAAACUUGUACGCAGAUUUAGUAUGUCAGAUAUAUUUAUAACUCAUUUGAUUAAUUAGGAUUAGUGUACACCUAGUUAAUUAAUUGAGUUAAUAAAAUGAAAGGCGUGUCAUUUCCUUGUCAAAAUAGGCGACUUUACCUCUUUACAACUGCAUUAACAUGAUCUUUCUUUUAACCAAUCUCUUUGUAAAUUAUUUUUGACUAUCUUACUUCAAAUAGACAUAACUUGUAAAAGCAUAAAUGAGUCUACCAUAUGUAGGAUUAAUUCAACUAUUGCAUACACAUGGGUCUAACUUGAUGACAAUGUUCUUUAUGGGCUUUUAUGAUAUUUUGUACAGGGUUGGUAAUACUCUUAGCCUCUUUAUAUAUUUGUUAUCUACAUAUGCAUUUUAUAUUUACUUAUCUGUUCAUUCAAUUCUUUUGAACCAAGCUCUAGUUGCUUUCUUGUAUGGUCUUAAUUUUCUUUUGUUAUAAAAAUCAAUAUUCCUUUAUACUCAUACACUCUUGACAAAACGUUUUACGUUUUAUUCUUUAUAUAUUUAGUCAAGUAUUUUAGUCAAGUAUUUUAGUCAAUUACAAAACACUUACUCAUUUUUGAAGAUAAUUUUCUCCAUUAUUUAUUUAUUUUUUACAGAUUUUCUUGUAUAUUUAAUACAACUCAUUGUAGUAAUUAUUUGACUUUAAUCAUAAAAUAACUUCUUCAAGUUUAUUCAAACUCUUUUAGAACGUUUCACUUGUUGAUAUACAUUACUUAUAUUUGAUUUAAUUACUCCAUUGUUAUAUGUAAGAUUUAUGUGGAUAAUUUCCUUUUUAUACUCCCCUAUUCAUGACAACUUUCCCUACUUUAGUCGAUCAUUUCUUUAAGCUAAUUGCUAAUUGUUUUAUUUAAAAUAAUUCUUUACCAUUUUAUUAUAUGCGUUCAAUUAAGAUCAAUCUUGUACAGUCAAAUCACUCGACGUUAAUUGUAAAUUGGGAUCUCCUUUAUACCUUAUUUAGAACCCAAUUCUUUCUAUCGAACUCCGAAAACGAUUUUUUUUUGUUCAUUAAUUUACUUUGCAUAUCUUACUGUAUAUAUUUUACCACAAAUGAAAUGAUCAUACUUUGAAUAUUUAUCCACCUCAUGACAUUGCAUUGGCUACUCUUUGAUAGGAAUUCUUUUUGAAAUAACUAAUCAUUCUUUUCAACCUUCCCUCCCUUAUUUGAUCGAGUCAACCAGAACUAUAUUUUUGUGGAUAUUGAGGGAUGCCUAACAACUUUCCCUCGAGAUAACUUGAACCCUUACCUAUAAUCUCAACAGUUUCGCAGAGUACUAUAAGUUGUAAUUUAUUUCGUCUUGUGUAAAAUAGGGUGCAACAACAUGGCGACUCUACUGGGGAUACUUCAGUUUCUAAUCACAGCGGACUUGAUCAAUUACUUGAGGGAUUACAGGUUCUCUGAUACUCCAACUUCUAUUCUUUCUGUCACAUGCUUCAACUCAUAUAUUCACUGCUUCAAGUUUUAUACUCUUUGUUUCAAGCUGUAUAUUCAUUGCUUUAAGUUGCAUAUUCUUUGUUUCAAGUUGUAUAUUCUUCAUCGCAUGCUUAAAGUAGUCUAUUCUUUGUCAUCCGCUUCAAGCAGUAUAUUUUGUUAUGCGCUUCAAGCGGUAUAUUAUUGUUAUGCGCUUCAAGCAGUAUAUUCUUGUUGUGCAUUUCAAGCGGUAUAUUCUUUGUCAUAUGCUUUAAGUGGUAUAUUCUCUGUCAUCUGUAUCAGGCGGCGUAUUCUCUGUCAUGCUCAUGUUGUAUAUGCUCCCCACAUAUCUAAGUUGUAUAUUCUUGUUUAUCCUAAAAAAUGGAGAAAAAUUAAAUUUAUUAGUGGUUUUAAGGAUACGUGGAUUUAUUCAAUACAAACGGUAAAGAAUGCUAGAAUAAACAGAUAAGAGAUGUAAUAAAUUAUCAUACCUCUUGAAAAUAAAGGGGGGUGAUUCUGGACUCGAGGGCAACCUCAAUGAAUAAUCAGACCCCCCUUUAUAUAGUAAGGGAGUCCUACUCUAGGUACAAUUCUAUAAAAGGCAAAAAAUCUUCCGUUUAACUAAUCAUCGAAUUUCCGCCGGUACGUGCCAAGAUCCACGUCGCGAUACCCAGCUGGUCAGGGAUAUCACGACCUCCCGUUAAUCAUGUUCGGUUGCCCAAUAAUGCUCUCUGAAUUCUUUUAAGAUUUGGACCGAUACCAGGGUCACGGCCCCGAUAUUCUUGAGGGCGGGCAUCGUGCUCCCAGAACCUGUGUCAAUGAGUCCCUUACCUCGAUUUCGGCUCCUUGUCAUCACGUCCCUUACUCAAUUUAUUUUAUCAAAAAUCGGGCUGUUUUAUGAGUCCGAUUUCACCCGUAUACAGAUAGUCCCCUCGUUUCUCGGAGAGUAAGUUUUACGGAAACGACGAGGAAUGACAUGAGUUCUUCGAUCUCUUCUCCAACACGCUGCGACACGAAAUGAUAAAGAAACCGCAAUGUCCCAUCAGAAGCGUCAUAAUGACCCCCAACGCGUAUCAGUCGUCAGCAGGCCACUCCUGGAUGUGAAACAGCGCGAAUCCCCUAUAAAUACCUCUUCUUUCAUUCAUCUUUUACUUUUGACCAAGCUUCUACCUUCGAUCCUUCAAGAUAUCAUUGCCUUCCUUCAUUCUUCAAUAUUCUUACCUUCGUUCUUCAAAUUGCAACCUUUCUUUUACCCCUCACUUAAGCCAGUGUUCUUGAUUUUCUUAGCAAGUUCUCACCCUUCAUCUUCUCAUUCUCCUUCAUACCUUCAAACCUUUUUAUCAAGAUAAAAAAAAUGGCAAAGAUUUCCAAGACCGUUCCCCAGAAAGAUUCUCCUUCUUCUACGCAGCCGACCACUGAGGUCAAGGAGACCCCGCUCCUGAUGUGGUCAUCCUCGAGAGGUCCGCUCCGAGCGUGGCCACUGAUGAAUCGGUAGCUGAGCCCCUCUUGAAAAUGUUUGGGGGGGGGGGUGUUCGGUUAAUGAUGAAUUUAAGGUCGAAAAGCCCUCUUCGAUUCAAGGCCGAUGCGAGGUGGUGUCACUGUACAUCUGCUCCAUUACUAAGGCCGUUCUUCCUGCAGUUCAAAAAGACUGUGACUGGGUGGAUAAGGAUGUAGUGAUUCUCGGGCCCGAUGACGAUAUCACUACCCAUGUUGAAGGAUAUAUGAGUAUUUACACUUAUCUCUUUUACAUUGGGCCCGGUGUACCCGGUCAUCUUGGACUUUUGUAGGAGGUACGACGUAUGCAUCUGCCAAAUCCACCCAUCGCUGUGGAGGAUUGUGAUCCUCCUCUGAUUCUUUGUGAACAAAAUCGAUUCAUGUACUGUUCACCAUCGAUCAUCUACUCUGCUUGUACAGUCCCCGAAUCUUACGGGAGGGAAUGAUAAAGCUUGUACGCUGGGCCAGCAAAGCCCCAUUUUCAAGUAUCGACGAGGACCAGAAUUGGGGUUGGCAAGGAUGCUUUAUCCAGGUGAGGACCUCCGACCUGAUACCUGCCCAGUGGAGGCCACUCCCCGAGAAGUACAACGUAUCACGUAACUAUAACUCUUAUAAAACAUUGAUUUUAUGUUUUAUCUUCACUUUUCUAAUUGGUGUUUGUUGUGGAGCAACCCUCGCUCGAGUCCUAAAUGCCAUUACUCGGCUCAAGGAGUGGAUCAGAGGCAUUUGUUCGCAGAUUCCUUAUGCCGAAUGCUCAUGGCACGAGCUCUCGAAGAGCCGCUGGGAGGCCCAUUCUCACGGUAAGAUUCUACUCUCCGAGUAAGUAGCACUAGACUUUCUUUUUCAAUACUAUGUCCUCAUUGCUUCUCUUCUUUUUUGCAGGCUUGCCUAAGACCAUCGAGCUUAGGCCCUUGGUAAGAGGUGAGUACCUGCCCGAUGAUCGUUCUGCUUCGGGGCAGCCCAGAGCCAUAGCAGGAGAGAAGAAAAGGAGGAGGGCCCCGAGUUCCCCUAGCUCAAAGAAGAAGAAACCAAGGAGAAGGUUGGCUCGUAAGCCAAAGGAAAGGUCCAGCUCCCGAGUGCCUGAUUCAAACUCACUCUUCUGGUUCAGGGACGAGCCCGAGGAGGACUAUCUUUUGUGGCCCGCGAGCCGUCCGUUCCCGAGGAACAGAUGGCAACCAAGGGGGAAACAAUGGAGGCUAAUCCCCCUCAAGUUCAUGAGGCUGGUACAUAGGCGAGGGUCGAGACCUCUCGAAUCGUGGGCUUCGCCCAGUGUUAUAGAAAUUUUAGGAUCGCUCUCAUUCACAGAACCCAUGUUCGAUGAAGCCCGAGUGAUGAAGGAGCAAUCCAAUGAAGUGGCUCAUGGAGCGGACGAUCCCCUUUGAUGCUUCUUUGAUGGUAUAGACUCAACCGCCCUAGAAGACUUCUUCGGGUUGAUGAAUGCACAGUCUUUCGCUCAGUCUUUGAUGAGUGCACAGCCAUCUGGGCCCAGUCAGGGCAACAGGGGACCCCACCAACAUGGUCGACCUGGAGGGAGAUUCCAGCACUAGCGGAGGCCCCCAUGCCCUAAAUGUGGAAGGAUGAAUUUUGGGGUCUGCCUCAUGGACCUACAUAUAUGCUACGGGUGCGAUAUGAGGGGUCACAUUCAGAGGGACCGUUGCUCGUCCCGCCGGAUCAUGGGAAAAGGUGCGGCGCAACCAGCUAGUUCUGCAGCUACUACAUCCACAACACAUCCUUCAGCUCGAGGCACCCCAGCACCCGCAGGGCAUGGUGCAGCUAGAGGUGAUGCACAGAGUUCGGGAGGACCCAACAAAUUUUAUGCUAUGCGGAGGCGUCGAGAUUCAGAGGCUUCUCCAGAUGUUGUCACAGAUAUAUUGAUUGUCCAAUCCCAUGAUGUAUAUGCUCUUAUUGAUCUCGGUUCCACGUUGUCCUAUGUCACUCCUUAUGUCGCUAUGAAAUAUAGGAGAUGUCUUUGGGUGCUGCUAAAGAAAGUGUCUAAACACAUUCAGGGACCAUGGUUGGUCACCGAGGACUUCAGCUUCAUGAGCCGUUCUCUGUAUCUACUCCGGUUAGCGAGUCUAUUGUGGCUGCGAGGGUUUAUAGGGAUUAUGUUGUCACACUGCAUGUUUGGGACACCCUGGCCGAUCUCAUUGAAUUGGGGAUGGUUGAUUUUGAUGUAAUAAUGGGGAUAGACUGGCUUUAUUCAUAUUUUGCUAAGCUUGAUUGUCGAACCAGGACUGUUAGGUUUGAAUUUCCAAAUGAGUCGGUGAUUGAAUGGAAGGGGGAUGAUGUGGUAUCGAAGGGUAGGUUUAUUUCUUACCUUAAGGCCACGAAGAUGAUUAAAAAGGGGUGUAUCUACCAUUUGGUUCGGGUUACGGACAUCGAUGUUGAGGUACCUACACUUGAGUCCGUGCCUGUUAUGGGUGAAUUUCCGUAGGUCUUUCCGUAUGAGCUCCCUGGGAUCCCACCAAACAGGGAGAUUAAUUUUGGGAUUGAUGUGAUGUCGGGCACGCAGCCUAUAUCUAUUCCACCCUACAGAAUGUCACUAGCAUAAUUGAAUGAGCUAAAAGAACAAUUGAAGGAUUUGUUAGAGAAGGGUUUCAUCCGGUCGAGUUUGUCGCCUUAGAGUGCACCGGUCCUCUUUGUAAGAAUGAAAGAUAGGUCAUUAAGGAUGUGUAUUGACUUUCGGCAGCUCAACAAGGUCACGAUCAAGAAUAAGUACCUACUGCCAAGGAUAGAUGAUUUGUUUGACCAAUUGCAGGGUGCUAAGUAUUUCUUCAAGAUUGAUUUAAGAUCCGGGUAUCACCAACUGAAGAUCAGGGAGCAGGAUAUUCCGAGAACAGCUUCCAGGACCCGGUAUGGGCACUUUGAAUUUCUGGUAAUGUCUUUUGGGCUACCAAAUUCCCCGACAACUUUCAUGGACCUUAUGAAUCGAGUCUUAAAGCCUUUUCUUGACUCCUUUGUGAUAGUGUCCAUUGACAAUAUUCUGGUAUAUUCAUGAAGUCGAGAGGACCAUGUCGAUCAUCUCAGGGCAGUUCUACAGACUAUAUAUCUACACAAGUUGUAUACGAAAUUUUUUGAAAUGUGAAUUUUGGCUUGAAUCUGUUACAUUCUUGGGUCAUGUCGUCUCCAGAGAAGGAUAUAAGGUUGAUCCUAAAAAGAUUGCAGUUGUGAAGAAUUGUCCUAGACCUACAACUCCAAUAGAGAUUCGCAGUUUCUUGGGCUUAGCCGGUUAUUAUAGGAAAUUUAUGGAGGGGUUCUCCACUCUUGCCUCUCUGUUGACUAAAUUGACGUAGAAGGCGAUUAUGUUCCAAUAGCCAGAUGCUUGUGAAAAGAGCUUCCAAGAGUUGAAAUCAAGAUUAACUACGACACCGGUGUUGACCCUACCAGAGGGUACGUAUGGGUUUGUGGUAUAUUGUGAUGCUUCAAGAAUCGGACUUGGGUGUGUAUUAAUGCAACAUGGCAAGGUGAUAGCUUAUGCUUCUAGGCAACUCAAGAAUCAUGAAAACAACUAUCCAACACAUGACUUAGAGCUUGCGGCGGUGGUAUUUUCAUUUAAGAUUUGGCGUCAUUAUCUAUGCGGGGUCCAUGUGGAUAUAUUCACGGACCAUAAGAGCCUCCAAUACAUUUUCAAAUAGAAUGAAUUGAAUCUAAGUCAUAGAAAAUGGCUUGAGUUACUCAAGGAUUACGACAUCGAUAUUUUGUAUCAUCCGGGGAAGGCUAAUGUUGUAGUGGAUGAUCUUAGUGGGAAAUCUAUGGGCAGUUUGGCUCAAUUGGAGGCAUAUCAAAGGCCGUUGGAGAAGGAGGUUCAUCGGUUGUCUAGUUUUUGAGUUCGUCAUGCAGAUUCUAGUGAAGUAGGAGUGAUUGUGCAAAAUAGGGUUGAAUCAUCACUUGUUGUGGAAGUCAAGGAAAAGCAGUACAGUGACCCAUUGUUGGUACAGUUGAAGGAGAGGAUUCAUAAACAUAAGACCAUGGCCUUUUCUCUUGGCAUGGAUGAUGGUACACUAAGGUACCAAGGGCAACUAUGUGUUCCAAAUGUGGAUGAUCUCCGGGAAAGAAUCAUGAUCGAGGCUCACACUUCUAGGUAUUCGGUGCACUCGGGCUCUACAAAGAUGUAUCAUGAUCUUAAAGAAGUCUACUAGUGGAAUGAUAUGAAGAGGAUUGUAGCGGACUUUGUGGUGAGAUGCCCAAAUUGUCAACAAGUAAAGGCCGAACACCAACGGCCUGGUGGGUUGGCACAGAACAUAGAAAUUCCAAUGUGGAAGUGGGAAAUGAUCGAUAUGGACUUUGUGGUGGGACUACCUCGCGCGCCUCGUAAGUAUGACUCGAUUUGGGUGAUUAUGGAUUGACUCAUGAAAUCAGCUCACUUCUUACCUAUUAAGGCUACCGACACAGCAAACAGUAUGCUCAGAUGUAUAUCGAGAAAAUAGUCAGGUUGCAUGGCACUCCAGUUUCUAUUAUCUCGGAUCAAGGGGCAUAGUUCACAACUAACUUUUGGAAGAAAUUUCCGCAAGGUUUGGGUACUCAGGUGAAUUUUAGUAGAGCCUUUCACCCACAGACUGGCGGGCAGGCAGAGCGGACUAUUCAGAUGCUUGAGGAUAUAUUGCGCGCUUGUGUUCUUGACUUCAAGGGUACCUGGGAUGAUCAUUUGCCACUCGUAGAAUUUGCCUACAACAACAGNNNNNNNNNNNNNNNNNNNNNNNNNNNNNNNNNNNNNNNNNNNNNNNNNNNNNNNNNNNNNNNNNNNNNNNNNNNNNNNNNNNNNNNNNNNNNNNNNNNNNNNNNNNNNNNNNNNNNNNNNNNNNNNNNNNAGGUCUCCCAUUGGGUGGGGAUAAUUUUGGUAUGGUUGGACUCCUAACGGAAUAGGUGUUUGGAAUUUGUGAGUUUGGUCGGGUUCUAAGGUUGUCACGACCCCAAUUUCCCCACCUUAGGAUCUCGUGAUGGAACCUAGUCUCUAAGACUAGGUAAGCCUAACAUUCAUUGAUAGCUUAGCAAGAUUUAACAACUAAGAUAAUAAGAUAAUUCGUUAAAACUCAUAAUAACUCAAAACGGAACAUCUAUAACAUAAUUCCCAAAACCGAUGGAACUGAGUCAUAAGCCUUACGAAAUAAUCUAAGAAUCUCUAAUACAACAUUGUCUCAAUAGAAGAUAAAUAGUAGUAAAAGUAAUGACUGAAGGUGACUCCGAGGCCUGCAAACGCCAAGCAGGUAUACCUUGAAGUCUCCGAAAUGUAUGGUCAAAUCACUAAUGCCUAGCCCGAGCUGAGUACACCACAAUGGUACUCAGUAUGUAUCAAACCUAACCUCGAUAUAUUAGUGAUGAGUUCAGGUCAAGACACCUACUUGGAUAAGAGAAACUGAACAAGGUAUAGUAUAGGCAAAUAAUGGAAGACGAGGAAAUAAAUGACUAUAAAGCAGUUCAAUAAAGUAAGCUAACAAUGGAAUUUAAAACAAUAAAGGCAACAAGGAGUGAACACAUGGUAAGAACAUCAAGAAUCAAUACGGACGAGUACAAGUAGGGAAAAUAAAGAGAUAACAAAACUGUUCAACCAACACGCCUCUUUAACAUAGAAUGUACAAUAAGAAUCACAACUGAGGUACCGCCUCAUAUCCACUUUUCACAAUUCAAAAUCACAACAUUUCCUUAUACCGCCGCGUGAGCCUUACAUUAAGAUAUUUUGAAAAGAUUUUUUCCGAAAUAGCUACACGCACUUUAGCCCUUUUAUGUCGCCGGGUGACUUCAAGUAAUUUCCUUACUAGCAACUUGCACAUAAAUUCCCUCCUUAUGUCGCGCACGCACAUUAACCCCUAUCCUUAUACCGCCGCAUGCGCAUCAAUAUCACAACACAAUAACAACUCACACCACAAGUGCCCAUAUGCCACAACUUGCCAAAAUCAACAAUACCAAAGUUACCACAACGUAUAGCCCAGGGCUCAAUCACAAUGUGAACAAGAAUCUCCAUAAUAACAAAGUGAGUGAGAAUUUCUCAACAAGGAAAGACAUCUCAAUAAUCAACAACUUCAAACAAGAAUAACCCGGCACUAAAGGAGGUGACAUAACAAUAAGAGAGAUAGCAAAGGCAACUAAGGCAUAUAAGAGCAUGUUUGACAAUAAGAGAUAGAGUAGGUGAUACAACAUCAAGUAAAGCAUGUAAGAAAAAUUUAACAAUGGAAGAUCUAACAUGAUAUUUCAACUUCUAAUUAGAUACAUCAAAGAGUCUAAGAGUCUAAACCGGUCAAAAUACCCCAUAUAAGCCUGUGUACAUACUUGUCACCUCGUGCACACGUCUUUCACAUAACCCAAAUAACGUAAAUCAACCCAAGUCCUAAGGAGUAGUUCGCCCACAAAAAGUUAGGCAAGAUACUUACCUCAAACAAGCUAAAUCAACCCACUAGUAAGCCUUUUUCGUGCAAAUUCAACUUCGGAUGGCUCGAAUCUAGCCAAAAUAACUUAAUACCAUAAAUACAAACUAUAGAAAAUGAUUUCGGAUAACAAAGUUGCAAUCUUUAAAGAAAAUCAUAAGGUCAACUCAAAAGGUCAACCCCGGGCUUGCACCUCGGAACCUGACCAAACUUACAAAAUCUGAAUACCCAUUCUGAUACGAGUCCAACCAUACAAAAAUUACCCAAUUCCGACCUCAAAUCGACCUUCAAAUCCUCAAUUUAUAGUUUAAGACAGUUUUCACAAAAUCCCCAAUUUCUCCAACUCAAAUCACUAAUUAAAUGAUAAAAACAAUGAUGGAAUCAUGAAUAAUAAGCAAAUCCGAGCACAAAAAAAACACUUACCCCGAUCCAAUCCUUGAAAAUCCACUCCAAAUUCGCCCAAAACCGAGCUCUCUAACUCAAAAUAUGAAAAAUGGAAUAAACCCUCGAUUCACUCUUAUUUCUGCCCAGGCUUUCUGCACCUGCGGCAAUUCUGUCGCAUUUGCGACUCCGUAUCUGCAGAAAAUCCAUCACAGAUGCGGCUUCCACUAAAGGUCAGAAACUCCGCAUGCGCGCCCGCUCUUGUGCAACAGUCACCGCAGAUAUAAGUGCGCAGAUGUGCAACCGCAGAAGCAGGAAAAGCUCUUCCAAACAUACUAUCAAGUCCCAAAAUACUACACGAACCUACUCGAGGCCUUAAAUCACAUCAAACAAUAUCAAAUCCACGAAUCACACCCCAAUUUAAGCCUAUUGAAUUAAUUAACAUUCAACUUUUAAAACUAAUGUCGAAUCAUAUCAAACCAACUCUAAAUGAGCUCAAAUUUUGAAUGCAAGUCCCUAAUGACACAACAGAUAUAUACCAACUCCUGAAAUCACAAUCCGGACCUGAUAUCAAUAAAGUCAAUCCCUCGGUCAAACCUAUCAACCUUCAACUUUCUAUCUUUUGCCAAAAAGCACCAAUUCAACCUACGCAACUCCAAAUCAACUUCUGGACAUACACCGAAAUCCAAAAUCACCAUACAAAGCUAUCAGAACCAUCAAAAUUCCAUUCUGGAGUCGUCUACACAAAAGUCAAACUCCGAUCAACUCUUCCAACUUAAGCUUCAAACCUUGGGACUAAGUGUCCCAAUUCACUCCGAAACUCACCCGAAACCAAACCAACCACUCCGGAAAGUCACAUAGCCACAAUUGAACUAGAGGAGGCAAUAAAUAGUGGAACGGGGCUAAAAUACUCAAAAUGACCGAUCGGGUUGUUACAUUAUCCCCCUCUUAAAACAAACGUCCAUCCUCGAACGAGUAUAGAGACAUACCUGAAGUGUUAGAAGGUGAGGAUAACGGAUACAGAUAUCAUGCUUGGUCUCCCAAGUCACCUCCUCAACUGGUUGACCCCUCCAUUGAACCUUCACUGAAGCAAUGUUCUUUGACCUCAACUUUCGGACCUGUCUGUCCAAGAUGGCCACUAGCUCCUCAAAAUAAGUCAAAUCCUUGUCCAAUUGGACUGAGCUGAAAUCUAACACAUGGGAUGGCUUUCCGGAGCAUGGAAACAUGGAACACCAGGUGAACUGCCGAUAAGCUGGGUGGAAAUGCAAGCUUGUAGGCCAUCUCCCCCACUCCCUCAAGGAUCUCAAAAUGACCAAUAUACCUAGGGCUCAACUUGCCCUUCUUCCAGAAUCUCAUCACACCCUUCAUGGGUGAAACCCACAGCAAAACUCUCUCCUACCAAAAAUGCUACACCACAAACCUUCUGGUCGGCAUAACUCUUUUAUCUAGACUGUGCUUUACGAAGCUUGUCCUGAAUCAACUUGACCUUCUCCAAGGCAUCCCGAACAAGAUCAGUACCCAACAACCUAGCCUCCUCCGGCUCAAACCAACCAACUUGAGAACGACACUGCCUCCCAUAUAAGGCCUCAUAAGGAGCCGUCUGAAUACUGGAUUGUUAGUCGUUGUUGUAGGAAAACUAUACAAGCGGAAAGAAUUGAUCCCAUGAACCCCCAAAAUCAAUAACACAGGCACGUAGCAUAUCCUCUAAGAUCUGAAUGGUGCGCUCAUACUGCCCGUCCAUUUGGGGCUAAAUGUUGUACUCAACUCGAUCCGUAUGACUAACCCACGCUGCAUAGCUCUCCAAAAAUGCAAUGUGAAAUGCGUGCCUUGAUCAUAGAUAAUGGACACCGGCACACCAUGAAGACGAAAAAUCUUACAAAUAUAGAUCUGAGCCAGCUGCUCUGAAGAAUAGGUAGUCACCAACAGAAUAAAAUGUGUCGUUUGGUCAACCUAUCCACAAUAACUCACACUGUGUCAAAUUUCUUCAAGGUCAAGCCCAACAACGAAAUCCAUGGUAAUACUCUCCCACAUUCACUAGGGAAUCUCAAGUCUCUGAAGAAAUCCACUCGGCCUCUGAUGCUCGUACAUCACCUGCUGACAAUUCAAGCACCAACCCACAUACUUCACAUUAUCUUUAUUCAUUCUUCUCUAACAAUAAUGCUGCCUCAAAUCUUGAUAGAUCUUAGCGGCACUCGGAUGAAUAGAGUACCGCGAACUGUGGGCCUCCUCAAGAAUCAACUCACGCAACCCAUCCAUAUUGGGCACACAUAACCGACCCUGCAUCCUCAACACCCCAUUAUCUCUGAUAAAAACCUCCUUGGCAUUGCCAUGUUGUACCGUGUCCUUAAGGACAAGCAAAUGGGGGUCAUCAUAGUAAUUAUCUCUGAUGCGCUCAAAUAAAGAAGACCGAGAAACCACGCAAGCAAGAACCCUACUAGGCUCCAAAAUAUCUAAUCUCACAAACUGAUUGGCCAACGCCUGAAUAUCCAAUGCUAGCGACCUCUCACCAACUGAAAUAUAUGCAAGGCUACCCAUACUCUCAGCCUUUCUACUCAAGGCAUCAGCUACUAUAUUGGCCUUCCUAGGAUGGUAUAGAAUAGUGAUAUCAUAGUCUUUCAACAGCUUUAACCACCUCCGUUGCCUCAAGUUCAGGCCCUUUUGCUUAAACAAGUACUGUAGACUCCGAUGAUCUGUGAAUACCUCGCAAGACACGCCGCCUCCAAAUAUUCAAUGCGUGAACUAAAGCUGCCAACUCUAGAUCAUAAACGGGGUAGAUCUUCUCAUGGGACUUCAACUGGUGCGAAGCAUAAGCAAUCGCCCUAUACUCCUGCAUUAAGACUCACCCAAUACCAAUCCGCGAUGCAUCACAAUAAACCAUAUAUGAACCCGAUGCUGAGGGCAAAACUAGAACUAGAGCUAUGUUCAAGGAAGUCUUGAACUUCUGAAAGAUCUCCUCACACUUGUCAAACCACUGGAAUUGAGCACCCUUCUGGGUCAAUCUAGUCAAAGGUGCAGCAAUAGACGAUAGACCCUCUACAAAACAGCGAUAAUAUCCAGCCAAACUAAGGAAUCUCCGAAUCUCAGUAGCUGAAGACGGUCUAGGCCAACUCUGAACUGCCUCAAUAUUCUUCGGAUCUACCUUGAUCCCCUCGCUCGACACCACAUGACCCAAAAAUGCCACCGAAUCAAGCCAGAAUUCACACUUUGAGAACUUUGCAUACAACUUCUUCUCCCUCACAGUCUGGAGCACGAUCCUCAAAUGUUGCUCAUGAUCUUCCCGGUCGCGGGAAUACACCUAGAUGACGUCAAUGAAUACAAUAACAAAAGAGUCAAGAUAUGACUGGAAUACACUAUUCAUCAUGUGCAUAAAUACUGCUAGGGCAUUGGUCAUGUCACCCCCCGACCUCGGGGAGCGCGACUGGCACUCAACCGAGAUAACCCGGCCGAGCAAGCGUACUAGAUUGCCUUCUACCCAAAUCANNNNNNNNNNNNNNNNNNNNNNNNNNNNNNNNNNNNNNNNNNNNNNNNNNNNNNNNNNNNNNNNNNNNNNNNNNNNNNNNNNNNNNNNNNNNNNNNNNNNNNNNNNNNNNNNNNNNNNNNNNNNNNNNNNNNAUUACUAUCUUGACUUUCCCAAUACCAAUACACAACCCACACCAUGUCUACAGAUCUUCUAAUAAAUACAAAAGAGAACAAUGAUAGUGCCGGAAACAAGGCUCCGACUAUAACUCAAAACAUAAUACAUACAGAACAAAAGAUGCACGACCCCGAAAUGAAGUGGUGCUCACCAAGUCAACUGGGAAGAGAGUGUACCGCUAUCACUGGUCAAUGCCUUCCGUUGUGGAACCACCUGCAUCCAUUAAAGAUGCAGCGCCAUCGAAAAAAUGGACGUUAAUACAUAUCGAAUAGUACUAGUAUGAAAACCAAACACCUAUGCAAGGACUUGAAAAUACAACAUGAAUAUGAUGAAUCAUGGUAACAAUAAAAGGCUUAGAUAGCCGUUAAAUAUAUAGCAAGUUUAUUAAGAGCUUUCAAUAACAUUUAUAAUUUUUUUUAAGUCGGGGAUCCUCUGCAACUACCUUUACACAAAGCGGCACAGCCGCCUCACCCCAAUGUAUGCGGGUGGAGGUGCAAUCACAAUACCAUAAACUCUACACAAAGAAGCCAUGUCUCCUCACCCCAAUGUAUGCGGGUGGAGGUGUAUUCACAAUACCACAAACUCUACACAAAGAAGCCUUGCCGCCUCACCCCAAUGUAUGCGGGUGGAGGUGUAUUCAUAAUACCACAACUCUACACAAAGCGGCCCUGCCGCCUAACCCCAAUGUAUGCGGGUGGAGGUGUAUUCACAAUACCACAACUCGACACAAAGUGGCCCCACCGCCUCACCCCAAUGUAUACGGGUGGAGGUUUAUUCAUAAUGCCAUACUUCGGAUUCCCAAAACGAUAAUAGUUUGUACAACAGAGUUCCCUUUCAAAUCAACCAUUUGUCACCUUUGGCCUUAGCAUGUGUGAGUUCAUAAGGUUUCAUCAUAUGAGAAAUAAGUGUUUAAUCACAUUGAUUUCAUACAAGAUCUUCUUCCCUAAAGGGGUAUAACAUAAUUAAGUCAAAAUAGAGAAUCAUUAACACACGAGGGUUCUAACACGUUAUGCCAAUCGGGAAUCAAUUUUACUAGUUUGAAUACCCCACAUCAAUAGCGUUCCAUGUUUGAACUUCACACGAAGGAGUUUUGUAAGAACACGGGAAUUCCAAUACCAAAAAAAAAGAGUUUAGCCUUCAUACCUCGAAAGAGCUUUUCAUAGUGCCACAAUAAUGUCCCAACACUCCUAAUGAUGCCAAUCUAUCAAGGAGGAGAGAAUUAUAAGCACGAUUAGAGGAAUUCACAUGGCAAGGGCUGUUACAACUAUGACCCGACCUUUCCCUCAGCUAAUUCAAUAACAAAACCACCCAAGAUUGUUCAAAAACUUCCCCGCAGUCUCUAUUAGCUCAUAUAUGUGAUAAAACCUACCCUCAUUACCCACAAUCAACCCAAACCUGAAUUUGAAGAAUUGGGGGAAGAAAUACUUACUUUUUUGAAGCCCUAGCAAGUUCCUUUUGAUGGAAUUCCAAGGUUUGAUCAAUGUAGAGUAGUGAAAUCUAUAGUCCUCUCUUUCCUCUCUCUAGAAUAGCUCUCUCCUCUCUCUAAAAUGUUAGUUAAUCCCCUAAAAAUGAACCCUUAGGCUAGAUAAAUGAAAUGGGGGUCAGUUUAUAAAAUUGGAAAAAUGGAGCCCCAACGCAGAUCUUCGAUUGCAUAUGCGACCGCAUAACACUUCUGCGGUCCGCAAAAUGGACUGCAUAAUGGCCCUCUAGAACUGGGUGUUUCUGCUACACUCUGUGAUAGGUCUGCAGUCCGUAGACCAAUUAUGGGGUCUCAUAAUGGACCACAGAACCUCCUUUCGAAAUUUCUCAUGCUGGAUCUGCGAUUGGAUCUGCGGCGCGCAAAACGAUUCUGCGGCCGCAUAAUGGGUCGUAUAAUGGUCCUCAAAAUUGGUAAAUCUAUCUGCUUCUAUCAGUGGCCAAUCUGCAGUCCGCAAACUUGUUCUGCGGUCGUAUAGUGGACUGCAUAAUUGCCAUGUUCUGCAAACUUUUUCCUUUAACUCCUCGACGCACUGAGCAACCCCAAAAGUCAAUUCUUCAUUAACCUCAAUUGUAUCAACCAGAACAAUGAGCGACAGAUCUCCAACCACCUUCUUCAACAUGGAUACAUGGAACACAGGGUGCACUAAAGACAUCUCUGGAGGUAGUUCAAUGUUGUACGCCACCCGACCAAUCCUCUAAAUGAUUCUGUAUGGUCCAACAUAUCUCAGACUCAACUUCCCUUUCUUACCAAACCGCAUUAUGCCCUUCAUGGGGGAAACCUUCAACAAUACCCAAUCAUCCUCUUUGAACUCCAAAUACCUGCGACGCACAUCCGAAUAGGACUUUUGAUGACUUUGAGCAGUUUCUAAUCGAUCCUUAAUGAUCUUAACCUUCUCCAUAGCCUGAUGCACGAGGUCUGGUCCUAUCAAUACCGCUUCCUCAAUCUCGUGCAAUACCACUCUUUCUCACCAAGCACAUGUACAAAAAUACCAAGAAAGGUAGAAAGCAUAUAGCUAACAUCAAACUCUCGAGUCCGCCAUUUCUUCAUACUCCAAAAGCAGACGAGCAACUCUACUUCUACUUAGCAGUCCCGGAAAUCGCGGUAAGUGGAGUCCUAGAUCGAGAUGAGCAAGGUACGCAAUUUCCUAUUUACUAUGUUAGUCGAACUCUAGGUGAGGCCGAGACCCGGUACCCACACUUAGAAAAUUUGGCGCUUUCCAUAAUAAGAGCCUCUAGGAAAUUAAAACCACAUUUUCAAUGUCACCCAAUUUGUGUAGUGACCACUUAUCCUCUUCACAAUAUUUUGCAUAAGCCCGAACUCUCGGGCCGAUGGCCAAAUGGGCCAUCGAAAUCUAUGGGUACGAUAUCGAGUAUCAACCCCGAACGGCCAUCAAGUCUCAAAUCUUAGUAGACUUCAUGGCCGACUUUACGCCAGCCCUCGUACCUGAGGUCGAAAAAGAACUAUUAUUAAAAUCGGGUACAACAUCAGGGGUGUGGACCCUAUUCACAGACCGCGCUUCAAAUGUGAAGGGGUCUGGGCUAGGCAUCGUUUUGAAAUUGCCCACGGGUAAUACAAUUAGACAGUCUAUCAAAACUUCCAAGUUAACUAACAAUGAAGCCGAGUAUGAGUCCAUGAUUGCAGGUCUCGAGCUAGCUAAGAGUUUGGGAGAAGAGGUUAUCGAAGCCAAAUGUGACUCCUUACAUGUGUUAAACCAAGUCAACGGAACCUUUGAGGUUCGGGAUGAUCGAAUGCAGAGAUACCUGGAUAAAUUACAGGUGACAUUACAUCAGUUUCAAGAAUGGACCCUACAACAUGUACCUCGAGAGCAAAACAACAAAGCCAAUGCCCUUGCAAAUUUGGGGUCAUCGAUUGAAGAUGACGAAAUUAGCACGGGGACUAUCGUGCAACUUUCGAGGUCAGUGAUCGAAGAAGGCCACGCCAAAAUAAACUCCACAAGUCUGACCUGGGAUUAGAGGAAUAAAAAUAUCGAGUACCAAAAGAACGGAAAGCUUCCGUCGGAUCCUAAGGAAUCAAGGACUCUACGUAUGAAGGCCACACGAUUCACAUUGGCCGAAGAUGGAACACUAUAUAGAAGGAUGUUCGACGGACCAUUGGCAAUACGUUUGGGUCCCGAAGACACCGACUACGUCCUACGGGAAAUUAACGCGGGAACUUGCGGAAAUCAUUCUGGUGCCGAAUCAUUGGUUCACAAAAUCAUCAUAGCAGAAUAUUACUGGGCCAAUAUGGAAAAAGAUACGAAGGAAUUCGUUUGAAAGUGCGACAAGUGUCAAAGAUAUGCGCCAAUGAUCCACCAACCCGAGGAGCAACUCCAUUCGGUCCUAUCCCCAUGGCCAUUCAUGAAAUAGGGAAUGGAUAUCGUUGGCCCUCUACCAUUGGCCCCAGGUAAAGCUAAAUUCAUUUUAUUUAUGACUGAGUAUUUCUCUAAAUAGGUUGAAGCAUAGGCCUUUGACAAAGUCAGGGAAAAAGAGGUUAUCGACUUCAUUUGGGACAACAUUAUAUGUCGAUUCGGGAUACCUACCGAGAUCGUAUGCGACAAUGGAAAACAAUUCAUCGGCAGUAAAGUAACAAAGUUUCUUGAAGACCACAAAAUCAAAAGGAUCUUGUCAAUGCCAUAUCACCCCAGCGGGAACGGACAUGCAGAGUCAACGAACAAAACCAUCAUUCAAAAUCUAAAGAAAAGGUUGAAUGAUGCAAAGGGAAAAUGGAGAGAAAUGUUGCCCGAGGUCCUUUGGGUGUAUCGAACAACGUCAAAAUCCAGAAUGGGGUAAACACCGUUCUUUUUAGUAUAUGGCGCCGAAGCUCUAAUCUCGGUCGAAGUCGGGGAACCUAGCGUCAGGUUUCGAUAUGCAACGGAAAAGUCGAAUCACGAGGCUAUGAAUACAAGUCUUGAAUUGCUAGAUGAAAAACUGGAAAGCGCCCUCGUUCGAAUGGCCGCACAAAAGCAACGGAUCGAAAGGUACUACAACCGAAGAGCUAAUUUUCGACAUUUUAUAACAGGGGACUUAGUAUUGAGAAAAGUCACCCUCAAUACCCAAAUUGGGAGGGACCGUAUCAGAUCCUCGAUAUCGUCAGAAAGGGAUCUUACAAACUCGGCACGAUGAACGACGAACAGUUGUCAAAUAAUUGGAACGUGUCACUCCUCAAACGAUAUUACUGCUAAGGUACAACCUUCUCCAUUUUUAUUUAUAUUUUAUACUAACCGUUUGCAGGUGUGUAAUCGAAAACAUCAAGGGAUCCUUCAAACGCAGUCCUUGGGUCUGAAAGCACCCGUUGCACUCUUUUUCCCUUAGACCGGUUUUAAUCCCAAAUGGGUUUUUUCGGCGAAGUUUUUAACGAGGCAACCAUUGUUCGUGCUAACUUAGAGCAAUUCAACAGUAUCUGAGGCUCCUUUACAAUCAACCUCGAAUACUAGGGGGCAUCACCCUCGGAUAGUUACAAGGAAAAUACUUCGUGUCGACAGGGUCUCGAUAGCUAAAUUUUGUAGAGGACCAAACGGUAAGAUGAACCAUGUCUGUGUAGAUUACUCGAGCCCUAAUGGCAAAACAUGUACGCAUGUAUAAUUUAUUGGAAGAAGUAUUUUCCCUUUCCAGAUGCCCCAUGUUUUAAAAUUUAUAAUUUGCAAUCUCAUACUUAUGAUCUAUGGUGGAAACUGGCUUAAGGGCCGAUCACAACUGAAGUUCAAACAAUUUGUCCGAUACUCGGGGACUGCCGUCCAAAAAACCAACACGAUCGAAUUACUAAACCUCGAGAUCGUAAGACCUUAAAAAGGCAAUCCUCGAAUUUAUGGGCCACGUCCACCCCACUCGGGGACUGAUACUUCGAACAAGUUUGAAGUAUAAUAGGGGAGCAAGCCCAAAAGGCGAAUCCCAAGUUAAAGGCUAUGGCCAAAUCAACACGGUUCAGAGACGUCCGAUUUUUGUUAUUAAAUAGGCCUUUGAAUAUUUUCAUAAAUCGGUUAAAAAAGGCUACCCUUGGCUAAAUUUCUAAGGGUCUCGAUAAUAUCGACCAUCGAAAACCCUAAUGGAUACAAAGGCGUUCGAACUCUCGAAUAAAUUCUUUAUUUUAUGUUAAGGCACUGCGAAAUAAAGGGUCUCGAUAAUAUCGACCAUUGAAAUUCCUAAUGGGUACGGAACCGUUCGAACUCUCAAACAAAUCCUUUAUUUUGUGUUAAGGUACAACAGAAUUUAUAUGAUUAAACGAUAAACUUAUCAAGCCGAAAAGGGGGAGAGAGCCACUUUUUUUCUAUGGCCGUGUUGGCCUAGUUUAAGAGCCUAAAAGGCCAGUUUAUUUUUGAGUUUGAAGAAAUCAUCCUCACUCAAUUAAAACCUAAGGGUCACCCUAUUCCGAGUUCGAGCAAGUACUCACUCGAUUAUAAAAACUACACUAGUCUGGUUUCGAUCAAAAUGCCUAAGCCUCAAACUUAUGAACAAAACUUUCACAAGGCAUAAAAGAAAUAAAGACAAGUCAGAAAGGAAAGAGAUAAUUAUAUAUAUAUGAAUAUUUACAAGGUCCGAUCGGGAUCCUAUACAAAAAAGAUCAAAAGUGAAAAAUCUUAAGGUUCCUGAUCUCCUCCGGGGGCAGCUUCUUCUACAUCGAGGUCCUCCCCAUUCUCGGACCCGCUCUUGCUACCAUCAUCAUCAUCGUCAUCGGAAGUGGCCAGCAAUCCAGCUUCGGCUUCAUGCUCUCUACCUUUGCUAUCUCAUUGGUAAGAUCGAAAUCCCGAGCGUGAAUUUCCUCGAGGGUUUCCUCCGAGAUUGGCAUUUGGUGAGUUCAGCAAUCCAAUAUGCUCGAGUUUGUGCGGACUCGGAUGCCUCUCUCGCCUGGACUUGAGCGACUUCAGUAUCCGCCCGAUAGACGACCACGAUCGCAUCCGCCUUGGCUUUUGCUUUUUCGGCUUCAGAUUUGGCCUUGGCAAGUUUAGAAGCCAACCGAGCCUCGAGCUCCUCUAUUUUCCUGGCUUGAGUCAAGCUCCUAUCUUUCAUGCCUUGAAGUUGACUUUCGACCUAUGAUAAUUGGGCUCGAUUAGUCUCUUUUUCUGCAGCAAAGUGGUCCAUACCUUUCUUCCACCCCAAGGACUCUGCCUUUAUUGUGUCGACCUCCUCACAGAACUGCUCGAUCCUCUCGAUUUUCUGUUGCAUCUGUGAGAUUCAAAAUAUUAGCCACCGUUCCCGAGUCGAGCCCAUGAGCUUUUAAGCUUUUCAUUACCUGCUCGAUCAGAUCUAUCUGAUCUUGGUGAGCCUUGGCCAACUCGGCUUGAAGAUCUCUGAUCUCUUCCUCUUUCUGACCACUAAGAAGUUUGAGGGCAUUUCUCUCAUCCGAAAGCCCUCGGAAGUCAGCUUCACAUCGGCUCAGCUCCGCUCGAGACUUGGAAAAUGCCUCCUGAUGUAGAGCUAAAGCCUAUAUAAAAAGAGAAAAAGUUAGGCAGAAAAUGGAAGAAUAUGACAUCAACAAAGGGAAUCAAGACUUACCCGAUUCAGGGCUCGUUGAGCCUCGAAGAAAUGACCCGAUGCGUCACUCGGGCCGGCAGCAUCCUCGAUACUUGUAAAUAAAUCACGGAAGGGGUCCUCUCCCUCAUGAGCUCCAUCCACCUCGAGGGUCCCCAAAUAUCGGGCUUCCCGAAUCGCCCUUUCUGAAAAAACAAGGAGAGUGGGUGAGUCUCCGAUUACUAUUACCCCAAGGGAGUCACUUGGGGCGUUCUCCUCAGUUCGAAGAGCUUCAGGGUCGGUCCCUUCAGAUAUACCCAUUGUUUUUCAUUUCAGUGGGAGACAUCCUCGAUCUCCAAUGUCUCAGGGACUUUUCCCGAGUCCUUCUCGGAUAUCCCCUUAGUUCGAGGCGGAGCCUCAUCAAUCACUAUAGAUCCAGUUGUCUUUGGGGCAUCGAUGGUUUUCUUUACUCGAGCCACCAGUAUGGAGUUGUCGUCAUUUUCUUCUUCUUCGUCUUCAUCCCUCAGACGCCGAAUAGAUUCUUUCGUCAGAGGGAUGGUGUUCUUCCUCGGCUUACGAGCCGUCUUUGUCUUAAGUUCUGGAUCUUCGGAAGCCGAGGCCCUUUUUCUCUUGUUGUCUUUUGCUAGUUUCGGAACCGGGGCCGAGGUCUCUUCCUCGCCAGAUGGCGGCCUCAUGACCGCAUCUUUGUCCAGGCCUACACACAGGAAAAUUGGUUAAGUUUAAGAAAGACAUUUUGAUCGAAUCAUCAAGAACAUAGGAAAGGGGCUUACCAUGAGUUUUGGCCUCCCAUCGGUCCUUUGAUAAAUCGUGCGUUGAGCUCUCAGCGUACGAAGAGGUCGAGGCCAGGUCCCGAACUCAGCUCUUGAGGUUAGGAAUUGCACCGGGCAUCCAAGAAACCACUACAUCACGGAAAAGGAUAUCGAUGAGAAGAAGCAAAGGGCCAAAACAAUAAAUAAGAAUUAACAGUGGAAUUAUACUUACGCUUCAUAUUCCAUUUCUCUGGAAAUGGCAUCUUCUCGGCCGGGAUUACGUUGGAAGUCCUCAUUCGAACAAACCGGCCCAUCCGGCCUCGGUCCUUGUCCUCAUCUAUGCUCGAGAAUAGCACUUUGGUGGCCCGUGACUUUUGCUCACAAAGAACAGAGCAGAAUAACAAUUCUCCAAAAAGAAGGGUGGAUUUGGCCUAGAGUUAUGUGGUACUGACGACAAAAAUCGAUGACGACGGGGUCGAGGGGGCCCAGCAUGAAAGGGUAGGUAUAAACACUUAAAAACCCUUCCACAUGGGUGGUAAUGUCUUCUUCCGGGGUCGGUAUCACCACUUCUUUGCCUUUCCAGUUGCAGUUUUUCCUUAACUGCUUAAGGUACCCUUCAGUUAUCGAGCAUAUGUACUUCGUCAUUGGCUCGCAUCGACCAGGAAUCGAUGAGGCUUUAUCAGUUUUGAAGUCAGAAGUAAUAACACACCCCCCGGGAACACACUCUUUAUGUCGUGGCUCCACCGUUGUUUUGUUGCCGGCCGGCCACGAUGAAGAAGCAUUUUCCUUUUGAGGAACAGUCUUUGAUGUUUUUGCCAUUUUUGUAUGGAUUUGAAGUUAAAAAUAGAUGAAGAUGAUAAUUUGGUGUUUUGAGAAGAUGGUAGCAGUGAAAAUCGUAGAUGUGCAUAUGAAGAGGUUAGAAGAUAUAAAAAGCUUUGAAGAUUAAGAAUCUAAAAGUAAAUGUUCGAAAUAGUGGAGAGAGGGGCUAUUUAUAAAUUUCACAACGACGGUUCAAUAUUGGCGGUGGCCGACCACUGACUGACGUUUAUUUAAUGCCUAGGAAACUAUAUAGACGGGACGUUUCAGUCACUUCUGUCGCUUAUGUCAUAAGGAUGACGUCCCGAUAGGUCGGGGUAGAAAAUCGAAGGCUCAAUUCAUUUCUUGUCAUUACACUCCAAAAUAACGAGGGGACUAUCUGUUCACGCUUAAAACCGAGCCCACCCAAUUUUACUGUUUGACCGAGACCGGGAGUUUGCAUCGAAGGACGACUCCAAAGUAGAUCGGAUCGAGGCAAGAAUACAAGGUACCAAGAUCGGGAUUCGAGGCACCUUCCAAGAUCGAGCCUACAACAAUCAAGACCGAACGAGAUAAGCGAGAUAUCCGUGACUGGUCGAAGAUCAUGGCAAAAAUCUCGGAACAGAUCAAAUCAAAAAUGGUUGUUUAGUUAAUCAUGGGAUUUACUUCUGUAAUUAGAAUUGUACCAUAUAUAGAAUUCCUCUACUAUAUAAAGGGGAGUUCUAACCAUUUGUAGGCACAACUGAUAACAAAGCAAUAUAAUUUUCUUCCUCGCUCACACUCUUGUUCUUCAAUCGGUAUUAAGUGAAAUCACGUGUCCUUAAAUCCACAUUAUAAGUUUAAUUGUUAUCCAAUUUCGAGGGUAAACAGAUCUUUAUCAUUGUUAGUUGGCCAAUUUGAUGAAGUUAACAACAUAAUUGAAUAUGCAAAGUAAGUGUUCACCAGAAGAGAACAUGUAAGCAUCAAAUGUGCGAAGGAGUUUUUAUUAAUUUAAAGUGUUGUUUCAAAGGGAACACCAAGUAAAAAUCAUGGUACAACUUUUGGCAAAAUGAGAUAUUUCAAUUGAAUGAAAGUAAAAUCCCUUAAAAUAUAAUUUAAGGAGGCAUGGAUAAAUAAAUCCACAAAAUCGUUUACAAGAAGAAAGGCGCAAAUUCUUCCCUUGUUGAUACUUCAAGCCUUGUCAUUAUAUUGACACUCUGACAAGUCUUGAAGUAGGGGCAUUUGUAGACAUGUAAAAUUUAUUUUAUUCAAAUUAAAUAAAUAAUUUAGUUUAUAUUUAACAUAUACUAGUCCAAAUAAAUUAUAGGCUAAUAUAAUUAGAUUAAUUAUUUAAAUCCAAUAAAUAUUGACUUGGAUAGCCCAUUUGAUUGGGCUACAAGUGAUGAGCCCAUUUAAUUGGGCUACAAGAGAUGAGCCCACUUAAUUAGGCCCAAGAUGUCAGCUUCCUAAAGGCCCAAUUUGAUGCCAUGUGUCAAAUGAAUGUGACACGCCAAGUCAAAUAGAAAAGCCAAUAGGAUCUUGCCACGUGUCAAAAUGAUAAGGCAUGCCAAAUUAAAUUAUAAGGCCAAUGAAACCGUGCCACAGAUGCAAGUGUAAUGACCCGGCCAGUUGUUUUGAGUAUUUUAGCCUUGAUCCCCUAUUUAUUGCCUCCUCUAUGUUGUAUUAUGGUUAUGUGACUUUUCGGGGGUGUUUGAUUUAGGUUUGGGGGAGUUACGGAGUGAAAUGGGACACAUAGUCCCUAAGUCAGUGCUUAAGUUGAAAGAGUUGACCGUAGUUUUACUUUUGUGUAGAUGACUCCAGAAUGGAGUUUUAAUGGUUCCAAUAGCUGCAUAUGGUGAUUUUGGACUUAGGAACAUGUCGAAAUAUUGAUUUGGAGGUCCGUAGGUCAUUUCGUCUUGAAUUGGCAAAAAUUAGAAAAUUCAAGGUUUGGAAGGUUAAGAAGUUUGACCGAGAGUUGAUUUCAUUGAUAUCAAGGUCAAAUUCUGAUUCCAAAAGUUGUAAUAGGUAUGUCAUGUCAUUUAUGACUUGUGUGCAAAAUUUGAGGUCGAUCGGAGUUAUUUUGGUAUGAACCGACAUUAGUUUUGGAAUUCAGAUGUUCAUAGUCUCAAUAGGCGUGAAUUGGGUUGCGAUUCAUUGAAUUGAUGUUGUUUGAUGUGAUUUUUUGCCUCGAAUAGCUCCAUUAUGUGUACUAGAACUUGUUGGUAUAUUCGAUGGGGGUCCCGGGAGCCCCGGGUGUGAUUCAGAUUGAAUCCGGAACAAAUAUUGACUUGUGUGAUUACUAAAGCAUGGUUGUGUCUGGUGCAUUCAUACCUGCGCACUUUGGGCCGAAGGUAUGACACCGUAGAAGCGGCUCUCGUAGCGCAGAAGCGAGAUUUGGCUUGUCAGCUGUGACCACAUGUUGUGUCGUUAAUUCGCAUAAGCGGACCCGCUGCUUCGGGGAAUGCAUCGCCGAAGCGGAAUGGGCUAGCCAGCCCUAGGGUCGCAAAAUUGGACCCUCCGCAGGUGCGCUUAGGGGUCCGUAGGUGCAAGUCUUCAGAGAUUAAGGUGGAACCGCACCUACGAUGGAUUUUCCGUAGGUGCAGCGUCGCAGGUGCGACCUCAUGCCCGGAGACGUGAGGAUCACUGGGCAGAAAAGGGGCCUUCGAUGGUUUGAUCUCAUUUUCCAUUUUUGGACUUAGAGAGCUCGGUUUGUGGUGAUAUUUUGAGAGCUUUUCCAGGAAAUCAUCGGGGUAAGAGAUUCUAACUUGGUUUAGGCUAUAUUACACGAAUUCAUUGUUAUUUUUGUCAUUUAAUUAGUGAUUUGAGUUGGAAAUUUGGGAAAACAUUGUGAAAACUUCUUAGACUAAAUUUUGGGAAUAUGAAAAGCGAUUUGAAGUCGGAUUUAAGUAAUUCUUAUGUGGUUGGACUCGUUAUCGAAUGGGUAUUCGGAUUUUGUAAUUUUGGCCAGGUUCCGAGACGCGGGUCCAGGGUUGACUUUUUGACUUGACUCUUUGUUUCUCUUUAAUGAUCGUAACUUUAUUGAUCGGAAUAGUUUCCUAUAGUUUAUAUUUAUGGUAUGAAGUUGUUUUGGCUAGAUUCGAGUCGUUCGGAGUUGGAUAAUCGAGGGAAAGACUUACUAGUGGAUGUAGUAGCAUAUGUUGUGGUAAGUGUCUUACCUAACUUUGUGUGGGUAAAUUACCCCUUAGGAUUGGUGUUGUUUUGUGUUAAUUGUGAUAUGUGAAAGCCGUGUACGCAAGGUGACGAGUGUGUACACGGGCUAAAUGUGGUAAUUUAUCGGUUCUAGCUAUGUAGAUUCUCUUCAUGCCUUUAAUUAAGUUACCAUAAUAUGUUAUAUUCAUCAUCUUUAGUCUAUCUUCACAUACUUUACUUGUCUUACCUCUUACUUGUUAAUUGCCUUUACAUGCCUAGUUGAAAUUAUUGUUUCCUCUAUUCCUUAUUCAUUAUUUAAUCAUUGAGUUCCUUACUUGAAGUUGUUAAUUCUUGGAAUUUCUUGUUGUUGAAAUUGGUAUUGGGCUAUAAAGGCCGUGAUUCACAUUGAGGCAAAGUUGUUAAGUUGUGAAAUAAUAUUCUUGUUGAGUUAUUCAUUUCCGAUUGUUAUUGUUGAGACUUUUGUGCAUAUUGUGGUUGAGCCCUGGGCUCUUUAAUGUGGAAACACCAUUGUUGUUGACUUCUUUGGCAAGUUGUGAUAUUGGGCACUUGAGGUGCGAUUUGUCAUACAUUGUGAUAUUGAUACGCAUGCGGCGGUAUAACGUUUGGGGUUGAAACGCAUGCGGUGAGAUAAGGUGGGCUUGAUACGCGUGUUGCUAGUAGGGGAAGUACUUGAAGCCACGCGGUAUGAUAAGGUGGGCUAAUACGCGGGAAGCUAUUUCGGGAAAAUGAUUUUCAAAACUAAAUGCAAGUCUCCCACGGUGAUAUAUGGAUAGAUUGUGAAUUGUUUUGUAAAAUGUGACUACGAGGUGGUACCUCAAUAGUGAUUUUUGUUGAUACUUUUCUAUUACUUCACUUGUGUUUUGGUUGCUUUGUUUACUUGGCAUAUCAUUCUUUGUUUUCUUCCGUGAUGCAUUAUUUGCCUUAGUUCAGUGUAACUAAUCUUGGUAUAUUUCUUUAUUGCUUCAUUUCCAUUGUUAUCAUUAUUACACUAUUAUAUAUACCUGUUCAGUUUCUUAUUUAUUCCAGUGGGGCCUUGAUCUGACCUCGUCACUACUCUACCGAGGUUAGGCUUGGCACUUAUUAGGUACCAUUGUUGUGUACUCAUUCUAUGCUUCUACACAUCAUUUUUUUGCAGAUACAGGUACUUCCUACUAGCCCAGGCACAAGUCAGACAAGCUCAGCUUCGGAGAGUCCGCAGGCCUCAGAGUCACCCUCUAUCUAGUUUACUUCAUUUUCUUUCCCUUUCAUAGACACUGUUGUAUAGGGAUGAUCAGUAUUUAUUCGUAGAGCUUGUGACUUGUUAUCACCAGAUUUUGGGAAGUUUUGUUAUGCUGAGUUGAGAAGUUUCUUUUAUGAUAGUUGUUGAGAAUUUGAGAGAGUUUUAUCAAUAUUUCUGUCAUAUUCUACAUGUAUGUUAGGCUUACCUAGUCUUGGAGACUAGGUGCCAUCAUGAAAUCCAACUGAGGGAAAUUGGGGUCGUGACAAGUUGGUAUCAGAGCCCUAGGUUCAUAGGUGUUAUGAGUCACAAGCAGGUUUAGUAGAGUCUCGCGGAUCGGUACAGGGACGUAUGUACUUAUCUUCGUGAGGCAAUAGAACUGUUAGGGAAAUCUUCACAUCUUUGAUUCCUUAUCGUGCGAAUUUGUUGACUUUGAAAUUCUAAAUCUCUAUCUUUCUAUGCUCUCACAGAUGGUGAGGACACGCAUAGCUAGAUCUGAUGAUCAGACACCCGCACCCCCUGCUAGAGCUGCGAGAGGCCGGGGCAAGGGAAGAGGCCGAGGACGGGCACGUGGUGCAGCCAGAGCACCUGCUCGAGCAGCUAUAGAGGAGCCACCAGUAGCUCCAGUUGGGGGGCAGGCACCAGAGACGCUUGUUACUGCCCCUGCACUUCAGGAGACCCUCACCCAAUUUUUGAGCAUGUUCGGCACUCUAGCUUAGGCGAGGUUGAUUCCACUUAUUCCUGCCACAUCUCAGGCCGGGGGAGGAGCACAAACUACCGCCGCCUGUACCCCAGAGCAGCAGGUCCAGGUUGUCCAGGUCCUAGAGGUCAUACCAGUAUAGCCGGUUGUCCCAGUUCAGCCCGAGGUUAGGGCAGCAGCAUCUGAGGGGAAGCAGAUCAUGCUCGAGAGGUACCAAAAGUACCACCCCCUACUUUCAGCGGCUUAUCUUUAGAGGAUGCACAUGGUUUUCUUGAGGAGUGCCACCAUAUCCUUCGUACUAUGGGUAUUGUGGAGACGAGUGGGGUGGCUUUCACUAUGUUCAAGCUUAAGGAAGCGGCUUAUCAGUGGAGGCGAGCAUAUGAGUUGGGUAGCCCGGCCGAGGCAGCUUCACUCACCCGGGCUCAGCUUUCAGAGAUGUUCAUAAGAGAGUUUAUUCCCCAGAAUCUUCGGGAUGCAUGGCGCGCAGAGUUUGAGCAGUUACUACAGGGUGCUAUGACCGUAUAAAAGUAUGUUUUCAGGUUCAGUGAACUGUCCAGACAUGCAUCAGCCUUAGUCUCCAUAGUCAGAGAGUGAGUCCAUCGAUUUAACAAUGGGCUCAACCACUGUAUUAGAUUCAGCAUGGCUCGAGAGUUGGAGAUUGAUACCUUAUAGUAGAAGGUGGUGGAGAAUUGAAGGGUAUGUGGGGUCGGGAGAGAGAGGAGAGGAAGGCCAAGAGUCCUCAAGAUUCUGGCACAUAUAGUGGUGCCCAUGCUCCAGUUGCAGCGCGUCAUGGUAGAGGCUUUGUGAGCCGUCUUGUUCACUCAGCACUCCCAGCUUCCAGCGGUAUUACGGCUACUCCUAGGUCUCAGGUUGACCAUUAUGCACUGCCACUAUUUAGUGCACCUCCUGCACGGGGUGCUUUAAGCAGUCAGUCCAGCCGACCAGGGCUGAGCUAGUUUCAACAGCCACGCCCUCUAAGAGCUUAUUUUGAGUGUGGGGAUACUCUUCAUAUGGUAAGGGACUUCCCUAGAAUCAGGAGGGGUACACCUCCACAGACUACUCAGGCUCCAAGUAUUCCAUAGGGUCCCCAGACUUCUCAGGCCAUGGUUAUCACACCAGAUGUUAUGCUCUACCAACUAGGAUGGAGGCGGUUGCAUCGAACUCAGUCAUAACAUGUAUUGUUCCGGUUUAUCAUAGAGAUGCAUCAGUAUUAUUUGACCCAAGCUCCACUUAUUCCUAUGUAUCAUCUUUAUCUGCUCCAUAUUUGGGUAUAUCCCGUGAUUCCUUGGGUUCUCCUGUCUAUGUGUCCGUGCUAGUGGGAGAUUACAUUAUUGUUGACCGUAUGUAUCGGUCGUGUUUAGUUGUCCUUGGUGAUUUUGAGACCAGAGUUGAUUUAUUGUUGCUCAGUAUGGUAGAUUUUGAUGUUAUUUCAGGCAUGGACUGGUUGUUUCCCUAUCAUGCUAUUCUUGAUUAUCACGCCAAGACAGUGACGUUGGAUAUGCCAGGUUUACCGCAGUUGGAGUGGAGGGUACUUUGGAUUAUGUUCCUAGCAGGGUGGUAUCUUUCCUUAAGGCAUAGAAGAUGCUUGGGAAGGGGUGUGAUGCAUAUCUAGCCUUUGUGAGGGAUGUCAGUGUUGACACUCAUACCGUGGAGUCAGUUCCGAUAGUGAGGGACUAUCCAGAUGUAUUUCCGGCAGAUCUUCUGGGCAUGUCGCCCGAUAGGGAUAUCGAUUCUUGUAUUGACUUAUUUCCAGGCAGUCAGUCCAUUUCUAUUCCACCAUAUCGUAUGGCCCCAACGGAGUUGAAGGAGUUAAAGGAGCAGUUGCAAGAGUUGCUUGAUAUGGGCUUCAUUCGAUAGAAAUUCAUUGAUCCCGGUAUUCGGUUCAUCCGAGGUUAACCAAGAUGUACCAUGAUCUUUGACAGCUAUACUGGUGGAACGACAUGAAGAGGGACAUUGCUGAAUAUGUCACUCAGUGUCCGAAUUACCAACGAGUUAAGGUUGAACACCAAAAACUAGGAGGAUUGCUACAAAAUAUGGAAAUUUUGACCUGGAAAAGGAACGCGAUCAUCAUGGAUUUCAUUAUCGGAUUACCGCGAUCACGUCGAAGGUUUUAUUCCACAUGGGUUAUCGUGGAUCGACUCACCAAGUCAACCCACUUUCUACCAGUUAAGACUACCUUCUCAGCGGAAGAUUAUGCUAAGCUAUACAUUAAGGAGGUAGUCUGACUCCACGGGGUUCCGAUUUCCAUCGUAUCAGAUAGAGGUUCCCAGUUCACAACUAACUUUUGGAGGUUAUUUCAGAAAGGAUUGGGUACAAAGGUCAACCUUACCCUUAGAUGGCCAGACUGAUCGCACUAUUUAAAUACUCGAGGAAUACCAUGCGAGUAUUCAAAUGGCACCAUAUGAAUCCCUAUAUGGACAAAAGUGUAGAUCUCCUAUCGACUGGUUUCAAAGUGGGGGAAACAAAGUUAUUGGGGCUAGGAUUGGUGUAACAGGUUGUGGAAAAGGUAAAACUAAUUAGAAGCUGAUUAUUGGCUGCCCAAAGUAGGAAGAAAUCCUACUCGGAUAACCGGCAGUGAUAUUUGAAGUUCGUCGUAGGGGACUGGGUGUUCUUCAAAAGUGUCACCAAUGAAGGGCGUAAUGAGAUUUGGUAAAAGAGGCAAAUUCAGCCCUUGGUAUAUCAGACCAUAUUGAAUCAUACAGAAGGUCGGUCAAGUGCCUUAUAAGCUUGAGUUUUCCCCGGAACUGGAAGCAGUGCAUCCGAUAUUCCACGUGUCUAUGCCUCGAAAGUGCUUGAGUGAUCCAUCUUGUGUUACCCCUAUUAAGUAUAUCCAAGUUACAUAAGAUCUAUCUUCCAAAGAAAUUCUGGUGGCCAUCUUAGAUCGUCAAGUCCGUAAUCUACAAACUAAAGAGGUAGCUUCAAUUAAAGUACUUUGGAGGAGCAAUAGUAAAGAAGAAAUGACCUGGGAAGUGGAGGAAGACAUGAAGUCUAGGUACCCCCAUCUAUUCCACACCACGGAAGGAAAAAAGGAAAUCACCAUGAGGGGCUGCGAUUUAACAUUCGAGGAUGAAUGUUUCGAAUGGGGGAAUGAUGUUACACCCAACAGCUAAGUAGAGUUUGGUAAGUGUGGCUUCUAGCGCGGCCAAUCAGGUGAUGACGUGUUUGAAGCCAGAAGUUGGUUAUAUACAUUUCAGUGGGCUUGGGCUAAAUGUCUCUCCCGGUGUCAUGACCCAAAACUUGACCGAUCGUGAUGACGCCUAUCAUAGUACUAGACAAGCAGACAUCUUACACAUACCAACAUUUUUAAAACUCAAAUAUGCUGAAGUAAAUUUAGAUAAUUAAGAAUUUCACAAAUACGGGAUAUGAACCUCAAAAAUCAAUACAAGAAUCCUCCCAAAAGAUCUAGGUGUCACGGAGUGCAUGAACAUCUAUAUAUAUAACAACAUAGUAUGCUACACUGUCUUAAAAGUAAGACAAAAUACAUAAAACUGAAAGAUAGGGAAAGGAGGAUUAAGGUCUGUGGACGCCAAGCAGCUACCUCGAUGAUCUCCGAACAGGUAGACUCCACGAUCAACAAUCGUCAUGCCCAGAAAUGCCAGAAUCUGCACACGAGGUGCAGGGUGUAGUGUGAGUACAACCAACUCAAUGAGUAUCCCAAAUAAAUAGGGCAAGGUAAGAGAAGCUUAAUUUGUUGAAGUCGCUAGUUAAAUCAGUACAAUUCUAUCCUUCUUGAUUAACAUAAUAUUAGAUUUAAUGCUAGCUCAUAAGGCUUCCUGAUACGAAUAUCGGUGUGUGCAUGUGUACUGUCCUCGACUACCCCGCUCAACAGUAUUAUGGCAUAUAGGAGAAAGAAAACAAGUAAAUCAGAUAAAUGAUCAAGAAAAUACAAGUUUCACACACUGCACGGACAACUCACGUGCUGCACGGACAACUCACGUGCUAACAAUAGGGUAUGCACGGAAAACUCGCGUGCGACACGGACAACUCACGUGUCAAUAAUAUCAAUAUAUGGAUCCGCACGGACAACUCACAUACUACAUGGAUAACUCACGUGCCAAUAAUAUCAAUAUGUGGAUCCGUAUGGACAACUCACGUGCCAAUAACAUAAUCCGCCCGGCAUAGCCGCAGGCCCCAGUACAAAAUAUCAUACAGAAGCAAUAAAGCAAGUGUGCAGGUAUAUAAUGAAUGAAAUGAGAUUUUCCUAUCCCUGAACUGGUGUAAAUAACAUGCUAAAGUGUAGGCAUGUGCAAAGUGUGCUAUCAUAGCUAAAUCUAGAAAUUUCAUCAAUGAAGAGCAUUUAUCAAGUUUGUUUGGGGAUUAUGCCUCUAAGUAGACUCAUCAUGGCUUAAUUAGAUCACAUAAACUGUUACCACAUGUUAGAAGCUUAACAGUCAUUUCUGGGCAUAUAGAUGCCCGAGCACAAUCCAAACAUGAAUACACAACCCCGGUGCCCGCACAUGGGAUCAUCCUCGCACAUUUGUGCACCCAAAAGCACGUGGCUAUCACAACAAUUCAGUGAACUGGUGCCUUAACCUAGUUUAAAUAUGAUACUUACCUCAAGCAACUCGAAUCACUCCGCUAGCAAGCCCUUGCCUUGCGAAUCGGCCUCCGAGCGCCUCGAAUGUAGCCAUAAACAAUUCGAUACAAUCAACACUAGCUAAAGAAAUUGAUUCCAUAAGUAAAUACCAACUUCGUAAUAAAAAGUCAAAAAGUCACUCUAAAGCCGGCCCCCAGGCCCACGUCUCGAAAUCCGAUAAAGGUCACUGAAUUCGGAAGCCCAUACAACCAUGAGUCCAACCAUACCAAAUUUACCAAAAUCUAACACCAAAUCGACCCCCAAAUUCCCAAUUUAAACUCUCCAAAUUCCUAGCCUCAAACCCCCAAAUUACACCUUAAAAGCACACAAUCUGCGUGGGAAAAUCAAUGGUGAAGCAUAAUUAUUGAGCAAAUUAAACCACACGUGACUUACCUCAAGAAUCCCUUCAAAAUCCCUCUCAAAAUCGUCUAAUCUCGAGCUUGGAAAUGUUCAAAAAUGAAGAAAAUCUCGGAACCCUCAUUUUUAAUACACUGCCCAGCCUUUUCCGCACUUGCGGAGCCUGGGCUUGCACCUGCGCUUCGGAUUUUGUGGAGAAAAACUCGCUUCUGCAAAACUCACUUAACAGCCGACCAAGCGCACCUGCAGUCCCAGCUUCGCACUUGAGGGACCGCAUCUGCAAACCAUUCCCCACUUCUGCGACUCCCAUACUACCCGUCCAUAUCCGCUUCUGUGGUCGACCUCGCGCAGAUGUGUAUCCACAUCUGUGAAACUUUUCCGCUCUUGUGACCUCCAGUGACCUUCCUCUGCUUCUGUGGCUCCGCACCUGCGGCCAAUCCCACCGCAGGUGCAUGACACCAGAUCUGCAGCACCUCGGCAUAACACUUAAGCCAAAUUCAAUCCGUUAACAUCCGAACUCCACCCGAGGCCCCCGGGACCUCAACCAAACAUACCAACAAGUCCUAAAACACGAUAAAAACUUAGUCGAGUCCUCAAAUCACAUCAAAAAAUAUCAAAAACACGAAUCGCACCCCAAUUCAAGCCUAUUGAAACAAAGGAAUUCCAACUUCUACAAACGACACUGAAACCUAUCAAAUCACGUCCGAUUGACCUCAAAUUUUACACACAAGUCACAAAUGACAACACAAACCCACUCCAACUCCUGUAACCCCAAUCCGAGCCCGGUAACCACAAAGUUCACUCUCGGUCAAACUUCUAAAUUUCCAACUUUUGCCAUUUCAAGCCUAAUUCAUUUAUAGACUUCCAAAUCACAAUCCGGACACGCUUUUGAGUCCAAAAUCACCCAACGGAGCUAACGGAACCAUCAAAACUCUUUUCCAGAGCCGUUUACAUAUAAGUCAAUAUCCGUUCAACCUUUUCAACUUAAGCUUUCAACCUUGAGACUAAGUGUCUCAACUCAUUUCGAAACCUUUCCGGACCCGAACCAACUACCCCCAGCAAGUCACAUAGCAGCUAUAAAGUACAAAAUGAGCAGUAAAUGGGGGAAUAGGGCUACAACUCUCAAAACAACCGGCUGGCUCAUUACACUCGGUGCUGCAACCGGGGCGGGACAACCUAUUUUGCAUGUGGAAUGGCAAAAUUUCCAAUGCUUGGUAUAAAUAUAUAAAGGUAGUAAGGCUCAUUAUCAUUGAAUCCAUGAGAAGUAACACCCACCAUAACUCACCAAAACCACCCUCACAUCUCCUUUGAAGUUUCAAAAUAGCCUAAACUGAAUUAUAAGACGACUCUAUUAGGACUUAGCGUGAAAAGAUUUGGAAUAAUUGAAGUAACAUCUAUCUUCUGGUGGUAUUGAUAUGAAGGUUCAUUAAAGGAAAAGUUAACCUUCAUAGAAGUGCAGUUAGAUUUUCAACAAGGUAUGUAGGACAAUCUUCUUUCUUGGCAUGAGUUAGUGUAAGACUUUCCUUCCUUCUAAAUGAAUCCUCCACUGUAAGGUUUGGUAGUUCUAAGCCCCUUUCAAUGAAGUUAUUUUGUCCUUGCACAUUCUUGAUGGGAGAAUUUCUUUUGAUGUCUAAAAUGUCCCAAUUUGUAUCCUGAAGGUGGGGUGCUUUAUUCAUUUCGAGUUUAUAGUUAAAAUUCCCUUGAAAUGGACAUUACAUUGCACUUAUAUAUAUGUAUCUAUUUUACUUUACUGAGCCGCGCUAUAGUCGGCCGGACGUGGAACCUGUUGACGAUCAAUUUUGACCUUCCCUUUUAAAUUUAUUUAUUUAUUUAUACUUAAUGAUUUUCAAUAAAUGUCUUGAAAAUAUUUUUGAUCAAUAAUACCUAUUUUUACAAAAAAAAAAAACAAUUUAGUAAUUAAUAGUGUUGAAAUUAAUAAAUUAGUAUUAUAUAAUUAAAAAAUAUACCGUAUUUACUAUUUUUAGAUUAUUAAAGUAACCUCUAUAUUCCUUAAUUUUAGUUAAUUAGGCUAUUAUUUCAAUAAUUCGAAAUCAAUGUCAUAAUUUGGAAAAUAAAGUAUUUUUAUAAAUAAUUAAUUAAUUACAAUAAUUUGCAAUAUAUUUGAUAAUUAUAAUUUCUACUAUAUUUUAUUGAAAGUAAUUAAUUUUAUUUAAAUUAAUUUUAAAAGGGUUAAAGACUAAGAGGCUACAAUUGCAAUGUCCUAAUUAAAUACAAAGUGGCUACUAUUUAAAUUAUUUUUAGCCCAAAUGUGAAGCCCAAUCCGGACCUGACCUAGUCCAAACUACACCUCCAAUCAAAUAUGGCAAUCCAUGCCACUCUUUGUGAGCCAAUGUAACGACCCGGCCGGUUGUUUUGAGAGAAUUAGCCCAGAUCCCCUAUUUAUUGCUCCCCUUAUUGCACUUUGUAAUUUUGUGACUUGCCGAGGUGCUUGGUGUCAGAUUCUGGGGAGUUUAUGAGUGGAAUGGGACACAUAGUCCCCAAAUUGAAUGUUAAAGUUAUAAGAGUUGACCGUAGUUCGACUUGUAUGAAGACGACCCCCGAACGGAGUUUUGUCAGUUCCAAUAGCUCCAUAUGGUGAUUUUGGUCUUAGGAGCGUGUCCGGAUGUUGAUUUGGAGGUCCGUAAGUCAUUUCAACGUUAAUUGGCGAAAGUUGGAAGAUUUUGAAAGGUUUGACCGGGAGUGGACUUUUUGAUAUCGGGGUCGGAUUUCGAUUCAGGAAGUUGGAAUAGGUUCGUAAUGUCAAUUAUGACUUGUGUGCAAAAUUUGAGGUCAAUCGGACUUGAAUUUAUAGGUUUCGUCAUCAUAUGUAGAAAUUAGAAGUUCUGAAGUUUAUUAGGCUUGAAUCGAUGUGUAAUUCAUGUUUUUAGUGUUGUUUGUUGUGAUUUGAAGGCUCGACUAAGUUCAUAUGAUGUUUUAAGUCUUUUUGGUAUGUUCGGAUGGGGUCCCGGGGGCCCCGGGUAUGAUUCGGGUUGAAUUCAGACCAAUUUUGGACUUAGCUUCAUUUCUGAAGUCCCAGGCCUACUGGUGUCAUCACACCUACAGAGAGUUUGACCGCAGGUGCAGAAUCGCAGGUGCGUAAGGUGAAGCACAAAAGCGAAAAGGAGAGCCCAGGCCUGGGCUCGCAGCGGACACCUAGGUGCAGGUGCGCCUCCGCAGGCGCGACCAUUUCCUCCGCAGAAGCAGAAGUGGAGGAGGGGCUUUGGGAAGGACCGUAUGUGCGGUCUCUUUCUCCGAAGUAGCGGGCUCGCAGGUGCGACCCAUGGUUUGCAGAGGCGGAACUCCUUGUCUCUAGUGGAAUCCGCACCUGCGAUGAUUUUUCUGCAGGUGCGGCAUCGCAGAUGCGACCAAAGUCCUCAAAAGUGGGAGUUGCUGGGCAGAAAAGGCCUAAGUUCGAGGGUUUUAUUCAUUAUCCAUUUUUGGACAUAAAGAGCUCGAUUUGUGGUGAUUUUUUUGAGGGUUUUGCAAGGAAAUAGUUGGGGUAAGUUCUAACCCAUUUUUGAUUAAUUCCCACGAAUCUAUUGUCGUUUCCAUCAUUUAAUUAGUGUUUUAGUUGGAAAUUUGGGGAAACUUUGGGGAUUUGAAAGGCGAUUUGAGGUCGGAUUUGACUAAUUCUUAUAUGAUUGGACUCGAUAUUUAAUGGCUGUUAGAAUUUUAUAAUUUUGGUCGUGUUCUGAGACGUGGACCCGGGUUGACCUUUUGGAGCGAUUUUUUAAUUCUUUGCUAAAGUCAUAAUUUUAUUAUUUAAAUUAGUUUCCUAUAGUUAUAUUUAUAGUAUGAAUUGUUUUGGCUAGAUUCGAGCCUAUCGGAGUUGGAAAAAUGAGGCAAAGGCCUUCUUAUUGAUUGAUUGAGCAAGGUUUGAGGUAAGUGACUUGUCUAACCUUAUGUGGGGGAAAUUUUCCUUGGGAUUUGGUACUGUUAUGGUAAAUUGCAACACGUGAAGGUCGUGUACGUGAGGUGACGAGUGCGUACUCGGGCUAAAUGUUAAAAAUCCAUUUUUUGCUAUGUAGUUUCCUUUUAUUUCCUUAAUUGAGUUACUCUAGUAUGUGUAGUCAUCAUGUUUAGCCUAAUUUUAACAUGUCUACGUGUCUUAUCUCUUAUUUGCAAUUUUUACAAUAUGCGUAGUCGAAUUACAUGUUUUCUUGAUUCCAUAUUCAUUCUUUAACUGUAGGAUUCCUUGAUUGUAUCAUUAUUGUUUUAAUUGUUAUGUGUUUGUUUUCGUGAUUAUUGGUGAGACGACUGUCGGUCGUAGCAUGAGGUUUCUGUCGUGCGGAUUGUUAUUGUGGCACGAGGUUUCUGCCGUGCGGAUUGUUAUUGUGGUACGAGGUUUCUCCCAUGCGGUUGUUAUGGUUGCACGAGGUUUCUGCCAUACCAUUGUGUGAUAUUUACUUUUGGGACUACGAGGUUGUACCUUGGGAGUGCCCUUGUUGUUCUCCUCUGUUUGCUGCCUUGUUGUUGUUGUUGUUGUUGUUCCUUAACUUGUAAGAUUCGUGCUUCCUUACGUGAUGUAAUUGUCUUCUUUGAUUCUGUGUUGUUAUCUUCUGUGAAUUUCUAUUGUUACACUUCUCUGUCAUUUCAUAGAAUCUUUAUAUCUUCUGCCUUGUGUUCUUAUUAUCCCCAGUAGGGCCCUGACCUGAUCUCGUCACUACUCUACAAAGGUUAGGCUUGGCACUUACUGGGUACCAUUAUGGUAUACUCACACUACGCUUCUGCACAUGUUUUUGUGCAGAUCCAGGUCCAUCCUAUCAACCUCGAUAUUAGUGCACUGUGUUGCUGCUUUGGAGACUUCAAGGUACACCUGCCCGCGUUCGCAGGCCUCGGAGUCCCCUUCUAUCCCGUUCUUUUUCUUAUUUCCUUACAUUUUGAUAGACAUUGAUUUAUAGGAUUGUUCGGUACUAUAUUUAGAGCUUGUGACUUAUAUCUCACUAGGUUUUGGGAUUUUACGUAUUGAGUUUUUGGUAGAUUCUUUUUUUAUAAAAUUGUUGGGAUGUUCAAGUUUUAAAUAUCUCAUUUAAUGUUUCCGCAUAUUGAUUAGGCUUACCUAGUUUUAGAGACUAGGUGCCAUCACGAUAUCGUACGGAGGGAAUUUGGGGUCGUGACAACCAAUAGCAGUGCACCAUGUCACCCAUCUCUAUCACUCACACCACAAACACAAGCAAUCUGAGUCGUCGAUCCAAGCCAUCAACGGUUCACAUUUAUCCAUAUUUUCUCUUCUAUUUUUAACCUCUCACCGGAUAUUACCACCACUGUUUGAUCACACAAAUCCAACGGUUCCCGUGUUUUAUCAUAAAAACAUUUUAAAAACUUUUAAUCCCUAAUUUAUCAAGGCCGUAUCCAACGACCCAGAUCUAUUCUCCUGUUCUUAACCCUAGAGACCAACCCUAAUUACCUUCAAUGUCACGCCCCAAAACCGAGGAGCACGACCGGCACUCAACCGAGUGAACCCAAUCGAGCAAACCUGUUAAAUUUCAUUCUGCCCAAACUCAUCCACGAGUGGAGAUAAUACAUAUUUUCAUUAAUUAGACAAAAAGGCGUUCAUGUCUACAAUACCAAUUCAUUACCAAUAGUCUCAUCAUUUUUAAAGUCUCAAAUGGACAAAUAAUACAGCCAAAAAAUAACAUAUUUUGACUUUCCCAGCACCAAUACACAACCCACACUAUGUCUACGGAGUCUCUAUAGUCAAAGAAGAGUACAAUGAUAAUGCCGGCAACAAGGCCCCGGCUAUACCUCAAACAGAAUAUACAAAGUACAAAGAUACAUGACUCCGGGAUGAAGUGGGGCUCACCAAGUCAACUGAGAAGAGGGUGUACUACUAUCACUGAUCAAUAUCUCUUGCUGUGGAACCACCUGCAUCCAUUUAAAGAUGCAGCGCCCCCAACAAAAGGGACGUUAGUACCAUCGAAUAGCACUAGUAUGUAUAACUAAAUACCCUCUCGAUAGAAUGACAAAUAAUACAAACACGAUUAUCAUAAUAUCAAUGAAAGCCUUAAUCAACAUCAAACCUCAACUUAAGAUCAAGACAAUGUUCAAAUUAAUUUCCAUAUCUCACAUUGGGAGAUGUUUAGCAUCGAUAUACCAUUGUUCACAAUAACAUUAUUCACAAUACCAAUAUCCACAAUACCAAUACCACCGUACUCUCAGCACGGAGUCCGAUCACGACCCGAUCGGCUAGGCUAUGUCAUUAGAGACAUCAACAACAAUUUCUUUCAGUGUCAGUACCACCGUCUUUAACACGGAGUCCGAUCACGACCCGAUCGACUAGGCUAUCCAUUAGGGAUAUCUACCACAAUCACAAUUUCAAUUACAAUUUCCAGCAUAAUCACCACCAUGUGUGCGGCAUGGUGUCCGAUCACUACCCGACUGGCUAGGCUGUCUUAUUCGAGACAUCAACCUUUUUAUAUCAAUCAUCGCAUUCCAUACUUCUUUUACAUCUUUUCAUCUCAUUGGCACUAGUGGCCAAAAUUAUAAAAUCAUUCUUGGCACGUUGGCCGUAUUUAGUAUUUCAUGCUCACCUUUUCAAUUUAGAAUAUCAUCAUCAUCAUCAACAACAAAUACAAUUCAAAUCAAGGUGUGUAGUACACAUGUGAGCAAUUUAGAGUCUAAGGCACAUAGAGAUAUUUCACAAAAUUUGGCAUAAUAGCCUUCGUUUGAACUUGACUUGAAGUUGAAACAUUAUUAAUGCACAAACCAUAUUUUAACACAUUCUCAAUUGAUAACAUAACAUGAAUAAAGCAUUUGAGAUACUUGUCGAAUAUAUAUCUUUCAACCCAAUCUUACUCGGAAUAGCCAAUUUUAUAAUGAACCACUCGGGACUUACAUAUUUUUCAUGAAUAUCGUGUGAUUCAAUUCUAAGAGAAGAGUUUAGCCAACAUAACUCAAUUGAGCUUUCUUAAACUCUAAAAUAUUCCGGAAUUGGUUUUAUCAAACACUAGGUGUGCAUUAAGGUUUCAAGGUCCUUUUAUGGAGGAUUCCAUCAUCCCACAACCCAAUCUUUACCAUUUUUAGCUCAACAAUCUUCCUACACUCUUUGAUAACACAUGCAUGCAAAAUAAAUAACUCUCAUGCCCCAAAAAUUAUCUUGCUAGUUACCCACUUCUAGACAAAAUUCGAAAUUGAGGGUUAGGAUGUAGAAUCUUACCUCUAAGAUGAAGAUCUAGUGAGUUUCCCUUCUUAAUCUUCCAAAACUUGAGCAAGAAUUGAAGAACACCUUCUCACUCUAGGGCACUCUCUCUCACUCUAAAAUGUCAUAUUAUAGCUCAAAAAUGGCCCAAAGAGUGUAUUUAACGAAAUAGGGUCGGGUUUUAAAAACCCAAAAAUGGAGCUCCGGAACAAGUCUACGAUCGCAUAUGCGAUCGCAUAAUCAAUAUGCGAACCGCAUAUCGGUCGCAUAAUUGCUGACCAAAACAACCAAAAAUCUGCCUGUGUUUGCGAUCACUAUGCGGUCCACAUAACUGUUAUGCGGUCGUAUAAUGAACCGCAGAACAAUUAUGCGGCCGCAUAAUUGCAUCCAAGUUGACCCUCUUGUGACUCACUUCUUCGGCCAUUAUGCGGCCCGCAGAGUGAUUAUAGGGUCGCAUAAUGGACCGCAUAAAUGUGCUCUUCCGCCAAAAAUUUUUCUUUACUUUCUAGUGCAUUAUUCAACCCAAAGCAAGCCGCAAAAAGUUUAUACACUCCUCAAACACGUAAGCCCAAUUCUGCACAUUCAACCCGAAAUCAUUUCCCCCUUUGACCGCCAUCCCCAUUUCACUUUCCUCUCUCUAUUCUCUCAACACACCAGAUCAAAGCCAGUCACAGACAUUGCACAAAUUUGUGCAAGGUCACAAAUCAUGCCUGAAACCAUCCUUUUGCCUUCGGAAAUCUGCGAAUCCAGCCGACUAUUUCCUAUCUCAUCACUCAAAAUUCAAAUUCCCAAAUCUGAACCCAGAUUCAAUGAUGUAAUUUCAAAUCUCUGAUUUCUCUCAUGUGUUGUUAAAUCCAUGGCAUGCAUGGCAUUUCUUUAUCAUCAAAACUGUUAUUCUUUGUCCAGAGGUCAAACGUAGUAGCCUCUAGACAUUAAAGUCUUAUCCGAUGGUUCUUUUCCUUCAACGUCCAUUCUUCAAUCAUUUAAACUUCUUCAUUAUUUUCCCCUCUGUCCCCUUAGAUUUUCACUCGAUUUUUCUUGCAUCACCACCCCCUAUCACUCUCCAGUAUCAAUUUGAAUCAGUUGAGCCCUAAGCCUUCCAUGGCAACUAUAAAUUAGGACUUUUAAUGCUUUCACCUAACAUAAGAGAACAUACAUACGAAAUUAAUAAAAAAUAAUCAAUUUCAUGUCUUGAAAGUAAAACUAGGUUUCUUUCUAACUAGUUCUCUGCUUUUUUCCGAUUUUGAGCACUACUCUGGUUAGAGUCUUGAGUCUUGGGUUCUUAAUGGUUAUAUAAAAGUCUCAUUUGGUUUUAUGCCUUAAAGGAGGUCAGUGAACCGCAACGCUCCUCCUCUUUUAAUCGUUUGAAUUUGCAAGCAUGAUUGUUAUGUUAUCUUUUGUUAAAUGACACUAUCGAUAAUGUGUUAUGAUUGACUAUAACUGGAAUCAUAAGUUUCUUAAUGUGUUUAAAUUAGAACCAUGUAUUGAUUAGUUAAUCCUGAUGAACAUUUUUGAUAACUUAUAUGUACUGUUAAACUUUUGAGAGUAACCAAAGAAACCUUCAAAUAACCUUAAUAGUUGGCUUAAUCUCCUGAUAUUCUAUUGUAACCUUCAUGUGUGUUAUGACUUAGUGUUAUUGUCAUGAUUCACUUGAUGUUUGGCCAAAUUGGGCAUGAAUGUGUGCUAUUGAGUAUAGGGAUAUCACAUGAUCUAAACAUGGUAGUUUACAAUGCGUGAACCAUCUCUAUCUUCAAAUGUAUUCUUCUAUGAUUCUGUAACUCUAAAAAUCAGUGUAAGACUUUUUGUCAGCUCCCAUAACUGUUUAUCACAUAUGUGAACUUCGCUAUAUGAGAGAAUGCCUUAGUGUAACUGGAUUAAGCUCUAAGAAACCUAUGCACUUCAGUUCUGUCUUCUGCUAUCUACUUGGUUUAAGUCAUGUCUAUAAAUCUAACAGAAAUUGUACCUGCUAUAGUUGAAUACCAUCUGAUUGAACCAUGUGUUGCAAAACCUCAUUAUGUCAACUAAUCUACUUAACUUGUAAUUGAAAUAUGCUUGCCUAGUAUAAAUUUUCACUAUUCAGGACCAACUAUGAUGCACAUGCAAGUCUAAUUCCAUGUUUAGUACUUAGUGUUGUAGUAAUGUGGUAGUAUUAGUUAGAAUACAACAUGUACACAUUUGAAUAUCACAUAUUAGGAGUUCUGUACUCAUCAAUGCCUUAAAGGAAACUAUUGUUUGUAUAUCUUGUUUAUGACUGUGUUUCUAGGUCAUUAAAAUCUACUAAGUUCAGUGAAGUUUACCUAUAGACUUAGAAGAAUCCCUUUAAAUGUUUAUCUAACCUAUUUGAAUGUAGUACUAUAUGUUUAUCUCUUAGCCAACCUAGAUGUGAAUGAAGAUCUCUUUGGAGAUCAUUUGCAAAUGUAUUUGCCUGCCUCUAUUUUCUUAAGAAUAUUGAAGUGGAUUGUUAACUUUCUCACCUAGUAAGGAAUCGAAUAUUGGUCUUUAUGAAGACUCUCAUUAAGUAUGCAUGAUUAAGUACAUGAUUACAGCUAAUGACCUUCAUAAGUAUGAACAUACUAAUAUGGCUAUUGAUGUUGAUAUGCUUGAUACCUCCCACGUUCCUUUGAACUACACAGUUUACUUAUUCCGAACCCUUCUAUUCAUGUCCUGCUAUUUUCUCACUGUUUGCUAGAACCUAUAAUUGAUUUUGUCUGAGUGACCUUAAGCUUGAUAAGAGUUCAUGAUAGCACUGCAUCCUUUGUAUGCAAAUCAUGAGAUGAUGCUUUUGUGUUCUGGGUAUGUUAUUGAAAUAUAUCUCUCAUUAUGUAUAAAUAACCACUGUGGUAUUGUAGUUUAUAAUGAACACCUCAUUAGCACCUAAAUCUGUAGAGAAGAGUAAGUGUGAUUAGUUAGUUCUUGAUUGAAUUACUCUCCUUGACACAAGCACUGUUCAGGGUCCUUGAGACCCUUGUGAACUUUGAAAUGCUAGGGACCCAAAGAGUACCUUUGCCAUGAAUGAAAUUCUACCCUAAGCCUUUAAUCUAUUGAUAUUUAUUAAUUAGGUUUAGUGUUCAAUGGAAACAAAGGCUUUCACUGUAAAUUGCUUUACUAUAUGUGAUUUUAUACUAAUUUUGCUUUCUUGAUUACUGUCGAUUUUAUAGUUUAUCUUGGAUUUAUAUUACUGUUACUUACAUAUAAUUAUGUAUAUUGGGCCACAUAUCUAAUGACUUUCUCUUUCUUUUGUAUGUCUAUUUAAAUUGGGCCUGCCGAGUUCAAAAGGAACUCUGGCCCAAGUUCUUUGCCUAAACCUUUUGGAGUUUGAAGCUGCUAUUGUCCGUAUUCGCUAUAUGAUGGGCUUACCUUCCGUCAGGACCAAACCCAGAGUCCACCUCAUUCCCUUAUCGUUUAAAGUCUAUUGAUUAUUCUCAUAUGUAUAUAACACUUAUGAUAUUUUAUUGAAUGCUUUGCUUUAUAUCUUUGAAUUAUGUUAACAACCUAGGCAAGCUCUAAAGAUAUAGGAUAAAAUAAACACUGUGACUUAGUAACAAUAAUUCUAAUUUGCUAAUCAUUCCUAUUAUUCAGUUCUUAGCCUUUACUAAUGAUUAUCCUGAAGUCUUUUUGAAACUAAGACAACCUUCGCAAAGGUCGACAAUAUUCUCUUUUCUAAAACCAAAAAAUCCAAUCGAAAAUGAUUUUUAAAAGGUUGAGCUUUUCUACAAAAAAUCGAACAAACGCUGCUGCAAAGCCAAAGGUUUCAAAUGAUUUCUUCAAAUUAAAUGUCAGAUUUGAGAAUCAAUCCUCAAGGUAUACCUAUGGCCUACUUCUUUAAACACCUUAACUUUACUAGAGUUAUAUAAAUACCCACACCAUUUCAAAGAUAAUUUGUUUUAAACUUAGCCACAUCUCACAAGGUUUGUAUAAACAAACAUUAUAAAUAUACUUCAAAAAACUUUUUCAAUCAUAUAGAUGUAAACAUUUUUAAAGGCUUUUACUAAUGAAAUCUAUGUCCUCUUUUCAAAAUUACAUAUAUUAUUUUCAAGUGAUAAGCUUUAAACUGGACAUACAAUAAGCUAUACUUUUCCUAACACUAAUUAGGCAGAAUAUAAACAUCUAAUUCCUUAAACCUAGUCUAAGUCCUAUGGAGCUACCUUAGGUAGAUUUUAAGGGUUGCCUAACACCGUCCCCUUAGAAAAAUAAGAACCCUUACCCAAAAUCUCACCGGUUAGCAGACUAAUAGAGAAAUGAUCUUAGUAAUUAAACAUGUACCCUAGUAUACCUUUAAAUAUUAGGUGGCAAUUCUCUUUUAUCAUCAACAAGAAAAUCACUAGUUGAAUCUUCUUUUGACUCGUGCAAAAUAGGGUACAAUAACAUGGCGACUAUGCUAGGGAUUUCACACUUAGGUUCUGACCUUAGAGGACUUAGACCAGACUUGGAAUUUAGGAUUGCUUGUACACUACUUUAAUUGUGUUUGAUUUGCAAUUGUAUGCUUGCCUGCCUUACUUGCUCAUGAUGUACUUAUCUGCUUGCUUCAAUAUUAUUAUUAAUAUUCCACUAUCUGCUACUGCUUUAUAUAUAUUGUCAUCACACUCUUUCCUAUCGUGUCUUGGCCGUACACUAUCACACACAAUGGCAUGCGAGGAUUGUCUUUUACACCCCUCCGAACUUUCUUUCGAAACUCUUUAGUUUCAGAGAAUGACUUUGUCAAGUCAACUGACAUAACUUCUUGCAGUAUUUAGUCCAACUCAAAAUUAGGAAACACUCUACUCUAGCUAACAUAGGUCAUAUUGCAUAAACCUCAGGUGGGUCAAUCCUUGGCAUCGGCACACAAUUAGAAAAGCCACCUUAAUGUCAAGGGGUCAUGCACCCAAUAACAUGACUUUUGUGUAAAGACGAACUAAUCAUGACGAGACAUUUAUGAUUCGAAGAAAACACUUAUCAAACCCAUUUUUCUCCACCCUUUUCAGAAAUGGAAAUCAACUAGAAUAUCACGGAGAUCAAUAUGGUGAUGGGAGCACCUCACAAGCUAAAGCAAUUGUGGAAGAAAAUCCUCCAAGAGCAUGGAGACGAAAUCAGGACACACCUAGGAGCAUUGACUGCCUUACUAAACAUCCGGGCUGACAGGUUGCUUACACGCUUGCUGAUAGAAUUCUUGGAUACGGCCAAAGUAAUUUUCAAGUUAGCUGACUUUGAGUUGGUGCCAACUUUGGAAGAAGUUACCAGUUUCAUAGAGCUACCAUUUACUGGGAGGAAGCCUAUAUUACCAGUUACCAUGCCCGGCUACAGGUUUCUUGAUGCUUUAGGUCUGGAAAACAGUCAAGGUUUGAGAAACAUUGAAGAUGGAUGGUUAAGCCUAGACCAAUGGUUCGACAAGUUUGGACAUCGUGAAAGCUAUGAAUGGUACUUGGGAAAAUUUCAGUGUGAUCCGGAAACCUGGGAAAGUCUCCGAUCCAUAACCUUCUCUUUGGUGCUGCUAGGAUUGGUGGUUUUCCCACAAAGGAGAGGACAAAUCAAUAUCAACUCGCUGUAUGUGGUCUUGGCAAUAUUCUGGGGAAACCUUCAAGCCACUUUGGUACCUAUGGUGUUAGCAGAAAUUCUCAUAGUAUUGUCUGCAUGUUCCCAGGGGUACGAUUUCUUCAAGAGCUACAACCUGUUUCUUCAAAUAUGGGCCAAAGAGCACUUCUUUCAGCGAGAGGCCACAAUUGACUACUUUGUGGGCGUUAGCAACUUGAUUCGAAUCACAAUGAGAGAAUGGAGCAUUGAGUCUCCCCGCAUGGAUAGGAAGAAUGGAGAGAGAUGCUGACUAAUUUAAGGGGAGAGUGGAUCAAUUGGAAGCUAUCAUGGCUUAGGGAAGGGAAAUUCUAAGGACUCCCCAGAAGUAUUUCAUAGAGCUGAUAGGACUUGAGGGCAUCCGGCCAUACUCACCCCUACGAGUUCUCAGGUAGUUUGGGUUGAUUCCGGAUGUACCUCUCUAGACGAGGACGACACUGUAUGAAGACGAGUACAAUAGGAAGAUCAUGAUACUAAGGAUAAUGAGGCUUCAGGAGAAGUGGAGCGAUCUAGUUACAAUGCCAAUGGGUCAGAAUUCAUGGUGCACUCCAGAAUAUUAUGUCUGGAUCAACGAAGAGGAUGAUAUAGCCCGACCAAGCAGGGAAGGAAUAAAUUGGACGAAAGAUGUAGUGGCGGCUUUGCAAAUCUAACAUGAGUUUUUCCCGCACUACCUCGUGACUACCUCCAUGCACCGCCAAGUGGUCCUAGGGUCAAUUGAUCACAUGAUGCCACCUCCCGAGGAUAGAACCAGAGGAAGACCCAGAGGAAGAGCCCAAGUUCAAUGAUGAUGAAGAAGAACCGGAAGAAGAAGAAGAAGAAGAGAUGGGGAAUGAUUCCGGGGAUGGAUAUUAGAAGCUGGUUGAUUUCACUCCUUUUCCCACCUUGUACCUUUUAUCUCGAACCUUUCCAUUUCCCUAACGGCAUGUUUGUUUGAGCCCAUAUAAUCUUAUGAAUAAUGAAAACAAUGAUGUAAAUUUUGCUCCCGUCUGUUACAAUCCAAAUAUUAUCAAUGAAAACCAAAAUUUGCUUUAGAUCUAAAUGUGUCAAAUCUAAUUGUUUGUCAAAUAUUCGUGACUUAGGCCUGCCUCCGGCAAAGAGAGGUCCCCCGAACGUUAGGAGACACACUUGCUUGAAUACGUGAACUAACUACUCUGUGUGCCUAUAUUUGUGCAAACACUGAAACUGACUUCUGUUCUUUUCUUUUUCUUUUCUUUUCUUGUAUUACUUUACUAUUUAUUCCCAAAAAGAAGAAGUUGGUUUAUGUUGACCCAAAAAUGGCGGAACCACCAUAAAACUCUAGAUUGAAAGGGAAGAUGUCUGCGACAGAUAACCCGACCGAACACGCUCCGGUAAUAGUUGAUAGCCCGGGGCGAUCGGGAGAGAAGGAUGAUACGCAUAAUGAAGAACAUGUGGCUAUGAUGGUCCAAGAGAUAGAAUCAUUAAGGGAGAAAUUACAACACAUUCAGGAAUUGGCACAUCUUGUCGUGACAACGCUACCACAACCGCCCCAUUUUCCUUCCCUAGAUUCAAUCCCCGACCACUUUCCUUCAACUACUCGCCAAGCAAACAAUACCACGACUUUAGUCCCUACCACCCAAAUUAUACCCCCAGUAACCCCUGCAAACCUACCGAAUCCUCUUGUACACACCCCUUAUGUACCAAAUUAUGUUUAGACGCCUCUAAAUCCACCAUCUAUAACUAACGCAGUUCAUACCCCUCCUCGUGAUGGCAUCACCUUCACCACUAAUCAAAACCAGCACAUACACGUGGCACAUACCGCUGCACAUGAGCGAUAUGUUCGUCCCGUAUAUGCCGUUUCUGAACUCACUUUCACAGCACUCGUCACGGUCAGACUUCUAUAUGAAGUUGAUCAAUAUGCCGAAACGGAAAGAGAAGCUAUGUAUAAGGAGGAAGAAUCUAUAUCCUAACAAUUAUGAGCAUUGAGAAAACAAAUGAAGAACCUUCAGCUCGCUAGAGGGAGCGAAAGUCUAGAUUAUGAGGAUAUGUGUAUACACCCUGAUGUGGACAUGCCGAUAGGGUACAAGCCUCCGAAGAUUGAUAUCUUUGAUGGGACAGGUGAUCCCCAUGCACACUUGAGAGCCUACUGUGAUAAACUAGUUGGAGUAAGAAGAAACAAGAAGUUGAGGAUGAAGUUGUUCAUAAGGAGUCUGACAGGGGAGGCACUUACUAGGUACACUCGCUAAGAUCCUAGGAUCUGGAGGGAAUGGCAAGAUAUGGCAGAAGAUUUCAUGAACCAUUUUUGUAUAAACACAGAAAUUACCCCCGAUAGAUUCGCUCUGGUAAACAUGUAGAAGAAGCCAUUAGAAUCAUUCCAAGAGUAUGCACGUCGAUGGAGGUCGGAGGCUGCAAGAGCACAACCCCCGUUAGAUGAUAGUGAAUUGACUACGUAUUUCACCAGGGCUCAGGAAGGAAUCUAUUUUGAGAAAAUGAUGGGCAUGAUAGGGCAGACGUUCCAUGAACUUGUUAAAAUGGGAGACUUUUUAGAGGAAGGUAUAAAGUCUGGCAAGGUACAAUCUAUGGCCGCAUUGCAAGCAGCUAGCAAAGCAAUCCAAUCCGGUUCAAUAGGCAGUGAAAAGAAGAAAAAAUAAGAGGUAUUAGCAAUCAUUCCCUAUUACCAAUCCAAUCCACACUAUGUAAACAACUCUUAUUCUCUGAAUACUCAUUCCCCACACCCACCUACUUAUGCUCCAGUAUACAACACACAACCACACUACAAUCCCCAACCUCAAUAUAACCCAUCUCGUGCCCAUACAAAUCAAAAUCCACCAUGACCAUAGACUCUUCAAACUACCACUUAUCAAAACCAACCCACCUAUGCACCCCGACCUCGCCCAAAAUUUGAAGAAAGAGGUCUUAGAAACUACACCCGAUUGCUGAACCUUUGGGUCAACUAUUUGAAAGACCGAGGAGAGAAGACUUGAUAUAUCCAAUAGAAGGAAGGAUUCCUGAGUAUCCUUCAAAAUCCUUUGAUGCAACAAAAUGGUGCGUCUACCACUCAACCGUACCGGGGCAUGAUACUGAGGAUUGCUUCAAACUAAAAAAUGAAAUUGAGUCACCGUUCAAAAGUGGAGCCAUUCAGUACACCCCCUGCUCCACCUAAUGUGAACUGUAACCCGCCGCCAAACCACUAAAAUCAAGGAGCUAAUAUGAUCACCCUGGAUGAAGAAUUUGACUUGAAAGGGACAAUCGUCAAUACAAAACAGUGAGGCUGCGAGGGUUCCUCCUCGAAGGACUUUGAUGAUCACUGUAUAUAGUUAAAACCUACACUGAUGGUAUAGAGUUACCAGCAACAGUCCACCACUACCAUUAGGGAUGAAGAGGAUCGGGAAUACAAGACAGUCUUGUGGAUAUAUCAGCAGAAAGGGAAGACUAAGAUGACAGAUUCUGCAGUGGCUCAUGGAAUGACCAGGUCAGGGAGGUGUUACGCUCUAGAGGAAGUAAAUCGAGGGAAUCUGGGAAGGGAACAGAUUUAGAUAAGGAAUAUAAUAGACUCGGGGGCUGUAGAAUUCUGGAAGAAGAUGUCAACCAAAGAAUACUCUGAGGAAAAAUUAAAGAAAACCUCUACGCAAAUAUCAAUCAUGGAUUUACUAAUGAGUUCUAACAGUCACAAAGACGCCUUGAUGAAAGUGUUAAGUGGUGUGAGUGUGUGUAGAAACACUACCAGCAAAGCACUGGCAGCAACCAUCAGGAAGAUGGUCGAAGCAAAUAUGAUCACCUUCCGAAGAGAUGAGCUUCCUACAGAGGGCAUGGGUCACAAUAAAUCUUUACAUAUCACGCUGUCAAAUGUGGAGAUAAGGUGGUGCCUGAGUAAUUGUUGAUUGAGGAUCAGGAGUCAAUAUUUGCCCGCUCUCUACCCUAUGAUAGUUGGGUAUUCAUAUGAGAGAAGUAAAAGACAUUCAUGUGAGGGUAAGAGCUUUCGACGGAUCAUUGAAAGACGUCAUUGGGGAAAUCUAUUUUGCUCUGCAAAUUGGAUAAGUUGAGUUUCCCAUAUUGUUCCAAGUGAUGGACAUUUCAUAUCCGUACAACUUGUUGCUAGGAAGACCCUGGAUACAUAUGGUAGGGGAAGUCCUGUCUACCGUACACCAGUGCAUGAAGUUCGAGUAGGGUUGUCAAGAGAUUGUAGUCCAUGGUGAAUAGAGAUAGUCAGCUUAUUGGGAACAUGCAGUUCUGUUCAUAGAAGGAUUAGACGGGGUCAUUUUUCAUGCGGUUGAGAUCAUGCAGACCACGAAGAUAGAAGAGACCGAGCAAAAUAUGGGUAUGUGGUCACCAUACUGAUCCAAUAUGACUAUGAGAGAAAUGAUGAAGUACGGAUAUAGACAGGGAUCCGGGCUGGGAGCCCGAUCAAAUGGGAUAACAGAGCCGAUUGAUCCAAGUGGGCAGAAAGGUAGAGCCAGCAUUGGGUAUCAGCCUCCGACAGUAAAGACAUAUACUGGUAGGUUCGGGAAGAAAGCUUUUGUGCCAGAGCGUGUUUAGGGUCCGGGUCAGAGCUCAACACCAGAAGACGACAUGGCCGAUGGAAUGGGAAGGCUGUUCAUGACCAUGCUCGAAGAAUGUUGUGACAAAGUUGAUAUCAAGAUACCGACCAUUUAGAAUGUCGGGAAUCUUGGUAGUAAGGAAUUGUAAAACCUUUUGAAAAAUGCACGCUCAGACGUUCCUCUUUUGAUGAAAUAUAAAGAAAUACUUUCUUAAAAUUAUUGCAAAUUUAUUUAUCGCUUCAUUUAUACCUAGUUUUUCUUUUUAGUAAUCAAAACAAUAAAAACCUGCAUUCCGCGAUUAUGACAUGUAAUGAAACUGUAAAGCCCCGUAAAUAUUUUACCUAAAACCCGGGGUUUCAUAAUGUUGGUGUAGAUUUUUUGGGUUGAACAGUGCGUUAGGGAGUUGAAGAAAUUUUUUUGUAAUAUAAAGCAUUUCUGCGGCCCAUUAUGUGGUCGCAGAGCUGGUCUGCGGACCGCAUAUCGGCCGCAGACUGGAGCAGAGAACUAAGGAAGUUUUGCAGGCCGUAUAACCCAUCACAGACCCAGCAUGAAAUUUUUUGGAAGGAAGUUCUGCGGCGCAUUAUGCGACCACAGACUGGUCAUAAAGUAGGGCAGACUUGUCCAGUUCUGGAGGGCCAUUAUGCGGCACAUUUUGCGAACCGCAAAAGCAUUAUGGGGUCUCAUAUGUGACCGCAGAUCCAUGACGGGGCUUCAUUUUUCUAAUUUUUUUUACCCGACCCUAUUUUGAUUAAAAGCCCUUGGGGCUCAUUUUGAGAGAGAAAUAUUAUAUUUUAGAAAGAAGUGAGAGUGUUCUAGAGAGAGAGAAGGAGACCCUAGGCUAAUUGUUCAUCAAUUCUUACUCAAAGUUGAAGAUAUUACAAGAAGAAUUCACUAGGCCUUCAUCCUAGAGGUAAGUUUCUACUCCAUAGCCCUCAAUUUCGUGAUUCUAAUUGAAAAUAGGUAAUAAGCUAAGUAAUUCUUGGGUGUGGGAGUUGUUUAUUUUUACAUGCAUGUACCAUCAAGGGUAGUGGGAGGAUUGUUGAACUCUUUUGGGUGAACUUUGGGUAGUGGGGUGAAAGAAUCCACCAUAGGAGGACCUUGAAAUAUUAAUGCACACCUAAUGUUUGAUAAAAUGCUCAAGUGAGGUGAAACUAUGAACUCAUUCCUAAUUUGUGAUUAAUUUUGCUAUAUCUAUAUAUAGAUCAAAAUGGCUAAGAUUUUUGAAACAUUGUAGGAAUUUAAAAAGCUUGAGGCAAGGUAUGUUGUCUCAACUUCUCUCUUACAAAUGAAUUCCUACGAUGUUCUUGUAAGUCUUGAGUUGUCCAUUAUGAAUUGACUUUUAUGAAUAUGUUUGGUGUCGAAAGAUAUAUUUAUAUGAAUAUGUUCAAAAUGUGUUCCAGAGUAUUCUUAUCAUGUUAUGUUAUUCUUCGAGAGCAUGAUCAAAGUAUGAGAAUGUAUUAAAAUGUUGAGACUUCAAGUCAAGCCCAAAUGAAAGUAACCAUGUCAAAUUGUGUAAAAGAAAUCACAUGUGCCUAAGACCCUAAAUUGCUCAAGUAUGUGUUAAAGUCUUAUUUUGAAGGGCCUUGUUGUUGAUUUCUCAUGAUGAUGUUUGAAAGUGAAAUAGUGAGCAUGAAUUAUGAAGUACGACCAACGUUCUAAGAAUGAUAUUGCGUUAGACCAAUGGUGCCAACAAAAUGAAUGACAUGUAAAAUAAUGUGAAAUGAGUGGUAAAUGCUAUUUAUAAUAAAUGCCUUGGGAUUAUCUUUUAGCCACCGAUGAAGGGUAGGUCGGAAUAACCUAACCCCGAAACUACGCGUGCCGGUGUAGGAAUGAUUGAGGGGUAAAUCCCCGUGUUGAUGUGAUGAGAUUGUUUCCCCUUAAAUGAGAUGAAAUUAUUUCCAGUGAGUUGUGAUGUGAUAUCGACCCACACGGCAUUGUGGUGAGACGGCUUAGCCGAUCGGGCUGAGAUCGGAUGUCAUGUAACACACAUGGUGGUUUUUUGAGUGUAUGUCUCUAGGUGAGGCGGCUUAGCCGGUCGGGCUGAGAUCGGACUCCGUGCUAAAACACGGUGGUGUAUCGGUGCUAAAGAUCCUCCCCAACAUAAAUUACUAAAACUUUCUUGAAAUUUACCUUGUCCCUAACUUGACACCUUGUUACUAUUUGAUUCUCUUAUUGAUGCCAUGUUUUCUUCUCUGUUUACUAUUAUUAGUUCUAUUGAGAGGGUGCUUAGUUUUAAAUACUAGUACUAUUCCAUAUAUACUAACGUCCCUUUUUUCCUGGGGCGCUGCAUCUUUAAUGGAUGCAGGUGGUUCCAUAGCAGGUGGUAUUGAUCAGUGAUAUCAACACACCCUCUCCUCAGGUGACUUGGUGAGCUCCACUUCAUUUUGCGGUCCUGUAUUUCCUAUCCUUUGUACAUAGCAUUUUGAGGUAUAGCCAAGCCUUGUUGCUGGCACUGUCAUAGCACUCUUUUUUUCCUGUUAGAGGCUUCAUAGACAUAGUGUGGGUUGUAUAUGUUUUUGGGAAGAUUAAACUAAAAAUAUUGUAAUUGUAUCAUCUGUUCCACUUUAACUAUGAUUGUACAAUGUACUGUUCUGAAGACUUGUAAAUGACGUAACUAAUGGAAAUGAACUGGUGUUGUUCUCAUGACUUCUUACCGACUAAUUAAUGAAAUUUAUUCUUCUCUUUAUUUAUGGGUGAGUUAGGUAGACAUCACUUUGUAGGCUUGCUCGACCGGGGUAACCCUAUUGAGCGCCGGUCGUGGUCCCCGAAGUUGGGGCAUGACAGAAAUCCUCGAGCAAAGUGAUCUAGAUUAUGAGGAAUACGAUGAAAGCAUGAUGCCAGAUAAUCUCCCAUAAGAGAUUGAACAUUUGGAAAGUCAGAAAAAGCUUAACCUUGAAGAGAAAGAAGUAGUCAACCUGGGAAGGAAAGAAGACGUGAAAGAAACUCGAAUCAGCAUCCAUUUAGAAGCAGAGUAGAAAGAAGAAUUGGUCGAGCUCCUUCGAUAAUGCAUCUACGUAUUCGCAUGGUCGUAUGACGACAUGCUUGGUUUAAUCACCGAAAUCAUUUAACAUCGAUUGCCUACCGAUCCUGCCAGACUACCAGUCAAACAAAAACCCAGAAAGUUCAAGCCGGACUUGAGUUUGUGGAUAAAAGAAGAAGUAACCAAACAAACAGAGGCAAAUGUGGUAACAAUCAUCAAUUACCCCACGGGGUUGGCAAAUAUCGUACCAGUACCAAAGAUGGAUGGGAAGAUCAGGAUAUGUGUGGAUUAUCGAGAUCUUAACAAGGCUAGUCCAAAGUAUGAUUUUCCUUUACAAAAUAUUCAUACCCUCAUCAACAACUACACGAAGCAUGAGCUACAGUCAUUCGUGGAUUGUUUCGCUGGGUACCAUCAGAUACUAAUGCAUGAAGAAGAUGCAGAGAAGACAACAUUCACUACACCUUGGGGAGUUUACUGGUAUAGAGUCAUGCCAUUCGGCCUCAAGAACGUCGACGCUACUUACAUGAGGGCCAUGACAACCCUCUUUCACGACAUAAUAAUGAGGCGAUGACGAUAAACAUCAAAAAGGGAAAAGACGAGAACAUGACGAACCAAUAGCCCUUCGUAAGGCAACACGAUUAGCUAUCGUAGUCACAACCAAAGCGGUUCCCAUUCUCAUGUCUAGACGGAUACUACAUAUAUCUGAUCCUUCUAUAUUAUUUUUUAAACUAUUUUCCAAAACUAUUUUUCAAAAAAAAAAAAACUAUUUCCCAAAAGCAUUUUCAAACUUUUUCAGAAACAAUCUUCCAAAACCAUUUUCAAAUGAAAUCAUUUCAAAAUAAAUUAGUUUAUUGUUUACUUUAUGUUUUACUAAUAAUUUUCCUUCUUUUGUCUUGCGAGGUACUAUCACACGGAGUUACUUUCAGAAGAUGAUACCCAAAGACGAAAAGACAAAUUCCUGUCAAGCUUCUCGCUUCAUAACUUCCCUUCUUGAAUACAAAACGCAAGUAUAGUGAAACCGUAGGUAGAUAUCAUAUUUACAAUUUUACUUGAUGUUUACAUAUUUUUUUACACUUAGGUUGUAUUGCAUCUAGUUAAUAAUCCGGUCAACUUAAGACAUUAUGUUCUAGAUAAUUGUGCGAAACUUGUACGUAGAUUUAGUAUGUCAGAUAUAUUUAUAACUCGUUUAAUUAAUUAGGAUUGGUGUACACCUAGUUAAUUAAUUGAGUUACAUAAAAUGAAAGGCGUGUCAUUUCCUUGUCAAAAUAGGUGACUUUACCUCUUUACAACUGCUUAACAUGAUUUUUCUUUUAACCAAUCUCUUUGUAAAUUAUUUUUGACCAUCUUACUUCAAGUAGACAUUAAUUAUAAAAGCAUAAUUGAGUCUACCAUAUGUAGGAUUAAUUCAACUGUUGCAUACACAUGGGUCUAACUUGAUGACUGCCAACGUUCUUUAUGGGCUUUUAUGAUAUUCUUGUACAAGGUUGGUAAUACUCUAAGCCUCUUUAUAUAUUUGAUUGUCUACGUAUACAUUUUAUUUACUUAUUUAUUCAUUCAAUUCUUUUGAACCAAGCUCUAGGGUCUUUCUUGUGUGGUCUUAAUUUUUUUUGUUAUAAAAAUCAAUAUUCCUUCAUACUCAUACACUCUUGACAAACCUUUUACAUUUUAUUCUUUAUACAUUUAGUCAAGUAUUUUAGUCAAUUACAAAACACUAACUCAUUUUUGAAGAUAAUUUUCUCCAUUAUUUAUUUAUUUAUUUUCACAGAUUUUCUUGUAUAUUUAAUACAACUCAUUGUAGUAAUUAUUUGACUUUAAUCAUAAAUUAACUCCUUCAAGUUUAUUCAAACUCUUUUAGAACGUUUCACUUGUUGAUAUACAUUACUUAUAUUUGAUUUAAUUACUCCAUUGUUAUAUGUAAGAUUUAUGUGGAUAAUUUUCUUUUUAUACUCCCCUAUUUAUGACAACUUUUCCUACUUUAGUCGAUCAUUUCUUUAAGCUAAUUGCUAGUUGUUUUAUUCAAAAUUAUUCUUUACCAUUUUAUUAUAUGUGUUCAAUUAAGAUCAAUCUUGUACAGUCAAAUCAAUUGGCUUUAAUUAUAAAUUGAGGUUUCCUUUAUACCUUAUUUCGAACCCAAUUCUUUCAAUCAAAUUCCGAAAAAGAUUUAUUUUGUUUAUUAAUUUACUUUGCAUAUCCUACUAUAUAUAUUUUACCACAAAUGAAAUGAUCAUGCUUUGAAUAUUUAUCCCACAUGACAUUGCAUUGUCUACUCUUUGAUAGGAAUUCUUUAUUAAAUAACUAAUCAUGCUUUUGAACCUUCCCUCCCUUAUUUGAUUGAGUCUACCGGAACCACAUUUUUGUGGAUCUUGAGGGAUGCCUAGCACCUUCCCCUCGAGAUAACUUGAACCCUUACCUAGAAUCUUAACGAUUUCACAGACUACAAUUAAAGUGUAAAUUACAUAGUAUAGUAUAGAUGUCCUAGUAUACCUUAAAUACUAGGUGGCAACUCUAAACUUUAAUUAACCUUGUAGAGUACUAUAAGUUAUAAUUUGUUGUGUCUGCUGCAAAAUAGGGUGCAACACGGAGUGUCUGUCUCCAACUCUCAAGCCAUGCUGAAUCUAAUACCAUAGUUAAGCCCCUCGAUGAAUCGGCGGACUCGCUCUCUGACUGUAGAUACCAAGGUAGUGCGUGCCGGGACAACUCACUGAAUCUAAUAGCAUACUCUAACACUGUCAUAGUCCCCUGAUGCAGCUACUUAAACUCUAUACGCCAUGCAUUCCGGAGGGUUUGGGGAACAAACUCUCUAAGAAAUAUCUCUGAAAACUGAGCCCAAGUGAGUGGGGCUGCAUCAACUGGCCUACCCUUCUCGUAAGCCUUCCACCACUGAUACGUUGUUGCUAACAGCUAAAAUAUAGUAAAAGCAACUCUGCUCACCUCCGCAAUAACCAUGGGACGGAGAAUACGGUGGUACUUCUCAAGAAAUCCCUACGCAUCCUCAGUAGUUGCGCCACUGAAAAUAGGUGGAUCAUACUUCUUGAACCUCUCAAGUAUCCUCUACUCCUCCUCAGAUGUCGAUGGCCUGACCUCAGGCUGAACCAAAAUAGCCGGUUGCACUGGCAUAACCCCCGGGACCUAAUCAACAUAGACCCGCUACUUUAGAGUAUGGGCUGUAGGAGUCUGAGCUCCUCCCCCAACCUGAUAUGUAACUGGUGCAAGGGGAUUUAAUCCCGCCUGAGUUAGAGUGCCGAACAUGCUCAAAAUCUAUGCUAGGGUCUCCUGAAGUCCAGGGGCAGCAACAGGUGUCUCGGGUGUCUGUCCCCCAACCAGAGCUACUGAUGUCUCCUCAGUCGCUGCCCGGGCAAGUGCUCUGGCUGCACCGUGUGCUACUCCUCGGCCUCUACCCCGACCCUGGUCCCGGCCCCGACCUCGCGUGGCUCUAGUAGGGGCGCGGGUGCCUGUUCAUCGGAUCCAGUAGUGCGUGUCCUCACCAUCUGUGAGAGAAUAGAAAGACAAAACUCAGGUUUCAAAAUCGACAAAUUCACACAAUAAGGAAUCAAUAAGUGGAAUGUUUCCUAACAGUUCCGUAGCCUCUCGAAUAUAAGUAGAGGCAUCUAUGUACCGAUUCGCAAGACUCUACUAAACUUGCUUAUGACUCGUAGCACCUAUGAAUCUAGAGCUCUGAUACAAACUUGUCACAACCCCAAUUUCCCCACCUUAGGAUGUCGAGAUGACACAUAGUCUCUAAGACUUAGUAAGCCUAACAUUCAUUGAUAGCUUAAUAGGAUUUAACAACUAAGAUAAUAAGAUAAUUUGUUAAAACUCAUAAUAACUCAAAACAGAACAUCUGCAACAUAAUUUUCAAAAUCGGUGGAACUGAGUCAUAAGCUCUACAUAAAUAAUCUAAGAAUCUCUAAUAUAACACUGACUUAAUAGAAGAUAAAUAGUAGUAAAAGUAAUGACUGAAGGUGACUCCGAAGCCUGCGAGCGGCAAGCAGGUAUACCUUGAAGUCUCCGAAAUGUAUGGUCAAAUCACUGAUGCCUAGCCUAAGCUGAAGUACUUGGAUCUGCACAAAAAUGUGCAGAAGUAUAGUAUGAGUAUACCACAAUGGUACCCAAUAAGUAUCAAACCUAUCCUCGGUAGAGUAGUAACGAGGUCAGGUCAAGACACCUACUAGGAUAAGAGAAACUGAACAAGGUAUAAGUAAUUCCCUUACUAGAAACUUGCACAUAAAUUCCCUCCUUAUGUCGCACAUGCACAUUAACCCAUAUCCUUAUACCGCCGCAUGCGCAUCAAUAUCACAACACAAUAACAUCUCGCACCACAAGUGCCCAUAUGCUACAACUUGCCAAAAUCAACAAUACCAAAGUUACUACAAUGUAUAGCCCACAACUCUAUCACAAUGUGAACAAGAAUCUCCAUAAUAACAAAGUGAGUGAGAAUUUAUCAACAAGGAAAGGCAUCUCAACAAUCAACAACUUCAAACAAGAAUAACUCGACAAUAAAGGAGGUGACAUAACAAUAAGAGAGAUAGCGAAGGCAACUAAGGCAAAUAAGAGCAUGUUUGGCAAUAACGGAUAGAGCAUGUGAUAACAAUAUCAAGUAAAGCAUGUAAGAGAAAUUUAACAAUGAAAGAUCUAACAUGAUAUUUCAAUUUCUAAUUAGAUACAUGAAAAAGUCUAAGAGUCUAAACUGGUCAAAAUAUAACAUAUAAGCCCGUGUACACACUCGUCACCUCAUGCACACGUCUUUCACAUAAUCCAAACAACACAAAUCAACCCAAGUCCUAAGGGGUAGAUCCCCCACACAAAGUAAGGCAAGAUUCUUACCUCAAACAAGCUAAAUCAACCCACUAGUAAGCCUUUUCUGCAAAAAUCCAACUCCGGACGGCUCGAAUCUAGCCAAAAUAACUUAAUACCAUAAAUACAAAUCAUAUGAAGCGAUUCUAGAUAAUAAAGUUGCAAUCUUUAAAGAAAAUCCAAAAGUCAACUCAAAAAGUCAACCCGGGCUCGCACCUAGGAACCUAACCAAACUUACAAAAUCCGAACACUCAUUCCGAUAUGAGUCUAGCCAUACAAAAAGUAUCCAAUUCUGACCUCAAAUUGACCUUCAAAUCCUCAAUUUAUAGUUUAGGAAAGUUUUCACAAAAUUCCCAAUUUUUUCAACUCAAAUUACUAAUUAAAUUAUAAACAUAAUGAUGGAAUCAUGAAUAAUAAGCAAAUCUGGGUCAAAAACACUUACUCUGAUCCAAUCCUUAAAAAUCCGCUCCAAAAUUGCCCAAAUCCGAGCUCUCUAACUCAAAAUAUGAAAAAUGGAAUAAACUCUCGAUUCACUCCUAUUUCUGCCCAGGCUUGCCGCACCUGUGGCCUUUCUGUCGCAUCUGCGAAAAAUACAUCGCAGAUGCGGCUUCCACUAAAGGUCAGGAGAUUCCGCUUUUGUGGAGAAAUGGCGCUUCUUCUUAUGCUUCUGUGGACCCAAGGGUGUUUCUGCACAUCCGCUCCUACGUAAUAGUCACCGCACCUACGAACCCUUGCCAACGUCCCAAUUCUGUAUCUGCAGAGCUUUUCCCCGCUUUUGCAGUUUCGCAUUUCCGUGCCUAUAUCCGCACCUGCGGAUCCAGUCAACCAAUCCAAAAUCCUCUUCUGCGAUCCCCAUCUGCACCUGUGGCCAAUCACAUCAUGGGUGCGAUGACACCAGAAACUCAGUUGUUCAAUAACAAUCUUCCUAAGCCAAAAGUGAACCCGAAAUCAAUCUGAAUCACACCCGGGGCCCUCAGGACCCAGUCCAAACAUACCAUCAAGUCCCAAAACACUAAAUCCACAAAGAAAUUGAGGUAUAUGUGGAUGAUGUCAUCAUCAAGUCCUGAAAGAUUUUAGAACAUUUGGAUGACCUGAAGAAGUUUUUUGAAUGCUUGCGGAGGUAUAGUUUAAAGUUGAACACUGUAAAAUGCGCAUUCGGAGUCCCUGUUGGAAAAUUGCUGGGUUUCAUCGUAAGCAAUAAAGGAAUAGAGUUGGAUCCUUCAAAGAUCAAAGCCAUUCAAGAGUUUCCACCGACUAAAAGCAAGAAAGAUGUGAUGAGUUUUCUUGGUAGGCUAAAUUACAUCAGCAGAUUCAAAGCCGAGUCCACAAUAAUUUGCGAGCCUGUCUUCAAGCUAUUGAAAAAGGAUGCCGCUACAAAGUGGAUAAAAGAGUGUCAGAAAGCCUUCAACAAGAUCAAGGAGUAUUUGUCAAAUCCACCAGUGUUGGUUCCUCCUAAACUCGGGAAGCCAGUGUUGUUAUACCUGUCAGUCUUGGACAAUGCAUUUGGAUGCCUGUUGGGACAACAUGAAUAGACCGGAAGAAAGGAGCAAGCUAUCUAUUACUUAAGCAAGAAGUUUACACCAUGUGAGGACAAAUAUACUAUGAUAGAGCGCAUCUGUUGUGCCUUGACUUGGAUCACCCAAAAGUUGAGACAUUACAUGUCAGCAUACACCACACAUCUAAUAUCCCGGCUCAGCCCGCUCAAGUAUAUCUUUCAGAAGCCGAUGCCUACCGGAAAACUGGCCAAAUAGCAAAUUCUUCUCAGCGAAUUUGACAUUGUGUACAUAACAUAGAAGGCCAUCAAAGGACAAGCUUUAGUUGACCACCUUGCAGAAAAUCUAGUGGACCAGGAUUAUAAGCCGCUUACCACAUACUUGCCAAAUGAAGAUGUGUUAUUCGCCAGAGAAGAUAUUGCAAAGUCAUACCCAGGGUGGAGAAUGUUCUUCGACGGAGCAUAAAAUUUCAAAGGAGUAGGAAUUGGGGCUGUCCUAAUUUCAUAAUCAGGACAGUAUUACCCGGCAUUAGUAAAGAUAAGGUUCCCUUGCACCAAUAAUAUGGCCGAGUACGACGCAUGCAUUCCCGAGAUUAGGAUUGUGGUUGACAUGAACAUUAAGGAGCUUCUAGUCAUAGGAGAUUUUGAUCUAUUGAUAGAUCAAGUUCAAGGAGAAUGGACUACCAUAAACAUCAAGAUCAUUCCGUACCUACAUUGUGUAAAUGAGCUAUGCAAGAAGUUCAAAAGGAUUAUGUUCAAGCACAUUCCCAGAAUUUAGAACGAUUUUACCGACGCUAUCGCAACCUUGUCAUCCAUGAUCCAGCAUCCAUAUAAGAAUUACAUCGACCCUAUCGAGAUAGAGAUCAGAGAUCAACAUGAGUACUGUUUUUAUGUUAAUGAAUAGCUAGACGGUAAGCCGUGGUACCACGACAUCAAAAGGCUUCUUAAAACAAGAGAGUAUCCGGAGAACGCCACUAAGGUUUAGAAGCGAGCACUCAAAAGGCUAGCAAAUCACUUUUUCCUUAACGGGGAAGUCUUGUAUAGGAGGAUUCCACACUUGGGUCUGUUAAGAUGUGUAGAUGCUGCUAAAGCUACCAGACUGCUAGAAGAAAUACAUUCAGGGAUGUGCGGACCCCACAUGAUUGGCUUCACCUUAGCCAAGAAGUGUUUAAGAGCCGGAUACUUUUGGAUGACCAUGGAAAGUGUAGCAUCUGCUAUGUGCAGAAGUGUCACCAGUGCCAGAUCCAUGGGGAUUUCAUCUUGUUCCACCUAAUGAGCUGAACGUAAUGGGUUCGCCUUGGUCGUUUGUCACUUGGGGCAUGGACAUAAUAAGACCUAUAGAGCCCACUGCGUCAAAUGGACACCAUUUUAUCUUGGUAGCAAUUGAUUACUUCACCAAAUGGGUCGAAGCUUCUAUAUACAAGGUCGUCAUGAAGAAAGUAGUGGCAUUUUUCAUCCGUAACAACAUUGUCUGCCAGUUUGGGAUACUCGAGUCAAUCAUCACUGACAACGCAACCAAUUUCAAUAGUGAUCUCAUAAGGGAAAUUUGCGAGAAGUUCAGAAUUGUCCACCGUAACUCUACAGCUUACAGACGGCAAAUAAAUGGAGCAGUUGAAGAAGCCAACAAAAUGUUACAUCCUGUAUUUCGUACGUUAAAGUUUUGCCGUAAGUUAAUCAACGUAAGCUCGGGAAUGAGAUUAUUUUUGAGGUUAUAAGUAUUUAUGUUAUUUGUAACAAGUGAUAAGUGAGUGCUGUGAAGAUUAGAGGGUAAACAAAUCAAAGAAUGAGUAUUCGUUAAAGUUUGUCAAUUUGGGAUAAAAUACGGUCCAAGCUAUAAUACCCCGUAUUUAUGGACUAGUGCCAUAAAAGGUACCACAUGACCAUGAUAGUAAGGUAUAUGAAGUGUAUUAGUAUUUAAGUAAAUUGUGUGCUAGAAUUAAUUAUGUGAAUAAUUGAUUAAUUGGGAGAAUAAUGUGGGAAAAUAAGGAAAUAAUUAUGGUAUUAAAUAGGAUUAAGUGGAUAAGGAUUUUUAAUGGGCUGCACCAAUGUGCAUAGAUGAGUCAUAGCACUUGAUGUGCCUUGUUUACAUGUGAAAGUGCAAGGCAUAUCCCUUAAGCCUUUAUGUUAUUCUUCUUUGGCAAUUUGAGAUAUAGAAAGGAUGUUGAAAUCUUUCCUUCUAUUGCUGGGGAUUCUCUUACUUUAGAACAUAGCCAAAAACGUACACACGUGAUACUCCAUAUGUUCAACAACAUGAAGUAUGCCAUGAUCAUAAGAAGUCUUUAGUUCUUGUUCAAAGAUUUAGAAGGAGCAAAAGUUGUUCUUGGAAUGCUCAAGUAAAAGUGUUUGAUAAAUUCGUCAAGUAAGGUAUGCUAAGACUAUUCCUUCUUUCCUUUUGGCACGAUCCAUAUGAUACAAACGAAACGAGCAAACGCACAACUUUUAUAAAUGUCUCUAUUCAUAGAAGCACUAGGGGUGCCUAUGUCCUUGAAUUCCCAUGUGUCCUAUUAUUAUAUCUUUUGUUCAUGUGUCUCAAAAAAAUAUGUGGUUGAUAAAAUUCAUCCCGAAGCAUAUUGAUCUUAUGACAUUCCGAGAAAUCUUAUUAACUUACUUCUUAUGCAUUUCAUUCAUUUAUACAUGUAAAUUGAUCCAUAACAAGAUGGCGUUAUAUACGCGUAUAUUAUAUAUAUAUAUAUAUGGGAUAUGGGAAAAGGUUAUGGUGUUAUAUACGCACCACCAUCUAAUCAGUUGGUAUACAUUGAUGAUUUCGCUCACAGAGGCCGAGAUGAUAUGAUGGGAUGCCCUCGGAGGCUUGAUGAUGUUAUGUACACAUAUACCUAUGCAUGAUACGACAUUUAUACACAUAUGCAUGACUUUAUAAAUAUUUCAGGAUUCAAAAAGUUAUUUAGACUUACAGGCGGAUUCCUUUACUCCAUGUUUCUUUUAUGUCUUUUAUGUACUGAUUUUCAUGCCUUACAUACUUGGUACAUUAUUCGUACUGAUUCCCCUAUUAUCUGGGGCAUGCGUUUCAUGCCCGCAGGUGCAGGUAGACAGGCUGACGGUCCCCCUUUUUAAGAUCCUUGAUCAGCGAGAGUUGUUGUGCUACACUUGAUCCGGAGCUGCUAUUAGUUUUGGUAUGCUAAUUUUGUAUGUUGAUAUGGUUACGAUGGGGCCCAGUCCCAUCCUUCAUAUAGUUGUACACUCUAUCAGAGGUUUGUAGACAGUCAUGUAUAGUUGGAUAGUAUGUGGCCUUGUCGGCUUCUAGUUUUGGAUAUAUAAUUGUCUAUAGCAGCCUUGUCAGCUCACCAUACCGUAUUCCGCAUGUAUAUGUAUAUAUGUGUUUUGUACAUGUUUUCCUCACGUGCGUUAUUCACGUGAUUUAGCAAUUUACUAACAGAUGUUAUUCAUCACCUAUCCUUAAUUCAUGUUUAUAUCUUAGAUGCAUGCUUAGGGGUGUUCGACAGGUAGGACUGGGGCACUCGUCAUGGCCCAUCGGUUUGGGUCGUGACACAAAAACAUCAAAAGGAUUCUACGAAAGAUAGUGGACAAUCAUAGGCAAUGGCAUGUGAAAUUAUCCUUCGCCUUACUGGGUUAUCGGACCACUAUAAGGACAUCCACUAGGACAACGCCUUACAUGUUGGUAUAUGGCACUGAAGUUGUGAUACCUGUAGAGGUCGAGAUGCAAUCUUUAAGGGUCAUUCAAGAAGCCAAGUUAGAUGAUACAGAAUAGAUACGGGUCACGCAGGAGCAACGCAUGCUCAUUCAGGAGAAGAUAAUGGGCGCAACAUGCCAUGGUCAGCUAUAUGAAAAUAGGAUCGCCAGUGCAUUCAACAAAUGGGUAAAACCUCGCCAAUUUAUACCGGGGCAGUUGGUUUUGAUGAAAGUAUCCCCUCAUCAAGAAGAAGUCAAAAGAAAGUUUGUGCCAAAUUGGCAGGGUCCACCGAGUGUUGUCAGAAGGAGCUCUAAUCUCGGUAGAAAUGUACAGAAACGUCAGAACAAAGCCUAUUAACUCAGACACAAUCAAGAGAUACUAAAUUUGAAUACAGUAGAGGUAGGUUUUGGUUGUAACAUAACUACACUCGACCUGACUUCCCACAGAGGGAUACGUAGGCAACCUAUGUAGGGUCCGAUCUCUCCCUCUCCCCCUUCUCUUUUGUAAUAGGAAAUCUAAAUACUAUUUUGUAUGUACUCGAAACUACGCCACGACUUGAUUUCCUUUGGAAAGAAUAUAUAGGCAAUCCUCAACGGAUUCAGUCAUCUAUUGUAAUUGAACUACGUUCUAGCCUGAUUCUAUUUGGAUUCGUAGGUAGUCUGAGUCAGACUCGGCCACUUAAUUUUCAAUCUCAUCAUUUUACAUCUAUUGUAAUUGAACUACAUUUAACCUGAUUCCAUUUGGAUACGUAAGUUGCCUGAGUCAGGCUCAGUCAUCAUCAUAUUCUCUUUAUCAUUACUCAGAACUACAUUCAGAGCUAAUUCUAUUUUGCAUACGUAGGCAACCUGAAAAGAUUUGGUCAUAACACUAGGAAAACCUUUGUAACACAUUAGUUUAGAUUAGGACGCAAUCGCAGCAGUAAAAAGCCACAUCAUCAGAAGCAUCUUGGAGGAUCGACAUCAAUGGGACAAAGUCUUUUAGAAACAACAUUCGCAUUUGAGGAACUUCCUAAGCAUGUCAUAAUUCGGAACGACGACAUUUUCCAUAAGAUAAAGAUUUUCAAAAUAUUUUCAAAAAAUGCCAUAAUCUGUUCCACCUACCGAACAUCACGGCAUGACCUCAUCAAGACUAGGGCAAAUAUAGGACUACGAUCGACACGAACCAACACCGCCCAUACUCCGAAUUUUACUUUGAAUGCAGGACCAACAGAAUACAAAGGAAUGCUAAAGCACACUAGGGCAAUGACGGAUCCUCCACUCUCUCAUAACUAUCCUCCCCCUUUCCUUAUUAAAGUUUUUCCUUAUAUAAUUAAAAACUAUCUCUCAGUCAUUUGCAGGUAUUUCAGAACCAGGACGCCAAUGCAACCGGAGCAUAUUGUAAAUAGCGAACCAACUGGUCAACCGAGCGGAGCAUGUUGUAUAUAGCGAGCCACUGGCCCCGCCAACUGGAGCCAUGUAUGUAGAAAACCAUCUGCUCAACUGAAUGGAGCAUGUUGUAUAUAGCGAGUCAUUUGCCCUGCCAACCGGAGCCACAUAUAUAGCAAGGCAUCAGCUCAAUCCAUCGAAGCGCCUAUUAACAAAUCGAGCCGUCGGCUUUGCCAAUCAAAGCCCUGUAUAUAGCAAAUUGUUUGCUUCUCCAAGAAGAGUAUUCCGCACCACCACUCCACCACAUCUGAGAUCAAAAUAGAUAGCCGCAAAUCUUUUCAUCGACGUUCUGCCAAUCGACGACCGCAAUUUAUUUUCGCGGUCAAGAGUAUCUCUUGGGCAUGCUCCUUACUUCUUUAUUUUUAUCUCGAAUGUUUUGACAUUUUGCUCAUGCAGCAUAUAUGCAUGAUUACAUUUUCAAGUCAGAAAUUCCCAUCGUGCAGAGAUACUUUACAUUUCAAUGCAACUACUCCCAUCACGCGGAGAUGCAUUCUACAUUACAAGUCAACUACUCCCAUAGCGCAGAGACACUCCCAACACGAGGAGACUUAAUACUCCUACAGUUGCGGAACGGUACACAACCUGGCUAACAAUCGAGCCAAAUUCAAGUAUCCCAUCAUCCUAAUCCCAAAUAAGGGCUAGCCGGCAUCCAUGCAUUAUCAUUCCUGCAUCAUUUACAUCAUAUCUUAACAUAUUCUGCAUCAUUCCUCCCAACAUGUGGUAUGUGUGUAUUUUAUUUUUGUAGGAACAAACAUCACAACGUGGAACUUCUACUAAGGAGCAAACCAACCGAGCUCGAAGUCAAAUAUGAUCAGUGGAACUCUAAUUCCUCAAAUCUUUCAAAUCAAGCCGCAAUUCCAAACUAUCAUGGGUACUAAAUCAUCCGUCUUGCAGUGUCGUCAUAAUACGAUACUGGGGCAAUUCCCGCUAGCAUCGCCUCCCCCAAAUCAUCACUCCAGAACUACAUGAGGCAUGAUCCUCAUUAAGCCCGAGGUAUAUAAGCAAUUCAAAGCCAGAAUUUGGCCUCAACUCCUCAAAAACCUCCUGGAAUCUUCCUUAACUCCUAUCAUACAACUCGUAAUCUUCCUUAAACCCAUAUGCCAUUUCUGCAAUGUAUACCUGAGGUCGGGACAAAAUUGGCCUUGGUUCGAUUUCUUUACCCGAAAAAUCUUUCAUCGUCUCCUGUCAAAGAGGGGCAGCUAUUGACGACUAAUUUUGACCCUUCCUUUAAAAAUUAACUUAUUUAUACUUAAUAAUUUUCAUUAAAUGUGUUGAAAAUGUUUUAAAUCAAUAAUACCUAUUUUUACAAAAAAUAACUUAGUAACUAAUAGUGUAGAAAUUAAUAAUUUAUUAUUAUAUAAUUACGAAAUAUAUCAUAUUUACUAUUUUGAGAUUAUUAAUGUAACCUUUAUAUACAUUACGUAGGUUUUAUAAUUAAUCUAAUAAAUUAUUCCUUAAUAUUAGUUAAUUAGCUUACUAUUUCAAUAAUUCAAAAUCAAUGUCAUAAUUUGGAAAAUAAAGUAUUUUUAUAAAUAAUUAAUUAAUUACGAUAAUUAGUAAUGUAUUUUUCAGUUAUAAUUUCUACUAAAUUUUAUUGAAUGUAAUUAAGUUCAUUUAAAUUAAUUUCAAAAGGGUUAACGACUAAGAGGCUAUAAUUGCAAUGUCCUAAUUAAAUACCAAGUGGCUAUUAUUUAAAUUAAUUUUAGCCAAAAUGCCAAGCUCAAUCCGGACCUGACCCAUUACAAACAACCCCCCCAAUCCAAGUUUGAAAUCCAUACUACUCCUUGUGAGCUAAUAGCGGUGUGCCACGUCACCCGUCUCUAUUACUCACACAACAAACACAAGCAAUCUGAGUCGUCGAUCCAAGCCACCAACUGUUCGUGUUUAUCCCUAUUUUCUCUUUUAAUUUUAACCUCUCACUAGAUAUUACCAGCACCAUUGGAUCACACAUAUCCAACGGUUCCUGUAUUUUAUCAUAAAAAUAUUUUUAAAACUUUUAAUCCCUGAUUUAUCAGGGCCGUUGAUCUAACGAUCCAACGACCCAGAUCUAUUCCCUCGUUCUUAACCCUAAAGACCAAGCCCAAUUACUCUUAACCCUAAAUUAUUUCCCCCUUUGACUGCCGCCCCCAUUUCCAUGUCCUCUCUCUGUUCUCUCAAAUCACCAAAUCAAAGCAGUCACAGACCUUGCACAAAUUUGUGCAAGGUCACAAAUCGAGCCUGAAACCAUCCUUUUGCCUUCUGAAAUCCGCGAAUCCAACUGGCUAUUUCCUAUCUCAUCACUCAAAAUUCAAAUACCCAAAUCUGAACCCUAGAUUUAACUAUGCAAUAUCAAAUAUCAGAUUUUUCUCAUGUACUGUUAAAUACAUGGCAUGCAUGGCGUUUCUUCAUCAUUACCACUAUUAUUCUUUGUCCAGAGGUCAAACAUAGUGACAUCUGGCCAUUGAAGUCUUAUCCGAUGGUUCUUUUCCUUCAACAUCCAUUCUUCACUCACGUAAACUUCUUUAUCAUUUUUCUCUCUGUCUCCUUAGAUUUUCACAUGAUUUUGCUUGCAUCACCACCCUUAGUCACUCUCCACUAUCAAUUUGAAUCUGUUGAACCCUAAGACUUCAAUGGCCACUAUAAAUUAGGGCUUUUAAUGCUUUCACCUAACAUAAGAGAACACACAUACGAAAUUACUAAAAAAGAAUCAAUUUCAAGUCUUGAAAGUAAAACCAGGUUUCUUUCUAACUAGUUCUCCGAUUCUUUUUGAUUUUAAGCACUACACUGGUCCGAGUCUUGUGUCUUGGAUUCUUAAUGGCUAAAUAAGAGUCUCGUUUGGUUUGCUUUCUUAAAGGAGUUAAGUGAACCUUAACUGUCCUCCUCUUUUAAUCGUUUGAAUUUGCAAUCAUGAUUGUUUUGUUAUCUUUUGUUAAAUGACACUGACGAUAAUGUGUUAUGGUUGACUAUUUUUAUGUGUUUGUUAUUAAUAUAUAAUUUAUCAAUGGAUUUUGGGAUCAUAUGUUCCUUAAUGUGUUGAAAUUAGAACAUCAUAUUGAUUAGUUAAUCCUGAUGAACAUUUUUGAUAAUAUAUACUGUUAAACUUUUGAGAAUAACCAAAGAAACUUUCAAACAACCUUAAUAGUUGGCUUAAUCUCCUGAUGUUCUGUUGUAACCCUCAUGUGUGUUAUGACUUAGUGUUAUUGGCAUGAUUCACUUAAUGUUUGGCCUAAUUAGACAUGAAUGUGUGCUGCUGAGUAUAAGGCUAUCACAUGACCUAACCAUGGUAGCUUACAAUGUUUGAACAAUCUCUAUCUUCAAAUGUAUUCUUCUAUGAUUCUGUAAUUCUAAAAAUCAGUGUAAGACCUUUUAUCAACUCCCGUAACUGUUUAUCACAUCUGUGAACUUCACUAUAUUAGAGAAUGCCUAAAAGUAACUGGAUUAAGCUCUAAGGAACUUAUGCACUUCAGUUUUGUCUUCUGCUAUCUACUUGGUUUAAGACAUGCCUAUAAACCUAACUGAAAUUUUACCUGCUAUAGUUUAAUACCAUCUGAUAGAACCAUGUGUUGCAAAACCUCAUUAUGAAAACUAAUCUACCUAACUUAUAAUUUAUAUAUGCUUGCCUGGUGUGAUUUUUCACUAUUCAGGACCAACUAUGAUGCCCAUAUUAGUCUAAUUCCAUGUUUUGUACUCAGUCCUAUUGUAAUGUGGUAGUAUUAGUUAGAAUACAACAUGUACACAUUUGGAUAUCACCUAUUAGGAGUUUUGUACUCAUCCCUGCCUUAAAGGAAACUACUGUUUGUAUAUCAUGUUUAUGAUUGUGUUUCCAGGUCAUUAAAAUCUACUAAGUUCACUGAAGUUUACCUAUAAACUUAGAAGAAGCCCUUUAAAUGUUUAUCUAUCCUAUUUAAAUGUAGGACUAUAUAUUUAACUCUUAACCAACAUAGAUGUGAAUGAAGAUCUCUUUGGAGAUCACUUGCCAAUGUAUUUGCCUGCCCCUGUUUUCUUAAAAAUGUUAAAGUGGAUUGUUAACUUUCUCACUUAGUAAAGAAUGGAAUAUUGGUCUGUAUGAAGACUCCCAAUAAGUAUGUAUGAUUAAGUACAUGAUUACAACUAAUGACCUUCAUAAGUCUGAACCUGCUAAUAGGGCUAUUGAGGUUGAUAUGCUUGAUACCUCCCAUGUUCCUUUGAACUACAUAAUUUACUUAUUGUGUGCCCUUGUAUUCAUGUGCUGCUGUUUUCUCACUCUUUGCUAGAACCUAUUAUUGAUACUGUCUGAGUGCCCUUAAGCUUGAUAAGAGUAAAUGAUUGCACUAUAUUUUUGUGUGCAAAUCAUGAGAUGAUGCUUUGGCAUUCUGGAUAUGUUAUUGAAAUAUAUCCUUCAUUGUGUAUAAAUCACCACUAUGGUAUUGGAGUUUACAAUGAACACCUCUUUAGCGCCUAAAUCUAUAUAGAAGAGUAAGUGUGAGUAGUUAGGGGUAUUUGGGAGUAGAAUUUAGUUCUUGAUUGAGUUACUCUCCCUGACACAAGCACUGCUCGAGAUCCUUGAGACCCUUGUGAACUUUGAAAUGCCUGAGAUCCAAAGAGUACCUUGGCCAUGAAUGGAGUUAUACCCUAAGCCUUUAAUCUAUUGAUAUUUUUUAAUCUCUUUAGGUUUAGUGUUCAAUGGAAACAAUGUUUUUCACUGUAAAUUGCUUUACUAUAUGUGACUUUAUACUAAUUUUGCAUUCUUGAUUAUCGUCUAUUUUAUAGUUUAUCAUGGAUCUAUAUUAAUGUUACUUACAUAUAACUAUGUAUAUUGGGCCACAUAUCUAAUGACUUCCUCUUUCUUUUCUACAUGUAUUUAAAUUCGGCCUGCCGAGUUCUUCAAAGAACUCAGGCCCAAGUUCUUUGGCUAAACCUUUUGGAGUCUGAAGCUGCUGUUGUCCGUCUUCACUAUCUGCUGGGCUUACCGACCUUCAGGCCCAAACCCAAAGUCCACCUCUUUCCCUUAUCGUUUUAAGUCUAUUGAUUAUUCUCAAAUGUAUAUAACACUUACGAUAUUUUAUUGAAUACUUUGCUAUAUAUCUUUGAAUUAUGUUAACAAUCUAGGCAAGCUCUAAAGAUAUAGGAUAAAAGAAACAUUGUGACGUGGUAACAAUCAUUCUAAUUUUCUAAUCAUUCAUGUUGUUCAGUUCUAAACCUUUACUAGUGAUUUUCAUGAAGUCUUUUUGAAACUAAGAAAGCCUCCGCAAUGGUCGACAACCUUCUCUUAUCAAAAACCAGAAAACUGAUUCAAAAAUGGCUUUCCAAAGGUUGAGCUUUUCUACAAAAACAUCUAACAAACGUUGCUGCAAAGCCAAAAGUUUCAAACGAUUUCUUCAAAUUAAAUGUGAGAUUUGAGAAUCAAUCCUCAAGGUAUACCUAAGGCCUACUUCUUUACACACCUUUACUUUACUAGAGUUAUAUAAAUAGCCAUACCAUUCAAAAAUAAUUUGUUUUAAACUUAGCCAUAUCUCUUAAGGUUUUGCAAAUACAAACAUUAUACAUAUACUUCUAAAAACUCUUUCAAUCAUAUAGAUAUAAACAUUUUUAAAGGCUUUUACAAAUAAAAUUGUCUUCUUUUCAAAAUUACAUAUAUUAUUUUCAAGUGAUAAGCAUUAAACUAGACAUACAAUAAACUAUACUUUUUAACACUAAUUAAGCAGAAUAUGGACAUCUAAUUUCUUAACCCUAGUCUAAGUCCUAUGGAGCUACCUCAUGUAUAUCUUAAGAACAAGAACCCUUACCCAAAAUCUAGAACCCUUACCCAAAAUCUCACCGGCUAGUAGACUAAUAGAGAAAUGAUCAUAGUAAUUAGACAUGUAUCCUAGUGUACCUUUAAAUAUUAGGUGACGACUCUUUUUUUAUCUUUAACAGGGAAACCACUAGUUGAAUCUUGUUUUGACUCGUACAAAAUAGGAUGCAACAACAUCUAUUGUGCAACCACUGAUCUGUUGGGUACAAUGAAGCAAGAUAUGAGACAUUACCGAGCCCUCCUAUGGUCGGGUAUGACCGAGCCCUUGCGUGGUCGGAUACGAUGAUGUGUGAAGUGAGGUUACCAAGCCCUCCUGUUGACGGGAAUGACCGGGUCCUCUAUAAGGCCGGGUAUGGAGUGAUGAAAUGUUCUCCAAAGAUUGGUUGAAUAUAUAUAUAUAUAUAUAUAUAUAUAUAUAUAUUGAUAAUUGAUAAUUGAAAAAUUAAAAUUAAAAUAAUUUAUUGAUAAUUGUCCUAGUUUUCAAAUACUAGGAUUUUCUAUCAAUUUAUUGUGUUUUAAAAUUAUAAUAAAAACAAUAAUUACUACAAUAUUAUUGUAGUACCUAUCAUUUUCAAAUAAAUACUAUAUGAUUUUAUAGUUAAACAAUUAUUUUCUAAUUUAGAGCACUAUCCAGUAACUACAUGGAAGCUAUUAGAAUUUAUCUCAAAAUACGUAUCAAAUACAGACAAACCCAAUGCCCCGUCAGCAUCCGAAGUGAUAGCAUACUUGAUAUGACAAGACAUCUUGAUGUGGCUUUAUGUGAUAUGACUUUCUUUUAUCCAACUUGUAAACUUUUUACCCAAUGGGUAAAGACCAUUAUUUUGUCCCAUUUCAAAGCCAUUGUAUUCAUAAACAUGGCAUUAAGACCAUGGUUUUACAAUGGGUGGAUUUUAUUGUGACCACAUAAUUUUAUUUUUAUAUUGUCCUUUAUUUUUUUUACUUAAAAUUAGGUCCAUAUAUUUUUACAUACACUCGUUCUAUAAUAUACAUACACACACACGCACACAUACUACAAAAGUGGAUCAGAUAUUUUAAAGCCUAUUUGGUUAACCUAGAUAUCUCAUGGCUGCUGCUAGCCCUCCCCUCGUGGCUUCUCUCUUCAUCUUCUUUUAUAAUAACCCGGCUGGUCGAUUUGUGUAUUGUAGGCCCAUCCCCUAUUUAUUGCAUAUUCUCUGUACACUUGUAGUUAUGUUAUUGUCCAGGUGGUUGGUUUGGUUUCGGGGAAGUGUUAGAGUGAAUUGGAACACUUAGUCCCAAGGUUGGAAGCUUAAGUUGAAAGAGUUGACCGGAGUUUGUAUUUUGUGUAGACAACUUUUGAAUGGUGUUUUGAUGAUUCCAAUAGUUUUGUAUGGUAAUUUUGGACUUAGGCGUAUGUCCGGAUUUUGAUUUGGAGGCUUGUAGGUUGAUUUGAUGCUUUUUGGCGAAAGUUAAAAAGUUGAAGGUUUGGAAGGUUAUAGGUUUGACCGAGAGUUAUUUGAUAUCAGAUUUUGAUUUUGGUUCUGGGAUUUAGAAUAGGUCCGUUGUGUCAAUUGGGUCUUGGAUGCAAAUUUUGAGGUCAUUCAGAGUUGAUUUGAUAUUGUUCGGCAUGAGUUUUGGAAGUUGAAAGUUCAUUAGUUUCAUUAGGCUUGAAUUUGGGUGUAAUUUGGUCUUUUGUGUUGUUUGUUGUUAUUUGAGGCUUCAAGUAGGUUCAUGUUGUGUUUUAGGACUUGUUGGUGUUUUUAGACGGGGUCCUGGGGGCCUCGGUGUGUUUCGGAUAGGUUUCGGAAAAUUUCACUAUGUUUUGGACUGCUGUUCUGAUGUCUGGUGUGUACUUCAUUGUGAUCGCGACACAGGGUUCGCGUUCGCGUACCCUUUCAGGGUUGGCAUGUGAAUUGUUCUUCACGUUCACUAGUUGGAGCUCGCGUUUGCGAUGCUUUAGAAGGUAGUAGCCUUCGCAAUCGCAUGAAGGUCGACGCGUUCGCGUACAAGGGAGGCCAGCCGGGGGACAUUAGGACUUAAGCCUUCGCAUUCACGUAAGAUGGGACUCAUUCACGUAGGCAUGGAAGUGUUGGGCAUCGCAUUCGUAACCGGGAUGUUGUAUUUGCAUCGAAGGUUUUGGCAGCUUUGGGAAUUUGUUCUUCACGAUCGCAAAGGCAUUUCUACGAUCGCGAAGGGUACACCUCGGCAGACUUUAAGUGCUCUAUUUUUUGAGGGUUAUUUUUCAUUUUAGCAUAUUUUGAUUUAUGGAGCUCGGUCCUUGGCGAUUUCUAGAGAGCUUUACAUCACAAUUGAAGAGGUAAGUGAAGUUUUAUCACUUUUGACGUUAGAUAUUGAUUACCCAAUGAUUAUUACACAUAGUUUAUAUGAAUUCAAUGUGAAAUUUGGGGAUUUAGGGCUAUGUUGUUUGAGAGUGAGAUUUGAUGAUUUGAGGGUCGAUUUGUUGUUGGAAUUGGAUGAAAUUGGUAUGGUUUGACUCGUAUUUUAAUGGGUGUUUGGAAUUUGUGAGUUUGACCGUGUUAUAGGGUGUGGGCCCAAGGUUGACUUUUUAAUUUUGAUAAAGAUCGAAGCUUUAUUGUUUGAAAUUGUUUCCUACGGCAUUAUUAGUUGAUAUUAAGUUGUUUGUGACUAGAUUUGAGUAUUUCGAAGGCCGAUUCGCAUGGGAAGGGCAGUUUGGGGUAUUGAUUUGCACCUUUUGAGGUAAGUAACAUAUCUAAACUUGGAUUUUCGAGAAAUUAAGCCUCGUAAAUAUGUUAUCUGAGUUGUAUUGUGUGACACACGUGCUAGGUGACGGGCGUGGGUGCGUGCACCAAAAUGUUCAUUAUUAGAGGUGGCUUUUAGACUAUUAUGAGAUUUGUUUUUCUAUCAUGCCUCGUUAUAUCUAUGUCUUCUCUACUUGUAGAAUUAUUUGAGUUGUGAUUCAUGUUAGAAAGCAUGUCUUGGCUAUAUGCUAUUUGUUUCAGACAUGAUAGGGCUAUUCUUACUGUUUCUGGGCUAUUUGCCUUAAUUGCACAUAUACUCUCAGUCCCGAUGCUAUAUCCGCGCAUUAUCUGAGACUUCAGCAGUUAAUGACUGAACUUGGGACAUAAAGCCGAUUUGGUAUUCAUUUUGAGGUGACGCGUACGCCGGACUUAUAAUGGGCUAUGUGUUAUUGUUUUGGGGCGACGCGUGCACCAUGCCUCAUUAUUUGGGCUAUGUGAUUAUAAUUAGCGCUUGGGAUAGAUACCCUCCCCUCCCCCCUCCCCCCCCGGAGUCUGUCAUACCAGAAGUGGGUGGAGGCACAUUAUUUUAUAUACGUGCUUUGAUGAUGGGCAUUUAUACUAGGCACCUGUAUAGUUCUAUGUGUUGUUGUGUGGUUAUUCUUCAUGGUUUCACAAGGAUAUUCUUGAUUUGACAUGUAUAUAUGACAUGUAGGCACAGAAAUGUACUUUCCUCAUGCUAGCUGGUAACUGAAAUAUUUUAUCUGUGUUGGGCUUUAACUGUUAUACUUGGAAAGCAUGUCUAAAUUCCUGAAAUGUGUACGAGCUGAACAUGAUAUCAUUGAGUUAUUUACUUAUAUUGUUUCCCAUCACAUCUUGAACUACUACCGGUUAUUGAUAUUGGUCUCUGACUGUUUCUUCUAAGCUCAUUACUGUUUCAGCCCAAGGUUAGGUUUAUUACUUAUUGAGUAUAUGGGGUCGGUUGUACUCAUACUACACUCUGCACUUCAUGUGCAGAUCAAGGUACUUCCAGACGAGAUGAUCUCUAAUGUGAUGUUGCUACCAAAUUUUGGGAGACUAUGAGGUAGUUGCUAUGCCGUUCACCGAGCUUGAAGUUCUCUUUCAUUAUUUCUAUUAUUACUGUUCUACUAUUCAGACAGUUAUAUUGAGAAUUUGGCCUUGUAUUUUGAUACUCAAUAGUGCUCAUGUACUCAUUGACACCAGAUCUUUGGGAUGGUUGUAGCAGUAUUGUUGUCGUUUUCUUUAAUUAGUUUACUAUAUCUCCGUUAUUGAGUUUCUUAAACUAUGUUCAUAUAAAUUCAUUGUUAUAAUGUGACUAUUGGCUUGCAUAGCAAGUAGUGUUAGGCGUCGUCGCGGCUUCAGUGGGAGUUGGGUCAUGGCAAUUUGGUAUUACAGCACUAGGUUGCUUUUGUCUCACGAAUCAUGAGCAUGUUUAGUAGAGUCUUGCGGAUAGGUAUGGAGAUGUCUGUACUUAUCUUCGAGAGGCUACUGAACUAUUAGGAAACGUCACUUUCUUGCAUUCUUGUCAUACGAAUUUGUUAUUUCUGAAGUUUGAACCUUGAUUGUUCUAUUAUCUCACACAUGGUGAGGACACGUGCAACCGGAUCAGCCGUACGGGCACCAGUCCCACCAGUUAGGGCUGCGAGAGGCCAGGGCCGUGGUAGAGGCUGAGGUGGGGCUUGCACUAUAGGCACAACAACACAUAUGGAGCCACCGGUUGCUCCAACUUAGGAGUAGGUUCUAGAUACUGUCGAGCCGGUGGGACCAGCUCAGGUACCAGAAGUGCCUAUUGUUAUUCCUAGCCUUCAGAAGGCCUUGGCUAUGAUUUUGACUAUGUGCACGAGCCUGGCUCAAGCGGCUUCGAUCCCAGUUUCACCAUCUACCUCACAGGAUGGAGGAGGUUCCCAAACUUCUUUCGCUUGUACUCCAAAGUAGUUAGCUCAAGGUUAUCAAACACCGGGAGUAUUACCAGUUCAUCCAGUUGCUACUACGCAGAUCGAGGUUUGUCCACCUAUGAUUGAUGAGGAGCAGAAAAGGUUUGAGAGAUUUUGGAAGCUUAAGCUUCCAAAGUUCAACGGGGAGGAGUCAGAGGAUGCUUAGGAUUUCCUAGACCGGUAUCAGCGGAUUCUUCGCACAGUAAGUAUUUUGGACACUAGUGGAGUUACAUUUACUACUUUUUAGUUGAUUGGGACAACCUACAUAUUAUGGCGGGCUAAUGAGUUGAGCAGGCCAGUUGGCAUAACGCCAUUUAUGUGGCAUGAGUUUUUAGUUCUCUUCUUAGGGAUAUUUGUCCCACAGACUCGCAGAGAGGAGCUGCAUAGUGAUUUUGAGCAACUACACUAGGGAGCAAUGACUAUGACUCAGUAUAAAAUGAGGUUAGUAGAUUUGGCCCGUCAUGAUAUAUGGUUGGUUCCCACUAAAAUAGAGCAUCAGGAUGUUUAUUGAUGGCCUCAACUAUGGCAUAAGUUACAGUUUGGCUCGAGAGGCCGAGACGGAUGCUAGGUUUGACUAGGUGGUCGAGAUUGCCAGUCACUUAGAGCAAGUUUUCAGGCUUGAGCACGGGAGCUGGAGGGAAAGAGGCCCCGUGGUUUAGGUGGUUUUAGUGGUACCUCGUCUGGAGGUCAGUGACAUCAUGGCAGGGGUCAUCCUUUUAGGCCCGAGGGUAAUCCUUUUUGGUCCACUCAGAUGGUUGCCAGGUUCCUUGUGGUUCAUCAGCUAGCCACCGUUCUUACAGAACUCAUCUAGUUCAGUUGUCUUUUAGUGCACUUCAAUCUCAGAGCUCGUACCGUGCUCCAUCAGUUCACGGUUCGUCAGUACCAUGUUCUUCCAGUGGUUAUUCUAGUUCUCGGGGUUUGAUUCAAGCCCCACAGUCAUUCCCAUUUUGAGGUUGUUACAAAUGUGAAGAGUUGGGGCAUGUGAGGAAGUAUUUCCCCCAUCAUUACAUAGGUCCAGUGCAGCAGGGAGGCCAAACUAUGACUCCUCUACUAGUUUCUACACCACUUACUCAGCCAACUCGGGGUAGAGGUCGUGUGGGUCGAGGUCGCCCACAGGGGGAGGUUAGUGAUAUGGUGGUCAGGUUCAUUUCUAUGCAUUUCUAGCCAGACCAGAGGUAGUUUCUUCCGAUGCGGUGAUCAGAGGUAUUGUUUCAGUGUACCACAUGGAUGCUUUUGUAUUAUUUGACCCAGGUUCCACUAAUUUAUAUGUGUCAUCAUAUUUGGUUCGUUAUUUGGAUAUGUUUCGUGAUUCUUUAGUUAUGCAUGUUCAUGUAUCUACACCGGUGGGUGAUUCUAUUGUUGUGGACCUUGUAUAUCAGUAGUGUGUGGUGACUAUUGGGGGUUAUAAGACCAGAGUUGAUAUUUUUCUUCUUAACAUGAUUUAUUUUGACGUGAUUUUGGGCAUGGAUUGGGUGUUACCAUGUAACUCUAAGAGCGUGACGUUGGCGAUGCCGGGGAUGCCGAGGUUGGAGUUGAGAGGUUCCCUAGAUCAUGUUCCUAGUAGUGUGAUUUUGCAUACAAAGGCUUAAUGAAUGGUUGAGAAGGGAUGUUUGGCGUACUUGGCCUUCGUGAGGGAUAUUAGGGCUGAUACUCUUACCGUUGAGUCAGUUCCGGUAGUGAGAGACUUGGUGAUGCUUUUUAGGCUGACCAAUGUCCCAUCAAUCUUUAUGAACUUGAUGAACAUCGUGUUCAAGCUAUACCCUGAUUCCUUCAUCAUCGUAUUCAUUGAUGAUAUAUUGGUGUAUUCAUGCAGCCAUGAGGAUCAUGAGCAGCAACUGAGAAUCGUACUCCAGACAUUGAGGGAGAAGAAGUUAUAUGCUAAAUUCUCCAAGUGUGAGUUUUGGCUUGAUUCAGUGGCAUUUUGGGGCACGUGGUGUUCAGUUUGGGGAUUAAGGUAGAACCGAAAAAGAUUGAGGUAGUUCAGAGUUGGCCCAGACCAUCUUCUUCUACAGAGAUCCAGAGUUUCCUUGGUUUGGCCGGAUAUUAUCACCGUUUUGUGGAGGGUUCUCGUCCGUUGCUGCACCUUUGACUAGAUUGGCCUAUAAGGGUUCCCCAUUCAGGUGGUCUGAGAAGUGUGAGGAGAGCUUUCAGAAGCUUAAGACUUCCUUGACCAUAGUUUCAAUUCUAGUUCUACCUUCGAGAUUGGGUUCUUACACAGUUUAUUGUGAUGCUUCACGAAUCGACAUUGGUAGUGUGUUGAUGCAGGAGGGUGGAGUUAUUGCUUAUGCUUGGCAUCAAUUGAAGCGUAAUGAGAAGAACUACCAUGUUCAUGAUUUGGAGUUGGCAACCAUUGUUCACUCAUUGAAGAUUAGGAGGCAUUAUCUUUACGGUGUGUCAUAUGAGGUAUUCACAGAUCAUAGGAGUCUCCAGUACUUAUUCAAGCAAAAGGAUAUGAACUUGAGGCAACAGAGAUUAAGGACUAUGAUAUCACCAUCCUUUAUCAUCCGGGAAAGGCCAAUGUGGUGGCCGAUGCCUUGAGUAGGAAGGCUAAGAGUAUGGAAAUUCAUGCUUAUCUUAUAGUUGGGGAGAGGCCGUUAGUUUCAUGAGGUUGGAUAUAUUGGAGCCCAACACAGUUCUUACUUGCGUGGUUUCACGGUCUUCUUUGUUUGAGCGCCUCAAGGCGCGUCAGUAUGAUGAUCCCCAUUUGCUUUUUCUAAAGGACAUAAUGCAGCACGGUGAUCCUAAAGAGGUUACUAUUGGAGAUGAUGAGGUAUUAAGCAUGGAUGUUCAGAUCUAUGUUCUAAAUGUGGAUGGGUUGCAUGAGUUGAUACUUGGGGAGGCCCAUAGUUUAUGGUAUUCAAUCCUUCUGUGCGCCACGUAGAUAUAUCAGGAUUUGAAGCAGCACUAUUGGUGGUGGAGGAUAAAAAAAGAUAUCGUUGAGUAUGUUGCUCGGUGCUUGAAGUUUUAGCAGGUGAAGUACGAGCACCAGAGACCCGGUGGGUUUCUUUAGAGGCUUGAUAUCCCGGAGUGGAAGUGGGAGCAUAUCACGAUACAUUUUGUAGUUGGGCUUCCACGGACCUUGAUGAAAUUUGAUGCAGUAUUGAUUAUUGUGGACAGAGUGACCGAGUCUGCGUAUUUCAUUCCGGUUGUGACUACUCAUUCUUCAGAGCAGCUGGCUUAGAUUUACAUUCGUGAGAUGGUUCGCCCUCAUGGUGUGCCUGUGUCUAUCAUUUUGGAUAGAGGAACUUAGUUCACAUCACAGUGUUUGAGAGCGGUGCAGCAAGAGUUGGGCACACGGGUAGAGCUGAGUACAACAUUUCCUUCCUAGAUGGACAGGCAGUCCGAGCACACUAUUCAGAUCUUAUAGGACAUGUUACGUGCCUGUGUUAUUAAUUUCGUAGGAUCAAUCAGCUUCUUCCAUUAGCAGAUUUUGCCUAAAAAAAUAGCUUUUAAUCGAGUAUCCAGAUGGCUCAUUAUGAGGCCUUAUAUGGGAGGAGAUGUGGUUCUCUAGUUGUGUGGUUUGAGCCUGGGAAGGCUAGUUUGCUGGGCACUGAUUUGGUUCGUGAUGCCUUGGAGAAGGUGAAGGUGAUUCUGGAGCGACGUCGUACAGCACAGUCCAGGUAGAAGCGUUAUGCGGACACGAAGGUUCAUGAUGUUGCAUAUAUUGUGGGUUAGAAGGUUCUGCUCAGAGUUUUGCCCAUGAAGGGUGCGAUGAGAUUCGAGAAGAAGAGGAAGUUGAGUCCUAGGUAUAUUGACUCUUUUGAGAUGCUUGAGAGAAUUGGGGACGUGUCCUACGAACUUGCCUUGAUACCUAGUUUAUCUGGUGUUCACCCAGUAUUUCAUGUGUCUAUGCUCUGGAAGUAUUAUGGUGAAUCGUCGCAUGUUUUGGACUUCAUCACGGUACAACUAACACAUCGGACCUCAAAUUGUUUCCUACGGCGUUAUUUGUUGAUAUUAAGUUGUUUGUGACUAUAUUCGAGUCAUUUGGAAGGCUAUUCUCAUGGGAAGGGCACAUAAUAUGGUGAUAUCAUAGUCUUUUAGCAACUAUACCUAUAUUUGCUGCCCCAAAUUAAGGUCCUUCUUCUUCAACAAGUGUUGGAGACUCCGAUGGUCGGUAUAUACCUCACAUGGAAUGUCCUACAGAUAGUGCCUCAAAAUCUUCCAUGCGUGAACAAUAUCUGCCAACUCUAAAUAAUGCACUGUUUAAUUCUUUGAACUCAAUUGCUGAGACACGUAGGCAAUCACCCUACCAUUCUGCAUCAACACCGCCCCAAGUCCAAUACGCGAUACAUCACAUUACACAGUGUAAGAUCCCGAACCUAUAGGAAACACCAAUACUGGGGUUGUAGUCAAUGCAAUCUUGAGCAUGUGAAAGCUCACCUCACACUCGUCGGACCAUCUGAAAGGAGCACCCUAGUGGGUCAAUCUAGUCAAAGGUGCAACAAUGGACAAGAAACCCUCUACAAAAUGGCAAUAAUAACCUACCAAACCCAAUAAGCUCCAAAUCUCUAUAUCUGAAGACGGUCAAGGCCAACUUUGAACUGCCUCAAUCUUCUUCGGAUCCACUUUGAUCCCCUCACUAGACACCACGUGGACCAAGAACGCCACCGAAUCAAGACAAAAUCACACAUGGAGAAUUUAGCAUAUAGCUUCUUCUACCUCAAAGACUGGAGUACGAUGCUCAGAUGUUGAUCCUGAUCCUUCUGGAUGCGUGAGUACACCAAUAUAUCAUCAAUGAAGACUAUGAUAAAAAAAGCAAGAUAUGGCUAGAACAUGUUAUUCAUCAAGUGCAUAAAGGCUUUUGGGGCAUUGCUUAGCCCAAAAGACAUCACCAGAAACUCAUAGUGACCAUAACGGGUCUUGAAUGUCGUCUUCAACAUGUCUAAGUAUGUUCUUAAGUCUCUAUUGAGUCAUAAGUUAAAGAUGUUAAUGUUCAUAAUGUAAUGUUAUAUGCAUAUUCAUUUAUUACCGAGCUACGGUCGGUUGUGCAGUCAUGCAUUUACCACCGAGGUAUGGUCGGUUGGGCAGUUACGCAUUUACCUCCAGGGUACGGCCGGUCAGGCAGUUACCACCGGUUAGACAGUUAUGCAUAUACCACCGAGCUACAGUAGGUCAGGCAGUUACCACUAAUCAGUUGGGCAGUCAUGUUAUGACAUAGAUAAUAGUCCCAGAGUGAGGCACUAAAUAUAUAAGUAUAAUUAGUAUGCAUAUCAUGGCCCUCAGUGGCACUUCAGAGGUUCAUGUUUAUUCUUAUAUCUCUCUCAUUGAUGUUGACUUAUUGUUAUAUUUCAGUUCUGCCUUACAUACUCAAUACAUUAUUUGUACUAACAUCCUUUUCAUUGUGGAUGAUGCAUUCUUGCCUGUAGGUGUAGGUAAUCAACUUGACGAUCCCUUAUAGAAGGCGAGGUUAGCAUUUAGGAAACGAUUGGUAAGACUCCACUUCAUUUGGAGUGCAACCGAGUUUAUAAGUCUGUAAGGCCCAGUAAAAUUUCACCUAAAACUCGGGGUUUCGUGGCGCCGAGGUAAAGUAAUGUGAUUGAGGGUUGUAGACCCGUCGCUUAUUGUUCCAGUUGAGACUAUUGAGGUUAAUGAGGAAUUAACUUAUGAAGAAAUUCUAGUUUCCAUUCUUGAUAGGCAAGUCCGCAAGCUGAGAAAUAAAGAAAUUGCCUCCGUGAAAGUGCUAUGGUGAAACCAACAGGUCGAAGAGGCCACCUGGGAGGCCUAGGAAGAAAUAAAGAAGAAGUACCCUCAUUUGUUUGAAUAGCUAUGUAUUUAUGAAGUUGUGUUCUAUGAAAAUGCUAAGAGUUUACUUUCUAUGAAUUAUGUUUCACUUGUACAGUUGAUGCUAAGGGCUUUCCUUUUUGGUAAUAUACUGCUCAUGAGGCUUCGGUUGGUGUUAUUUUCAUGUUAUGUUGCGUCGUUGGAUUAUGUAUAUGUUGUUAGGUUUGGUUUCUGGGAUUCUCUGAUAGGUGGACAUACCCAAUUACAGGGGAGACUCUGGCAAAAAUUUUGGAAAUUUAGGGAAUUAGUCAAAAUUUGGAACUGCUGGUGUGUGAAGUAAUAACUGCUGGUGUGUGAAGUUUUACCGCACUGCGUUGGGGAGUUGAAGAAAACUUGUUGCAGAACAAGGCAUUUUUGUGGCCCAUUAUGCGACCGCAGAUCUAUCGCAGAGUAAAGCAGAGAAAUGGCCAAUUUUGGAGGUUGUUUUGCGGUCCAUUAUGUAGCCGCAUAACCAUUUUGCGGGCCGCACAAUCCAUCACAGAUCCAUCAUGAGAAAACUUCGGAAGGAGGUUAUGCAGUCCAUUAUGCGACCGCAGAACUGAUCUGCGGACCACAUACCUUUCACAGACCUGUCCAGCCCUUUUUUACGGUCCUCUUUGCGGGCUACAUACCUAUUUUGCGGUCUGGUCUGCGAUCACAAACCCGGCUCUUAGAGUUUAAGUUUUGGAAAAAUUCACCCUAUCCCAUUUUUAUAAAAAACAACUUGGGGUUUAUUUUGGGUGGUUCUAACUAAUAUUGUAGAGAGAGGAAAGUGGUACAGAGUGAGAGGGAGAUUCCUAAGCUAAUUGUCCAUCAAUCUUUGCUCAAGAUUUGGAGAAUUCACAAGGAAAACUCACAAGAUCUUCACCCAAGAGGUAAGGUUCCAUACCCUAGUCUUCAAUUUCGAGUUUGGGGUAGAAGAUGGGUAAUGGGGAGUGUAAUUCUUAGGUAUGAGGGUGUUAUCUAUGCAUGCAUGUACUAACAAAGUGGUGGGAAGGUUGUUGAGCUCAAAAGGGUAGAUGUUGGUUUGUGGGAUGAAGGAAUCCACCAUUGGAGGACCCUGAAAACAUAAUGCCCACCUAGUGUUUGAUAAAAUGAUCAAGUGAGCUGAACAUAUGAAUAUCUUCCUAAUUGUGGUUCAAUUUUAUCAUGUCUCUAAAUAGAUCAAAGUUGGCUAAACUCUUCUUGUAGAAUGGAAUCCAUGUUGUCCUCGUAAGAUGUAAUUAUAAUUGGCUCAAGCUCUUAUGUCUCAUGUUCCGAGUUAUUCCUUAUAAAUUUGACUAUUCCAAAUAAACUCUGCGUGGAAAGAUAUAUGUUCAAAGUGUCUUUUGAAUGCUCUUAUCAUAUUGUGUUAUCCUUCGAGAUUGUAUUCGAAUGUGACCACGUGUCGAAGUAUUAUGAAUUCAAUUAUAUCUAAAUUGCUAGUUAUUAUGCCAAAUUGUGGGAGAAAGCUCAAUGUGCCUAACUGUUAUUUGCCCAUAUGUGUACUGAAGGUCGUUAUUAGAGAUGCUUUGUUGUUCAUAAUCCAUGAUGAUGUUUGAAAGUAAAAGGGGUGAUCAUGACGUAUGAAAUACAGCCGAAGCGCCAAGAAUGACAUUACAUGUGUGGCCACUAGUGCCAAUGAAAUGAAAAGAUGAGUAAAAGACUAUGAAAUGAGCUGAAAGUCCUUUAUAUAAUAAACAUUUGGGAGUAUCGUUAGUCACCGAGGAAAGGUAGGUUGAAAUGACCUAACACCGAACCUACACGUGUUGAUGUAGGUGUGUAUUGUGUUUAUUCCCCUUGUUUGGGAUGAGAUUGAUGUGAUGAGAUUAUUCACCUUAAAUUGGAUGAGAUGAUUGCUAGCAAAGGGUGAUGUUGAUCCAAACGACAUUGUGGUGAGGCGGCCUAGCCGGUUAGAUCGAGCUAGGACACCAUGUUGCACACAUGGUGGUGAUUUGCUUGAGUUUAUGAUUGAGAUAAAGAUUGAGAUCUUUAUUGUGAUUGUGAUUGUGGUUGAUGUCUAUGGGUGAGAGGGCCUAGUCGAUCGGGCCGUAGUCAGACUCCAUGCCAAAAUUCACGGUGGUAUAUCGGUGCUAAAGAUCUCCCAACCUAAAGUAUGGAAAUUUACUUGGAAAUCUUGAUGUUGUUUGAGGCUCCCAUUGAAUCUAUAAUUGUUCUUCCUUGCUUUAUUACUCGUUCUAUUGAGAGGGUGUUUAGUUAUUCAUACUAGUACUAUUCCAUAUGCACUAACGUCCCUUUUACCGGGGGCGCUACAUCUUUAAUGGAUGCAGGUGGUUCCACAGAAGCCGUCUUUGGUCAAUGAUAGCGGUACACCCUCUUCCCAGCUGACUUGGUAAGCCCCACUUCAUCUCGGGGUCGGGUAUCUUUUGUUCCCUGUGUAGUAUGUUUUGAGGUAUAGCCGAGGCCUUGUUGCUGGCACUAUCAUCUUACUCUUUUGUAUCUAUUAGAUGCUCCGUAGACAUAGUGUGGGUUGUAUGUUGGUGCUGGGAAAGUCAAACUAGUAAUGUUGUAUUCACACCACUUGUUCCACUUCAAACUAUGAAAGUGUAUGUAUUUUGAGAACUUAUAAAUGAUGUAACCUAUGGUAAUGAAUUGGUGUUGCUCACAUGAUCUUCUCCUGGUCUAAUUAAUGAAAUAGAUUUUCUCUUUAUUCAUGGGCGAGUUCGGGUAAAAGGUAUUGCAUAGGCUUGUUCGGCCGAGUUAUCUCGAUUGAUCGAUGGUCGCACUCCCCGUGGUCGGGGCGUGACAAAGUCAUCAUGUCAGAGUUUUACUACAGACUUAUGGGUAGGCUGGGGCCCUAUACUGACAAUGUUUGGAUGUCAAAUACUCUUAGAGGCUUUGUAGACACAGGUUCAUUAUGUACAACAUGUUAGAGGCCUUGACGGCCCGUGUGUAUUCAAGUUUAGAGUAUGAUGGUUCGUUGAUACAGAAAGAAUCAGUUCAGCCAAGUCGGCCUAUGUAUGUUCUAGUGUUUGUCGAAAAAGUAUGAGUUAGGGAGUGGUUCGCUCGGGCCAGUACGUCACCGGGUGCCGGCCACGCCUCCCCAUGUUGGGGCGUGAUAGAAAUGGAAACGCAAAGUCUAAUCUGGUCAUAUUUCAUACAAAGCACCUGCAUAUAUGCUCGUCACCUCGCAUAUACAUUACUUUACACACAUUACAAUUAGACAAAAAAUCAAUCCUAAGGGUUAUUCCUGACACAGGAUUAGGCAAGAUUCUUACCCUGACAAGCCCAAAUCAACCUUCUAGAAUAGCCUUUUCCCUUAGAAACUACCUCUGACCAGCUCGAAUCUAGCAAAACAUAACUCAGUGAUGUCAAACAAAGCUAUAGGAAUCAAUUCCAAACAAUAAACCUUCAAUCAUUAUACAAUUCUCAAAAAGUAUACAAAACUAAACCCAAACCCACAUGGUCAAAAACUGAGUCAAGGGGUAAAUCCCAACCACUCAUAACCCCACGAGUCCAAAUAUGUCCCAAACCCAAGUCCAAAUCAUCUCUUAAAACCCAAUUUUCACUCUGUAAAGUUAUGGGAAUACCCCCAAUUUUCCAUCAAAAUCCAUGUUUUGGGUGUUCAAAAUCCAUUAAUAUUCUUGAAAUAAUACAAAAAAUGGUAGAAAUCACUUACCCCAAAGUCUUGUAUGAUAAUCUCCAAGCAAAAUCGCCCCUCUCCAAGUCUAUGGUUCAAAAUAUUAAUGAAUGGGCCAAAAUCCCGAAAUUCAAUGCUUAAAUGCACUGCCCAGUUGUACUCUUCACAAACGUGGUACGUGUCUCGCGUUUACGAAGCAAAACAGCUUCUUCCCACAAAAUAACAUUUCGUGUUAGCAGAACCUCCCUCGCGAAGAUGAUGAACAAACCUGCCCUAUUACACGAUCACCACCAGGCCUUUGCGAACACGAAGACUAAUCCUCUAGCCCCUAACUUUGAAUUGCGAACUUGACCCCCCCAGGCGCGAAUAUGAAGAAAAAAUCCUACCAAACACCAAAACCUUCAUCGCAAACGCGAGGCUCCUCUCGAGAAUGCGAUGAUCAUUAGACACUAGCAAAAAUAACCAAUUCCAAACAUGCUCCGGGUGGUCAAAAAAUCAUCCAAGCAACCUGUGACCCCGUCCAAUCAUACUGCCAAGUCCAUAAACACUACUAUAACCCAUACAAAUCCUCGAAAAACAUACAAUAACAUCACAUCAAUGAAUCAAAGAUCAAAUCAAAAGUUGAACAUCUCUUAAGUUAAAGAACUUCCAAACUUCCAACUUAGCAUCUGAUUCAAGCCUAACCAAUCCGAAUUAUAUCCAAACUUUGCAUACAAGUUCGAAAUAACAAAAUGAACCUAAUCCAAGUUGCAAAAUAACUAUCAAAAUCUAAUAUUAUCAAAGUCAACUCCAGGUCAAACUUUGAAAAUCCCCAAACCUUCAACUUGCAAAUAUUCGGCAAAUAGAGCCAAAAUAUCCUACGAACCUCCAAAUCUAAAUUCAAACAUAUGCCUAAGUUGAAAUCACCAUCCAAACCUAUUUGAAAUAUCAAAUCACCAAUAUGAGGUCGUUUAACAAAAGUCAAACUUUGUUCAACUCUUACAACUUAGGCUUCCAACAAUGGAACUAAGUGCUCCAAUUCACUCCAAAAUCUCCCCAGAACAAAGCCAACCACCCCGCAUGUCACAAAACAACAAACAAGCAUAGAGGAAACAUAAAAUAGGAAAAUAGGGCUCAAAUAUAAAAAAUGACAAAAGACGACCGGCCGGGUGUAAGGCCCAUUAAAUAUUUUCCUAGAACCCGGGGUUUCGUGGUGUCGAGGUAGGCUAAUGUGUUUGAGAAGCUCGUCGCGGUAUGGACUUUUUGGGUUGUGCAUUGCAUUGGGGAGUUGGAAGAAUAAUUUUUGCAGAACAUGGCAUUUAUGUGGCCCAUCAUGCGGCCGCAGGACUACUCCACGGACCGCAGAUCUGCCGCAUAAUGCAACAGAAGCAAAGCAAAUGUUUUGAGGUCAUUUUGCGGUCCAAUAUGCGACCACAUAAUUAAUUCGCGGGCCAAACUUCCGUCACAUAUUCGGCAUGAGAAAUUCAGGAGGGUGAUUCCGCGGUCCAUUUUGGAGGCCACAUAAUUGGUCUACGAACCGCAGACCUAACCCGACUAGCCCAAUUUUGAAGGAUGAUUUUGCAGUCCCUGAAGUGGACCGGAUAUCUAUUCUGUGACCCGCAUACCUGAGUUGGGAGGGUCCAUUUAGUGAUUUUAUAACCCGACCCCAUUUUUAUAAAAUGUCUUUGAGGUUAUUUUGAUGGUUUAAACAGCUAUUUUAGAGAGGGGGAGUGCUUUAGAGAGAGAGAGAGAGAGAAGGAAUCCCCAAGUGCUUUGAUCAUCAAUCCUUUCCCUAAUCUUGAAGAUUUAAGGAAAUCACUCACUAGGCCACCACCUAUCCGGGUAAAUUCUUGUCCUACAUCAGCCAUGCAAGUCUGUUUCGGGUCUAAGUGGGCCAGGGAGUAGAAGAUAUGGCAUGCAUGUUUCGAUAGAGGGGUCUUGGAGGUCAUUGAAUUAUGCAGGAUGAAUUGUUGCCUGAUAUGGGUUGUGGGGUGAAAGAAGACUCCAUAAGAGGACCUUGUAGUCAAAUUACACACAUAGUGUUUGAUAAAAUGCUUAAAUGAGCUAAACCCAAUAAUCUCUUCCUAAUUGUGGUUCAAUUUUAUCAUGUCUCUAAUAGAUUGAAGUCUCUAGGAUUUUCGAAAUGUUGUAGUAGUUUAAGGAAAGCUCAAGCGAAUUAUGUUGGCUAAAAUUCUCUUGUAUAGUCGAAUUCCAUGACAUUCUCAUAAGAUUCAAGUAUGAUUGUCCGAAGUUCCUAAUUCCCAUGUUCUGAGUCAUGCCUAAUAUAUUCGGUUAUUCCGAAUAAGCAUUGUGUCAAAAAUUGUAUGCUCAAAAUGUGUUUCAAUUGCUCCUAUCAUAUUAUGCUCUCCUUUGGGAAUAUGUUCAAAUAUGGUUUAUGUAUCAUAAUGCUAUGACUUCAAUUCAUGUUUCAAAUGUAAGAUUUAUUAUGCCUUAUUAUUGGAAGGAAAGCUCCAUGUGUUUAAGACUUCUAUUACUCACGUACAUAUUUAAAGUCUUGAUUAAAAAUGCUCUUAUUGUUGAUAACCUAUGAUGAUGCUUGGAAAUGAAAGAAGUGAGUAUGAGACAUAAAAUGUGGCCAUCGUGCCAAGAAUAAAAAUUACACUUGUGGCCAAUAGUGCCAAUAAAAUGAAAGGAUGUGUGAAGGAUUAUGAAAUGAGUUUUAACUCCUUUAUAUAAUAAAUGUUUUGGGAGUAUCUUUAGUCACCGAGGAAGGGUAGGUUGAAAUAACAUAACCCCGAAACUACACAUGCCGGUGUAUAAGUGAUUGAGGAGUAAAUCCCCGUACUGAUGUGUUGAGAUUAACUCCCUUAAUUGGGAUGAGAUUGAUGUUUUGAGAUUAUUCCCCUUAAAUGGGAUGGGAUUGAUGUGUUGAGAUUAUUCCCAUUAAUUGGGAUGAGAUGAUUGCUAGCAGAAGGUGAUGUCAACCCACACGGCAUUGUGGUGAGAUGACUUAGCCGAUCGGGCCGAGAUCGGAUGCCAUGCCGUGUACAUGAUGGCAUGUGGAUUGUAUUUUUUUUGGGUAAGUCAAAAUUGAAAUGUUGUACUUGUAACACAUGUUUCCACUUCUAAAACUAUGAAUGUGUAAUGUAUUUAGGGAAUUUGUAAUGAAGUGACUAAUGGUAACAAAAUUGGUGCCGUACGUGCCAUCCUCUUAUUAUCUAAUGGAUGGUAUUCAUCUUCACUGUAUUCAUGGGUGAGGACGGGUAGAAGGCAUUGAGUAGGCUUGCUCGGCUGGGAUAUCUCGAUUGAGUGCCGGUCACGCACCCCAAGUUUGAAGCAUGACAAGCUUGGUAUCAGAGCCUAAGAUUUUAAAUUGUCCUAGAAUGUCUCGGAGCUGUGUCUAGUAGAGUUCUUCUUAUCGGUGUGUUGUCGACCACAUUUAUAAUUAGGAGGCUACUUAGGAAUUUAGAAUUGUCAAUCUUCUUUGAUGUUCUAGACUGUGCGAUAUAGCUAAUUGUAAGACUAUUCCUCCUUUAACUCGUGCAUUGUUCUAAUUUUCAGUAUAUGGCACCAAAGAAGAAGGCAAGAACUGGCCAAGGAGCCAAUGCCACCCCAGGAGUGGAAGUUUAUUCUAUACUUGAUGAUGCGGUUGAGCACCCGAGGGGUGAGGAUAUUCCCCCAACGACAACACCACCUUAUUAUGCUACUCCUGCUCAGACUACACCAAUUCCUACGCCUACUAAUGGUGCUAUGAUUCCUCCUCCAAUUGAUAUUCCACUUCCACUUCCAGCCUCAACCCCAGAUCCCAGUGUUUUUGAUGGGGACCUUAGGGGAGCCAUACAGAUAUUGGCUCAGAUAGUGGCUUCUCAGGCCGAUAGAUCGAAUGUUGCACCUACUUCUUCCUGCCAAUAAGGGGAUUCCGCUAGUUCCAGGGUGAACAUGUUUCUUCAGUUGGAUCCUCCAGUGUUCUUAAGUACUGAUCCUGAGGGGGACCCCCAGGACUUUAUUGAUGCGAUGCAUAAGACUCUCUGAGUUAUGCGUGCUGCUAAGACGGAAGCAGUGGAGUUGGCCUCCUACCGCCUGAAAGAGGUGGAAUAUUCUUGGUUUGAGCUGUGGGAGGAGUCCCGUAAGGAGGGUAGCCCUCCGGCAAUGUGGAGUGAGUUUGCCGAUGCCUUCAUUGAUCAUUUUUUGCCUAACGAGUCUAAGGCAGCCCGUGCCGCCGAGUUUGAGAUCCUGAAAUAAGGAAGCAUGAGUGUGUGAGAUUACCAUAUGAGAUUCGCGGGCAUGUACAAGUAUGCCAUUUACAUGUUGCCCACUAUGGAGGUUAGAGUGCGCAGGUUUGUGUAGGUCCUUAGCCCCUUGGUUAUUAAUUAAUGAGGCCGCUACAGCUGCCUUGAAUUUUAAUAUGAACUAUGGGAAGAUGGUGGCAUUUUCUCAAGCCACAGAGAGCCACAAAUUAAAGAAUAAAAUGGAGCGAGAGGGUAGCAAUAAGGCUCGGUCCGCUGGUAACUUUGGUGGUUCUUCUAGUGGUGGUAGUCGUUGAACGUCAGUAUUUUGGGAAGGGUCAUCCAGGCCAUCCCAGUCCUUUACUUGUUCUUCAGUCAGUGCACCGCCAUCAAGGCCCGGUCAGCAGCAGUAGAGCCAUUUUAGGCCCAAUCAGGGCAACGGGGGAUCCUACUAGUAGGGUCGACCUGGUGGGAUAUUUCAGCAGCAGCAGAGGCCCCCAUGCCCUAAGUGUGGGAAGAUCCAUUUAGGGGCCUGCUACAUGGACCUACCCAUAUGCCACGGGUGUGGUAUCAGAGGUCAUAUUCAGAGGGAUUGCUGUUCAUCACGCCAGAAUGUGGGCAGGGGUACGGCACAACCAUCUAGUUCUACAGCUACUACAUCUGUGACACCUCCUCCAGCUCGAGGCACUUCAUCUCCCGCAGGGCGUGGUGUAGCUAGGGGUAGUGUACAGAGUACGGUAAGAACCAACCGGUUCUAUGCUAUGAGGGGUCGCCAGAUUUCAGAGGCUUCUCUAGAUGUUAUUACAGGUAUAUUCACUGUCCAAUCUCAUGAUGUAUAUGCUCUUAUUGAUCCGGUUCCACUUUGUCAUAUGCCACUCCCUAUGUUGCUAUGGAAUUCGGGAUAGAAUCGGAACAACUCCAUGAGUCAUUCUCAAUAUAUACUCCAGUUAGUAAGUCUAUUGUAGCCGCACGGGUUUAUAGGGAUUGUGUUGUCACAGUGCAUGGUCGGGACAUCGUGGCCUAUCUCAUUGAACUAGGGAUGGUUUAUUUUGAUGUGAUAAUGAAGAUGGACUAGCUUUAUUCAUGUUUUGCCAAGCUUGAUUGCCGAACCAGAACCAUUAGGUUUGAAUUUCCAUAUGAUCCAGUUAUUGAGUGGAAGUUGGGAUGAUGUAGUGCCGAAUGGUAGGUUUAUUUCUUACCUUAAGGUAGCAAAGAUGAUCAACAAGUGGUGUAUUUACCAUUUGGUCCAGGUUACGGACACCGAUGCUGAGGCACCUACGCUUGAGUCUGUGCCAGUUAUGAAUGAAUUUUCGAAGGUCUUUCCUAAUGAGCUCCCUAGGAUUCCACCAGACAGGGGGACUGAUUUCGGGAUCGAUGUGAUGCCAAGAAUGCAACCUAUAUCCAUUCCACCCUACAAAAUGGUGCCGGUAGCGGGCUGGGCUAUUACGGGUCCAUACCACAUCAUCAGACGAGUUGGUCGUGUAGCAUACGAGUUGGACCUUCCAGCAGACAUUCUGGAGAUACAUCCAGUGUUUCAUGUCUCCAUGAUUCGAAUGUGUGUUAGAGAUUCUUCCAGAGUUGUACUAGUUGAUGAUGUACAAAUCACCAAGCAAUCGACUUAUGAAGAGGCACCUGUUGCCAUUUUAGGUCGGCAGGUUCGUCGGUUGAGGACGAAAGAUAUUCCUUCAGUGAAAGUGUUAUAGCGGAGCAAUAAUGUGGAAAAGUUUAAUUGGGAAGCUGAGUAAGAUAUGAGACCUAGAUAUCCGCAUCUCUUCACUACUCCAAGUAUGUAAUAGAUCUUUUCUUAAUGCUUCUGUAUACCUCAAUCAACAUUCGAAGAUGAAUGUUCUUAGGGGGAGAUUGUUACGCCCUGUACUUCUGUGAUGUUGUAUAUUGUGUAAAUGACUUGAUAAGAAUGAUUAAAAUGCGUUUAAAGUAAUAAUAUGACCAUAUAUGAUGUUUGGAUAUAGAAUAUAAAGUUUGGGAAAAAUCAUAUUUAAGUUGCGAAAAAACCGACCAAGGAUUUGCCUAGUAACAAAUUUUUUUGUGCAAUUAAUUUCAUAUGUUAUAUGAGGUCUUUGGAGGAUAUAUUAUAUACCAAAUUGAAGGGGUUGGAAAUUAGUUUCCAUCACUUUUAACCGUUCAUUCAUACGAUGUCCGGGUAAAGACAUAUGAGCAUCGGAAGAAGGGCCGAUGAAGCACAUAUGUGGUUGACAUUUCAACCUUACUAAAAAUAGAAGACUUAGUCUUCUUUUUCCUCAUUUUCCAGUGAAUUCACGCAAAAUCAAAGCUUCCAUCACCCGCAACUCAAAAUCAAGAAAUGAACACAUCAACGCCAUCUGUCAUGACCCAAAACCCAUUAUAGGCUGUGAUGGCGGUCAACGUCGUCGUUAGGCAAGCCAACGGUUAACUAUCACGUUAAUUGUUCAUUUUAUUACUGUUGAAAUCAUAAAUUGUUAUUAAGUAAAGAUAUUUACGCAUUUAAAAUCAUGGGUACAUACAUAAUUAGCAUGGCAUAAGAAUAAAAGGUGAUAAUAAUAUGCAAAUCCGUAAACAUCAACUAAAAUAUCCUAAAAUCUGGUGUCACAAGUGCAUGAGCAUUUACUAAGGAGUACAAUAAUAAUACAACAUCUGUCUGGAAUGUAAAUUAUACAAGAUAAUGUAAAUAAUAUGAUGGAUACUCGCUGGGCUGCGAUACGUAGCCUGGAAUGCAGCUCACCAUAAAGUCUCCUCAGCAGUUGCGCCUAAGCACCAAGAUGACCAACAAAUGAACUUGUCAGAUCCUGCCCAUUUAUUGCAGAAGUAUAGUAUGAGUAUGUAAAUGAACACGUACCCAGUAAGUAUCUAGCUUAACCCUAGAGAAGUAGUGAUGACGGGUCGACAUCGACACUUACUAGUGGUCCAAUAAAUCAGUAUGAUAAAUCAUAAAUAGAUAUGAAGCACAACAGUAAUAAUGAAGUAAAACGGUAAGUAAAAUAAUCCUCCAACAUUUCUUUUUACGAUAUAAAUCUCUCAAAUCUCCUAUGUAAUCUCAACAGAUCAGAAAUUUCAAAUGUAAUAUCAAACGAAUAAGGAAUACCAUAUAAAUGCAAGGCCUCAAUAAAAGGGGAAUCUCAUGAAUAUCCGGACUGCUAGCAGUUUCAUGUACGAUUAUGCCGAGGUCGUACGACCCAAUCCAGAAUGGUGUGUAUACUACCGAGGGUCGACCAGCGCGAACUAGAGAUGCAUCUCAAUAUACAACCCAGGCGUUCAGCCUGAUACAUUGGAAAGGAAUAAACUUAUCGAAUUAUGAGUCACGGGCGUACAACACAGGUAUAAGAGCAUAAAGUAAACAUGACUUUUAACGUUUAUCAAAUAUAUCGCCAAAUAACUCAAGGUGAUAAAGGUCGGCCUAAUAUAUUCCCAAAUCAAUUUCAAUUAUAAGUUCACUUAACUAAGCUAGCAAAAUGAGUUCAAAUAAUUCAAAUAUUACAUGAUAAAGUCCUAAGUGUACCUGGACAUAAAAAUACUUUUAGCUACGUAUGGACUCUCGUCACCUCGUGUGUAUGUAGCACCCACAACUAGUAGCACCCUACGGGGUAGUUUCCCCUUCACAAAGUUAGGUAGGAGACUUACCUCGCUCCAAAGUUCCAAUAACUGGCUGUAAUGCCUCUCUAACUCCUCAAUUCAGAGCCAAAUGAUCCAAAACUAGUCAAACAACAUGCAAACCUAUAAAAAUAUACUCCAAACACUUAUAAUUAAUUUAUUUAUAACAAUUCCCAACUCUGCUUGAAACGUCAAAAAAGUCAACCCUCGAGCCCACGUGCCCGAAUUCCGAAAAUUCUUGAAGAUAAUCAUUACCCAUAACACCACGAACUCAAAUAUAUAAUUUAUUCUUAAUUUCAUGUCACAUUUCGUGGUAAGAAUAAAAAUACCAAAUUCUAGGUUAUCUACCAAAACCCCGCAAUUUCCAUAAUGUUUCAUUUUUUAAAUCCACAUAUAACCCAUGCAUUUAACUCACAAUGUGUGGAAAUCUCUUACCUCAGGAUUGGUGAUGAAAAUGACUCCUCCAAAUCGGCCAAAAGUUGCCCAAGCAAGAGAGAAAUGAGGUGAAAAGGAGAAAAUCCCGACCUUGCAAGCUUAUAAUCUGCCUAGGUGCCCUUCUUCGCGAACGCGGCAAGUCCCUCGCGUUCACGAAGCACAACCAGCUUUUAAUCCCAAAUCCUUCUUUGCGAUCGUGAAGACAGGCUCGUGAAUGCGAUGCCUUACCAGGCCUGACCAUCUCAAACGCGACACCAUCCUUGCGAACGCAUAGGCCAGGACUCCCAGGCCCAAUUUCUCUUAAGCGAAUGCGACCAGGCCAUUGCGAAUAUGAAGCACCACUGCCCAAACCUUCACUGAUGCGACUACCUUAUCGCGAACGUGUUGAACAAAAAUGCCUCCAGCUCAAAUCCUUCUUCGCGAACGUGUCUCUGUCUCCGCGUUUGCGAAGAACAAAACCAGCACCAGCAAACAAACAAUAGCAAAUUAUCCAUACAUAGUCUGAAACCAUCCCGAAACACACCUGAGGCCCCCAGAAUCUCGUCCAAUCACACCAACCAGUACCAAGACUUGACACGAACCUGCUCGAGAUCUAAAACCACACCAAACAACAUCCAAACUACGAAUCGACGAUCAAAACCCUUCUUUGAACUUUCAAGAUUUGGAACCCCGAACGGACAUCCGAAAUGAUGCCAAACAUUACGUGCAAGUCACAAAUCACGAUAUGAACAUAUUUCAAGGCUUGGAACCCCAAACGGACAUCGAUAACACCAAAACCCACUUCAAACCAAUCUUAGGAAAUUGUAAAACUCUCAAAAUUCCAACUUUCCACAAUAAGUCCAAAAUCAUCAUACGAACAUAUUGGAACCUUCAAAUCCUGAUUCUGAGGUCGUUUACUCAAAAGUCAAACCUUGGUCAACUCUUUCAACUUACAGCUUCUGAAUUGAGAAUUUUUCAUCCGAAUCAACACUAAACUUCCUAUAAUUCAAUUCUGACAACGUGUACAAGUCAUAAAAAAUGAAGUGAAGCUAUUCAAGGCCUCAAACCGUCGAUCGACGUGCUAGAGCUCAAAACGACUGGUCGGACUGUUACAAUCUCCCCCACUUAAACAUACGUUCGUCCUCGAAUGUGCCAAGAACCGUUCCGUAGUUGCUCAAAAUCAUUGUUUAACACCUCGAGCACCUACCUUUGCCACCACAACCCAUGUGAGCACAUUAGCUCGAGCCUGACUGAAUAUCCUUCCUUCUACCUUAGCCCACAAACCAUAGAGCUAAAUUCUCUACGAGACCAUAUUCUAACAUACGAACACCGUAUCAAUCUCAACAUGCUGAACUCAAAACAUGAUUAUCCACCCAUUUUGUAAUCACACAUUGGACAACAUGAAUCGCAUGCCCAAUAUAACAUCCUCCAACCAUAAUAGCUAUAAAUUCACGAAUUUGAUGGCUGUAGUAUAUAUCAUAACACAUAUAGGUCCCGUGCCGACCCUCACAAUACUACAAUGAUGAAAGAGAUGUAUAUAAACUGGUAGCCACCUGCCAAAUCAAUAAUUCAUGGAAUUCCUCCGCUCAAUAAGAUCCAUUGCCUCAUUUUGAACUAAAUAGCGACAUUUUCCUUCUAAUAUACCUUAUACAAAUCCGAUUAUACGGAUAUCAGGUCCGACAACCUCGUCUCACCCAGUACAAGAUGCUCGACCAACAAGCCAUAUCAAAAACCACCUAAAAUCUCAUACGGUGACAUCAAUGUGUCAACAAGCCACAACUAGAAUAUGACCAACUCAGGAAAAAAUGAACUCGGGUAAAGAACUAUCCAGCCUGCGUAACAAAUAAAACGGCCAAAUAGAUGCUAUGAACCUGCCUCAUAGUUGAGAAACAAGGCACGAAACAUAAGUAUAAGGAGUUGUACUCAACAUCUCCCUGUUAUGGCGUGCAACCUGAUCCAUACAUGAUACCGUUGCGACGUGCAACUCGAUCCAAACAUCACACCUGUGGUGGUGUGCCUCCCGGUCCACACAUAACAAUCAAUAAGGAAAUACCUGUCAACCCAUAAUGCGCAUACCCACGAAAUGUCCGAAUAUCGACCAUCACCCUACCAAGUGCAUAAAUACAACCCUGAGGAGAUGGAUAGCUCCAUGCGCCACAAAAACUCAACCGCGACUAAGGUGCAAUAAACAAACUGCAUCGCGAGAGCCAUAUUGCUCAUAUAAUACCACAAGCUACACGGGAUCACAACACAUGUGCGAAUAAUCAAGUUGUAUAACAAUCCACAUGGCACAAUAGAGAAUUACAUAGAAUAGCUGACGGUAGGAAUAACAUCCAACGCCCGAAGACUCCUCCAUAUGCAAUGCUAUGUUGAAUGAACACAUCCGACCUGAUGCAGAGCACACAUUCACAUUAGACCUACCAACGGACCUCAAGUCGAUUCCAAUCAUCCCAUAUAUGGCCAAUAACCUUUCAAGGAUCCAUAAUGACCUUAUUCAUGACACACACGAGCAACCAUCAAAUCAGGAACAAAAUCCCACAAUCCACAACCAAAGGAAUAGAGUGCCUUUCAAGCAUAAACUCUCACAUUAGCGACAGUACUAGAAUCUCCAUACUUGGUUUCAAUCUAUAACAAUCAAGUGACUAACACAUCACACUUAUACGAUCUUUCCAUGGGAUAUACGCCCAGAACCUUCCAUACCAGGUAGCAAGGUCAGUGCAUCCAUAUCACCAACCGUACCAAUUUUGUAACUCAAAUCAAGAAUCCGUAAAUCAAUACACAAUGCCACUUACACAGGAUAUUGUUCUCGGGAGACACUAUGAUGGCCCCGGCAUACUCUGAACAUCUGAAAUCUUCCCCCACUCCUUUGAGCUAGUGACAUUCUUAUCAACACUGAACCUUAACCUGGAUCCUCAACUUAAAAUUUCCAUACCUCUCACUACACCUAUCAUGGCAUUACUCAAGAGUAGAAGAUUUUCAUCAUAACCCCAUGAACCACCAGUAGAAUAAAAUCUUCUUCAGAUAGAACCCUUUAACUUUACCUAUUUUAGAAGAAUAAUUGCAACACGCAACCGAAUUCCCAUAACCGCAGAAAAUACAUACCUCAAGUCGUGGUCGAAAUCGCCAUAACUCUUCCGAGAUUCAUUUGCACAUAACAAGGCCAUCAAAAUCAAAUACCUCCAAUCAAUCAACAUGCGCUGGCUAUCAAGCCCGCACGUACUGCAACGAAUCACCUGUAUAGCUUAACACACCAAAGGGACUGAUCAUUUCCACAACCAUGCUAAUUCAAACCAUUACGAACUGACUCGAAUUCUUCUAAUUUACUCGUGAUAUGCCUUUGAAAUAAUAGUUCUAUCCAAACACAUAACGGACCUCAAACAACACUUAUCUCGAGUGACCCCAAAUCACGAGACCACAUCGCCUCAACACCCAUCAUCCAUCUCAUACCCUCCCCAUGCACUCAAUAGUAUCUCUAACUGGUACACUCGUUCUAAAAGAUCUUCUACGAAUCCGAAUUUGUUUCCUUCUAUCUCUCUAACAUCGAAACACUACAAGUCCCUUUUCAUAAUCCACUGCAAAAACUAAAUCCUUAACUACACAACGGACCCAAAAUCCUUAGACACCACACUUUAAUUCUUGAACCCAUUAGAACCGUUGUUGAGAGUCACCCACUCUGACCUGGUCCCUAAUAUAACUAAACUCUAACGCUUUGUUAGCACAAGAACACUCCCAAAGUAGCUACUGGAUGAAUUCUUUUCCUUGUACAUCUCAUGCACAAGAAGCAUAAACUAUGAGUCAUCCCAAAACCUGCACAUGAAUUGAUAAGGCAAAAUGUAACACACAUUCCUCAAGUCCUUUGCCCGAAUUACCCUAGAUGUUUCCUUUUCUUAGUCAUAAUUAAUCCACCAAUGCACCGCUAACCAGAAACCGCACAGGAACACAACCAUCUGAACCAAUCGUAGAUGGUGGGCUCCCCUACUUUGCUUAAAGCUACAAUCACAUAAAUCUAGAACCCACAAUGACUCCUCCUUCUCUAUUAUGGUGAUCUCGCACCGUUGACCCGCAAAAUUUCUCGUAAUCUCUUAUUAAACUUUUCAUAAACAUUCUGAAUUAUCAGCCACAAUCGUACAUUCGACCUCCUGAUAGUCGUACCAUCUUCUUCAAGCUAUCCAAGCCCACAUCGCAGUACAUGCCUCCUGCUGGGGAGAAAGUAGAACUCUUUGUAGGAACUUAAUCAAAAAUCAUGCAACUGCUAGCCUGCUCACAGGAGAUGGCCCACUUGUGUAAUUCCAUAUCAACAUCUUCCAGUGACAUUGCCCUGGUUACAACUACCACGAAAUAAGUAAACCCUCUUGAGCCCAUGCUCAUCCACCAGCAGUAAGAGUCUAUUCAUUCACUGUUAGCAUCAACUGAAGGUCUAACUAUACGUUCCAAAACUCAAAGUCAUAUUGCAUCCCAAAACGAUAAUCAAGCUUUCACACCCAUCUUCAUUCCAAGAAAACUACUUUCCUUCAUAUUCAGAAUCCUUCAGUACAAUAGCCACCAUCCCAAAUGAAAUUCAUAGACUUAUUCAUUAUCUACCAUAAUCCCCAAAUUUCUCUAAACUUUCUCAAAGCAUGUGGUUAUCUCCUUAAGUAACUACUCAGCCUCUGUUGAUCAUACUUGACCUGCUAGCAAUUCAACCACCACGAGACACCUCCCACUAUAUCCUUUCUCCUCUUUUGCUGCCAAAAUACUGCCUUAAAUCAUAAUCCAUCUUUGUAGCACCCGAACGGAUAAAUUACCACCAAUUUUGAGCCUCUAUAAAGAUCAUCUCUCUCGAGCUAUCAAUAUUAGAAAUACCGAUUCAACCCUAAAGCCGCCAUACACCGCCAUCUCUGAUAACCGCUGCUUAGUAUAACGACCCGGCCGGUCGUUUUGAGAGUUGUAGCCCCGCUUCCCCAUUUAUUAUUCAUUUUUAUUUUAUUUCUGUUAUGUGACUUGCCAGAGUAGUCAGUUCGGGUCCGGUGAGAUUUCAGAAUGAAAUAAGACACUUAGUCUCAUGAUUGAAAGCUUAAGUUAAAAUGAUUGACCGGAUGUUGAUCUUUAAGUAAAUGACUAUGGAAUAGAGUUUUGAUAGUUCUGUUAGCUCCGUUAGGUUAUUUUUGACUUAGAAGCGUGUCCGGGUUAUGAUUUGGAGGUCUGUAGUGGAAUUAUGCUUGAAAUGGCGAAAGUUAGAAUUUUUUGAAAGUUUGACUGGGAGUGGACUUUUUUAUAUCGGGGUCAGAUUCCAAUUUUGGAAGUUGGAGUAGGUCCGUAAUGUUAAAUGUCACUUGUGUGCAAAAUUUGGGGUUAAUCGGACGUGUUUUGAUAGGUUUCGGCGUCGUUCAUAGAAAUUGGAAGUUCAAAAUUCAUUAGGCUUGAAUCUAUGUGCGAUUCGUGUUUUUGAUGUUUUUCGAGGUGAUUUGAGGGCUCGACUAAGUUCUUAUCGUGUUUUAGGACUUGAUGGUAUGUUUAGUUGAGCUCCCGGGGGCAUGAGAUUGAUUUCGUAUCGAUUUAAAGUUUGAGGGAAAUGCUGAAGCUCACCAGCUUCUGGUGUAAUCGCACCUGCGGAGUGGGGAUCGCAAGUGCGUUCUCGCAGAAGCAGGAAGGGAGCUGUAGAAGCGGCCAGGGAGGAAGUGAGCAAAGGUCACAGGUGCGAGGUUAUUUCCGCACCUGCGUGGUCAUAGAUGCAAUGUUAAAGGGCGCAGAAGCGGAGCUAGGCUGGCCCGAGCAAGGCACAAGUGCGAUGGGUUAACCGCAUCUACAAGCCCGCAGGUGCGAGCGAGGCUCCGCUGAUGCGGAAGUGAAGGAGAGGCUUGUUUCUGCAGAAGCGGAUGGAAGGCCGUAAAAGGAACGCAUAUGUAGGCAUGGGGACUUAAGCGAUUUCUGCAGAAGGGGAGGAUUUACCACAGAAGCGUUUCCAUAGGUGCGAAAAGCCAGGGCAAAUUAUUAAAAUAAGGGUUCGCGAUUUUGGCUUCAUUUCAAACAUUUCAAGCACGGUUUAGGCGAUUUGUGAGAGGGUUUUCGGGGGGAUUCUUGAGGUAAGUCCCUUGUGCUCAUUUUUUAUCAAUAAUAUUACUUCCCCAUUGAUUUUCCCACCUAGUUGGUGUGUAUUUAAGGUGUAAAUUGGGAGUUUGAGGCUAAGGAUUUGGAAGGUUUGAUUUGGGAAUUUGGGUGACGAUUUGGUGUCGGAUUUUGAUAAAUUUGGUAUGGAUAGACUCGUGGUUGAGUGGGCUUUAGAGUUUUGUGACUUUUAUCGAAUUUUGAGUCGUGGACCCGGGGUCCGGCUUUUGAGCCAAUUUUCUAUUUUGAUUAAUAACUUAGUAUUUUAUUAUGGAGUUGAGUCCUUUAGCCCUUAUUGAUAUUAUCGCAUUGUUUGUGGCUAUAUUCGAGGCAUUCAAAGGCCAUUUUACGAGGAAAUGGGGUGUUGGAGUAGAGAUUUUCUCGUAUUGAGGUAAGUAACAGUUCUAAAUUAUAUUCUGAGGGUACGAAACCCCGUAUUACGUGUCAUGUAUUUGGUCUUGAGGUGACGCACAUGCUAGGUGGCGGGUGUGUGGGCGUGCACCGUAGGAAUUGUGACUUGGUAAAAUUCUGUGGAACCGUGUAGUUGUAUAAUUUGUUGUUAUCUGUACAUUCUUCAUGUAGUAGAGAAAUUGAACCACAAAUCAUGUUAGAAAUCAUGUUUAGACUAUGUGUUGGAACUUUAGGGACCCGCAGAGGUCGUGUGCAUGUUGAAUUAUCUGCUAACUUACUGUUUUGUACUCAGUCACAAUUUUACUUGUUUAUUAAAUCUCAGUCUCUAUUGUUCCUUGUUGUUACAUUAUAUCACUUCUAUUGGCGCUGACUUUCAUGAUUACUGAGAGCCCGAGAGACUAUAGAGGUUUAUGACUGAGUGAGGCCUCGGGCCUGAUUGUGAGAUAGUAAUACUAUAGCAUGUGAGUUGUCCGUGCAGAUCUAGAUAUUAUACUAUAGCACGUGAGUUGUCCGUACAUCACGUGAGUUGUCCGUGUGGAUCCAGAUAUUAUACUAUAGCAUGUGAGUAAUCCGUGCAGCACGUGAGUUGUCCAUGCGGAUUAUAGCACUUGGGCUGAAGGAGCCCCUUUGGAGUCUGCACACACCCCCAGUGAGCGCAUGUAUAUAUUGAGUGCGAGUGUCGAGUGUUGAGUGAAUGGGAGGGCUGAGUGACUGUGGCCUGAGAGUAUACAUUUGAUUUCAUUAUUGUUGCACUUAGCUGCCAUAUAUCACUGUCUUGAAAUUUCUGAAAGAUAUUAUACUCUGUUUCACUUAAAUUUGUCAUGGAAUAACUGUUUGACCUAAUUUAUUGAACUUGAGAGCAUGCCUACUUUCUUAUGUUGAAAUCACUGUAAUUGAACUAUAACGGUGAAGCUCGUCACUACUUUCAGUUAUUUAUUUAGUGUUGUUACUUACUGAGUUGGUUAUACUCACACUACACCCUGCACCUUGUGUGCAGCCCUAGGUGCAUCCGGUCACGGCAAUUGCUGAGUUGUGGAGUUCGGAUUCUCGGAGACUAUCAAGGUAGCUGCUUAGAGUUUCGCAGACCUUGUUUCUCCUUCCCUAGCUUUCCACUUAUUGUAUUUAGUUUCAGACUAUCGUAGACAGUAUAUUUCGAACUUUUGAUGUAUAGAUGGUCAUGUACUCGGUGACACCCCGGUUGGGAAUUUCCGCAUUGUAUUUUGGGUUACUAUCCCAUUUAUGAAAUCUUUUAUUGUUUAAGCUACUUAAAUUCAUUUUCUGUUCAAAGUAUUGGAAAUAUUUUUGAAUGUCAGCAUCCCUAGUACCACGAUAGGCGCCAUCACGACAGUUAGGAUUUUGGGUCAUGACAAGUUGGUAUCAGAGCCUAGGUUACAUAUGUCUCACGAGUCAUGAGCAGAUUUAGUAGGGUCUGGCGGAUCUGUACGGAGAUAUCUGUACUUAUCUCCGAGCCAUAGGAAAUUUCACAUUCUUGUAUUCUUGUCGUGCAGAUUAGAUAUUUUCGGUAACUAAACUUCUAUAUUUUAUUCUCUCACAGAUGGUGACGACGCGUGCUACAAGACAGGAUGGAUAGCAACCAGUACCACUAGCUAGGGCCACGAGAGGCCGAGGUCAAGGUAGGGGCACUUGCAGAUCCACCAAUUGCUCUAACUCAGGGGCAGGUUCCAGAUAUAGUUGAUCCAGUGAGGCCAGCUCAGGCGCCGGCUGUGCCCAUUUUGAUUCCAGGCCUUCAGGAGGCGUUAGCCCAGAUAUUGAUAGUUUGCACUGCUCUUGCUCGGGUGGUUUCGGCUAAGGCCGCACCAGCCACUUCUCAGGCCGGGGGAGGUAUUCAUACCCCCGCUGCCCGAAGGUACUACCCGCCCAGCCGGUUGUAGCUGCUCAGUACCCGAUGGUCCCAGUUAUGGCUGAUGAUGAGCAGAGGAGACUUGAGAGAAUUGGGAGGCUCCGGCCUCCAUCAUUUAGUGGUUCUGAGUCGGAGGAUGCCUAGGGCUUCUUGUACAAGUGCUAGUGGAUGCUUUGUACAUUAGGUAUUUUAGAGACCAGUGGGGUCUCGUUCACUACUUUUUAAUUUUCUGGGGCUGCCUUAAUAUGGUGGGAGGCGUGUGAGAGGCUCAGGCUGGUUGGUGGAACACUACUUACAUGACAUGAUUUCUCCGUUCUCUUUUUGGAGAAGUUCAUGCCGCCGUCUCGCAGGGAGGGGCUGCGCAGACAGUUUGAGCAGCUUCGGUAGGAUGGGAUGUCUGUGACCCAGUACGAGAUGAGGUUUUUGAGUUAGCUCAUCACGCAAUUUGGUUGGUUCCCACUGAUCGGGAGAGGAUCGUGACGUUCAUUGAUGGCAUCACGUAUCAGCUGCGGUUUCUUAUGACUAGGGAGAGGGUAUCUGGUACCACUUUUGAUGAGGUGGUUGACAUUGCUCGGUAGAUGGAGAUGGUCCGUAGCCAGGAGCGUGGUAAGAGGGAGGCUAAGAGGCCUCGAGAUUUGGGCGGUUUUGGGGGUGUUCCUUCUGGGGGUAGUCCUACCACAACCGGGGUCGUCCUUAUAGGCCCGCUCACACGACCCGUCUAACUCAUAGUGGUGCAUUAGCUAGCCACGGUUCUUACAAUGCUCACUCAGGCCAGUCUUCAUUCAGUGCACUACCAGUGCAGAGUUCACACCAUGCUUCGUCCGCUCAGGAUUCUACAGGUAGUUCUGUAGGUUAUCAGGAGCAAAAAUUCUGACAGAGGAGGGGUUGUUUCGAGUGCGGAGACUUUGGUCAUAUCAAGAGAGAUCGCCCUAGGAUGUUGAGUGGGGCUCCACAAUAGAGUUCUCGGAUGAUGGCACCAGCACCAGCAGUUACACCACCCACUCAGCUAGCUCGGGGUGGGGCUUAGUCUACUGGGGCUCGCCCUAGAGGGGAGGCCGAUCAGGUGGUUGUGAGGCCCGAUUCUAUGCUAUACCUACCAGACCAAAUGUUGUUACCUCCAAUGCAGUGAUUACAAGUAUUGUCUCAGUAUGCCACAAGGAUGCCUCUGAAUUAUGUGACCCUAGUUCCACUUAUUUGUAUGUAUCAUAGUAUUUUGCUCAUUAUCUGGAUAUGCCUGUGAGUACUUAGUUUCAUUUGUUCGUGUAUCUACGCCAGUGUGCGAUACUAUUGCUGUGGAUUGUGUAUAUCGGUCAUGUGCAAUGUCUAUUGGGGGAUUGGAGACUAGAGCAAAUCUCUUAUUUCUUAGUAUGGUGGACUUUGAUCUGAUUUUUGGUAUGGAUUGGAUGUCUCCAUGUCAUGUUGUUCUUGAUUGUCACGCUAUGACCAUGAUGUUGGAAAUGAUGGGGUUGCCAAGGAUCGAGUGGAGGGGUUCUCUAGACUAUGUUCCCAGCAGAGUUGAUUUCAUAUUUGAAGGCCUGGAGGAUGGUAGGGAAUGGCUGUUUAUCUUAUUUAGCCUUUCUGAGGGAUGUUGGUGCUGAUUCUCCUGCUAUUGACUUUGUUCCGGUGGUGCUGGAUGUUCCAGAUGUGUUUCCUCCAGACCUGUCGGGCAUGCCUCCUGACAGGAAUAUUGAUUUUGGUAUUAACUUAGUGCUGGGCACUCAGCCCAUUUCUAAUCCACCGUAUCGUAUGGCACCAGCUGAGUUGAAGGAAUUGAAGGAGUAGCUUCAAGAACUCCUUGAUAAGGGGUUUAUCAGGCCUAGUGUAUCACCUUAGGGUGCACCGAUUCUGUUUGUGAAGAAGAAGGAUGGUACCAUGCGGAUGUGCAUUNNNNNNNNNNNNNNNNNNNNNNNNNNNNNNNNNNNNNNNNNNNNNNNNNNNNNNNNNNNNNNNNNNNNNNNNNNNNNNNNNNNNNNNNNNNNNNNNNNNNNNNNNNNNNNNNNNNNNNNNNNNNNNNNNNNNNNNNNNNNNNNNNNNNNNNNNNNNNNNNNNNNNNNNNNNNNNNNNNNNNNNNNNNNNNNNNNNNNNNNNNNNNNNNNNNNNNNNNNNNNNNNNNNNNNNNNNNNNNNNNNNNNNNNNNNNNNNNNNNNNNNNNNNNNNNNNNNNNNNNNNNNNNNNNNNNNNNNNNNNNNNNNNNNNNNNNNNNNNNNNNNNNNNNNNNNNNNNNNNNNNNNNNNNNNNNNNNNNNNNNNNNNNNNNNNNNNNNNNNNNNNNNNNNNNNNNNNNNNNNNNNNNNNNNNNNNNNNNNNNNNNNNNNNNNNNNNNNNNNNNNNNNNNNNNNNNNNNNNNNNNNNNNNNNNNNNNNNNNNNNNNNNNNNNNNNNNNNNNNNNNNNNNNNNNNNNNNNNNNNNNNNNNNNNNNNNNNNNNNNNNNNNNNNNNNNNNNNNNNNNNNNNNNNNNNNNNNNNNNNNNNNNNNNNNNNNNNNNNNNNNNNNNNNNNNNNNNNNNNNNNNNNNNNNNNNNNNNNNNNNNNNNNNNNNNNNNNNNNNNNNNNNNUGAUUGAGUUGCAGCAGUUGAGGGAGGAGAAGCUUUAUGCUAAGUUCUCUAAAUGUGAGUUUUGGCUUAGUUCAGUGGUGUUCUUGGGGCACGUGGUGUCCAGUGAGGGGAUUCAGGUGGAUUUGAAGAAGAUAAAGGUGGUUCAGAGUUGGCCUAGACCUUUCUCAACUACUUUAAUUCAGAGCUUUCUCGACUUGGCUGGUUAUUAUUGUCGCUUCAUGGAGGGUUUCUCGUCUAUUGCAUCACCUUUGACCAAAUUGACCCAGAAGGGUAUUAUUUUCAAAUGGUCGGAUAAGUGUGUGGAGAGCUUUCAGAAGCUCAAGACUGCCUUGACCACAGCUCCAGUUCUAGUUCUACCUUCAGCUUCUAGUUCUUACACAGUAUAUUGUGAUGCUUCUCAGAUCGGUAUUGGGUGUGUCUUGAUGCAAGGAGGUAGAGUGAUUGCUUAUGCUUCGCGUUAGUUGGAGCCUCAUGAAAAGAACUACUUUGUCCAUGAUUUGGAGUUAGUUGCCAUUGUUCAUGCAUUGAUGAUUUGGAGGCAUUAUCUCUACGGUGUGUCUUGUGAGGUGUUUACAGAUCAUCGGAGUCUCCAGCAUUUGUUCAAACAGAAGGAUCUAAAUUUGAGGCAACGGAGAUGGUCGGAGCUGCUAAAGGACUAUGAUAUCACUAUUUUGUAUCAUCCCGCGAAGGCCAGUGUGAUGGCCGAUGCCUUGAGUAGAAAUGCAGUAAGUAUGGGUAGCCUUGCGUUCAUUCCUGUCGGUGACAGACCUCUUGCAGUUGAUGUUCAAGUGUUGGCCAACCAGUUCGUGAGAUUAGAUAUCUCGGAGCCCAGUUGGGUUCUAGCUUGUGUGGUUUCUCAGUCUUCUUUAUAUGACCACAUUAGAGAGCGUCAGUAUGAUGACCCUCAUUUGCUUGUCCUUAAGGACACGGUUCAGAACGGUGAUGCCAGAGCUGUUACUAUUAGGGAUGAUGGAGUAUUAAGGAUGCACGGUCGGAUUUGUGUGCCUAAUGUAGAUGGUCUACGUGAGUUUAUUCUUGAGAAGGCCCAAAGCUCACGAUAUUCCAUCCAUCCAGGUGCCACGAAGAUGUAUCAGGACUUGAGGCAGCAUUAUUGGUAGAGAGAGAUGAAGAAGGAUUUAGUGGGGUUUAUGGAUAGGUGCCUCAACUGUCAGCAGGUGAAGUAUGAGCAUCAGAGACAGGGUGGAUUGCUUCAGAGGUUAGAGAUUCCAGAGUGAAAAUAAGAGUGAAUCACCAUGGAUUUUGUAGUUGGGCUCCCACGGACUUCGAGGAAGUUCGAUGCUAUUUGGGUGAUUAUGGUAUCGNNNNNNNNNNNNNNNNNNNNNNNNNNNNNNNNNNNNNNNNNNNNNNNNNNNNNNNNNNNNNNNNNNNNNNNNNNNNNNNNNNNNNNNNNNNNNNNNNNNNNNNNNNNNNNNNNNNNNNNNNNNNNNNNNNNNNNNNNNNNNNNNNNNNNNNNNNNNNNNNNNNNNNNNNNNNNNNNNNNNNNNNNNNNNNNNNNNNNNNNNNNNNNNNNNNNNNNNNNNNNNNNNNNNNNNNNNNNNNNNNNNNNNNNNNNNNNNNNNNNNNNNNNNNNNNNNNNNNNNNNNNNNNNNNNNNNNNNNNNNNNNNNNNNNNNNNNNNNCUACUUAUACUCCGGAGCAGUUGGCUGAGAUUUACAUCCGAGAGAUUGUUCGCCUCCAUGGCGUGCCAGUGUCCAUCAUUUUAGAUCGGGGCACGUAGUUCACAUCGCAAUUUUGGAGAGCCGUGCAGCGAGGUUUAGGUACCCAGGUUGAGUUGAGCACAACAUUUUACCCUCAGACGGACGGACAGUUCGAGCGCACUAUUCAGAUAUUGAAGGAUAUGCUACGCGCUUGUGUCAUUGAUUUUGGGGGUUCUUGGGAUCCGUUUCUGCCACUCGCGGAGUUUGCCUAUAACAACAGCUACCAGUCGAGCAUUCAGAUGGCUCCGUAUGAGGCUUUGUAUGGGAUAUGGUGUAGAUCUCUGGUGGGUUGGUUUGGUCCUGGUGAUGCAACGUUAUUGGGUACUGACUUGGUCCAGGAUUCUUUGGACAAGGUUAAGAUGAUUCAGGAGAUACUUCACACGGUGCAGUCUAGACAGAAGAGUUAUGCCAAUAGGAAGGUCCGUGAUGUUGCUUACAUGGUUGGGGAGAAGGUCCUGCUCAAGGUUUCACUCAUGAAGGGUGUUAUGAUGUUCGGAAAGAAGGGAAAGUUGAGCCCUCAGUUGAUUGGGCCGUUCGAGGUACUUCAGAAGAUUGGUCAGGUGGCAUACAAGCUUGCCUUUCCACCUAGUUUGUCGAUCGUGCAUCCAGUAUUUCAUGUUUCUAUGCUCUGGAAGUAUGUCUACGAUCCGUCUCAUGUUUUGGAUUUCAGCACAGUUCAGAUGGAUGGUGAUUUGACUUAUAAUGUGGAGCCGGUGGCCAUUUUGGAUUGGCAGGUUUGGAAGUUGAGGUCAAAGGACAUAGAUUCAGUGAAGGUGCAGUGGAGAGGUCAGCCAGUUGGGGAGGCUACUUGGGAAACCGAGCGGGAGAUGCAGAGCUGAUAUCCACACUUAUUUGAGACACCAGGCAUGAUUCUAGACCCGUUCGAGGACGAACAUUUGUUUAAGAGGGGGAGGAUGUAAUGACCCGGCCGGUCGUUUCAACAGUUGUAGCCUUGUUCCCCGAUUUACUAUUCAUUUUGUACUUUAUUGCUGUUAUGUGACUUGCCAGAGUAGCCGGUUCGGGUUCGGUGAGAUUCCAGAAUGAAAUGAGACACUUAGUCUCACGAUUGAAAGCUUAAGUUAAAAUGAUUUGCCGGAUGUUGAUCUUUAGGUAAACGACUCCGGAACGGAGUGUUGAUGGUUCUGUUAGCUCCGUUAGGUGAUUUUGGACUUAGAAGCGUGUCCGGAUUGUGAUUUGGAGGUCCGUAGUGGAAUUAUGCUUGAAAUUGCAAAACUUAGAAUUUUUGGAAAGUUUGACUGGGAGUGGACUUUUUGAUAUGAGGGUCAGAUUCUGAUUCCUGAAGUUGGAUUAGGUCCGUAAUGUCAAAUGUGACUUGUGUGCAAAAUUUUGGGUCAAUCGGACAUGUUUUGAUAUGUUUUGGCGUCGUUUGUAGAAAUUGGAAGUUCAAAGUUCAUUAGGAUUGAAUCUAUGUGUGAUUCGUGAUUUUGAUGUUGUUUGAGGUGAUUUCAGGGCUCGACUAAGUUUGUAUCAUGUUUUAGGACUUGAUGGUAUGUUUGGUUGAGGUCUCGGGGGCUUCGGGUUUAUUUCGGAUGGUUAUCAGAUCGAUUUGAUGUUUGAGGGAAAUGCUGAAGCUCACCGGCUUCUGGUGUAAUCGCAACUGCGGAGUUUGGAUUGCAGGUGUGGUCUUGCAGAAGUGAGAAAGGAGUCAUAGAAGUGGCCAGGGAGGAAGUGAGAAGAGGUCACAUGUGCGAGGUUAUUUUCGCACUUGUGUGGUUGGAGAUGCGGCGUUUAAGGGCGAAAAAGCGAAGCUGGGCUAUCCUAGGGCAAGGCUCAAGGGCGAGGGGUUAACCACAUCUGCGAGCGAGGCUCCGCAAAUGCGAAUGUGAGGGAGAGGCAUGCUUUCGCAGAAGCAGAUGGAAGGCCACAGAUUCGGGCCUGGGUGACUUAAGUGAUUUCCGUAGAAGCGGUUCCGCAGGUGCGGAUAUUUGGUCGCAGGUGCGAAAAGCCCGGGCAGAUUAUUAAAAUAAGGGUUUGCGAUUUUGGCUUUAUUUCAACCAUUUCAAGCACGGUUUAGGUGAUUUUUGAGAGGGUUUUCGAGGGGAUUCUUCAGGUAAAUCCCUUGUUCUCAUUUUUAUCAAUAAUAUUGCUUCCCCAUUGAUUUUUCCCACCUAGUUGGUGUGUAUUUAAGGUGUAAAUUGGGAGUUUGAGGCUAGGGAUUUGGGUGACGAUUUGGUGUCGGAUUUUGAUAAAUUUGGUAUGGAUAGACUCGUGCUUGAGUGGGCUUUCAGGUCUUUGCAAAUUUUAUUGAAUUUUGAUACGUGGGCCCGGGGGCCGGCUUUUUAGAUGAUUUUUGAUUUUGAUUAAUAACUUAGUAUAUUCUUGGUCAAAUUCAGUGGAACCGUGUAGUUGUAUAAUCUGUUGUUAUCUAUACAUUCUUCAUGUAGUAGAGAAAUUGAACCAGAAAUCAUAUUAGAAAUCAUGUUUAGACUAUGUGUUGGCACUGUAGGGACACGUAGAGGUCGUGUGCAUGUUGAAUUAUCUGCUAAAUUACUGCUUUGUACUCAAUCACAGUUUUACUUGUUUAUUAUAUCUCAGUCUCUAUUGUUCCUUGCUAUUAUAUUAUAUCACUUCUGUUGGGGCUGACUUUCAUGAUUACUAAGAGGCCGAGAGACUGGAGAGGUUUAUGAGUUAGUGAGGCCGAGGGCCUGAUUGUGAGAUAGUAAUACUAUAGCACAUGAGUUUUCCGUGCGGAUCCAGAUAUUAUACUAUAGCACGUGAGUUAUCCGUGCGUAUUAUAGCGCUUAGGCUGAAGGAGCCCCUCCGGAGUCUGCACAAUGCCCCAGUGAGAGCAGGUACCUACUGAGUGCGAGUGUCGAGUGCUGAGUGAAUGGGAGGGCUGAGUGACAGUGGCCUGAGAGGAUGCAUUUGAUGUCAUUAUUGUUGCACUUAGCUGCCAUGUAUCACUGUCUUGAAAUUUCUGAAAGAUAUUACACUCUGUUUCACUUAAACUAGUCAUGGAAUAACUGUUUGACCGAAUUUAUCGAACUUGAGAGUAUGCCUACUUUCUUAUGUUGAAAUCACUGUAAUUGAACUAUAACGGUGAAGCUCGUCACUACUUUCAGUUCUUUAUUUAGUCUUGUUACUUACUGAGUUGGUUGUACUCAUGCUACACCCUACACCUUGUGUGCAGACCCAGGUUCAUCCGGUCAUGGCGGUUGCUGAGUUGUGGAGUUCAGAUUCUCGGAGACUAUCGAGGUAGUUGCUUGGAGUUUCGUAGACCUUGUUUCUCCUUCCCUAUCUUUCAACUUAUUGUAUUUAGUUUCAGACUGCCAAAGACAAUAUUUUCAGGACUUGUGAUGUAUAGAUGCUCGUGUACUCAGUGACACCCCGAUGUUGGGAAUUUCCGCGUUGUAUUUUGGGUUCCUAUCCUGUUUAUAAAAUCUUUUAUUGUUUAAACUGCUAAAAUGCAUUUUCUGUUAAAAGUGUUGGAAAUAUUUUUGAAUGUCGGCUUGCCUAGUACCACGAUAGGCACUGUCACAACAGGUUAGGAUUUUGGGUCGUGACACAUAGGAACCAUUCCACAACAUCCUGCCCCGAAGACAAAUCAAAGGAGACAAUAACACAGUCUUAAUGCGUUCCAACAAGGACGACGACACCACAUCACAAAUGAGAAUGCAACCAAGUUCGAAAAUAUCAAGCCUCGCUACCCCGUCAACCAAUGCCUCAUCAUCUAGUCCCAUUGCCUAUCCUCUACAGGAACUAAAUGCCGAACCUUUAAACCAUGAAUUGAGAAAUCCUCUUUUCGAGUUAUUCAGUGUCGUGACACAUAAAUACGCACCCUACCAUUUACACCAACACUGCGCGAUAACAACGUAUGAACAUCAUAAUACACUGUGCAUCGCCGCGAAACCAUAGACAACACUAACAUUGUGCUGAAAUGACAGAAAACCCUUCCACAAGGUGACGAUAAUAGCCCACCCGAACACGCAGGGAGAAACAUCCUUCACCAUAUCUACAAUACCACUACAACUCUUCGAUGCCCAAUUGUUAACAAGCGCUCAACAUCAUGUAGGAAUGAGUAGGAAGGAAAUGAAGGUAUAAGCUCCAAUGGAAUCAAAUCGCACGAUAAGGAAUCAAGAAGGGAAGUACUUCUAACAUCCCUAUAGCGUCUCGAAGAUAAGUACAGAUGUCUCUGUACUGAUCCGCAAGACUCUAUUUGACUUGCUCAUGACUCGUGAGACCUAAAUUAACCUAGAGCUCUGAUACCAAGUUGUCACGACCCAAAACCCACUAUAGGUCGUGAUGGUGCCUAGCAUCGCCAUUACGCAAACCAACGGUGAACUAUCACAUUAAUUGUUCAUUUAAUUACUUUCUCACAUUAAUUGUUAAUUUAAUUACUUUCGAAAACAUAAAUUUUUAUUAUGUAAAGAAAUUUACGCAUUUAAAAUUAUGGGUACAUACAUAAUUAGUAAGGCAUAAGAAUAAAAGGUGAUAAUAAUAUGCAAAUCCGUAAACAUCAACUAGAAUAUCCCAAAACCCAGUAUGACAAGUCCAUGAGCAUUUACUAAGGAGUACAAAAAUAAUACAACAUAUGUAUGGAAUAUAAAUUAGACAAGAUAAUGUAAUUAAUAUGAUGGAGACUCGGUGGGCUGUGAUAUGUAGCCUUGAAUGCAGCUCGCCAUAAAGUCUCCUCAGCAGCUGCACCUAUGCGCCAAGAUGACCACCAAAUGAACCUACCAGAUCCUGCACAUUUAGUGCUGAAGUAUAGCAUGAGUACAUAAAUGAACGCGAACCCAGUAAGUAUCUAGCCUAACCCUGAAGAAGUAGUGAGGAGGGGUCAACAUCGACACUUACUAGUGGUCCAAUAAAUCAGUAUGAUAAAUCAUAAACAAAUAUGAAGCACAACAGAAAUAACGAGGAAACACGGUCACAAACAUAAUCCUCCAACAUUCCUUUUGACGAUAUAAAUCUCUAAAAUCUCCUAUGCUAUCUCAACAUAUCAGAAAUAUCAAAUGCAAUCUCAAACGAAUAAGGAAUACCAUAUAAAUGUCAGGCCUUAAUAAAAGGGGAAUCUUAUGAAUAUUCGGACUGCUACCGGUAUCACGCACUAUUAUGCCGAGGUCAUACGACCCGAUCCAGAGUGGUGUGCACACUGCCGAGAGUCGACCGGUGCGAACAAGAGAUGCAUCUCAAUAUACUGCCGAGGCGUUCGUCCCAAUCUACAAGAAAGAAUGAAACUUAUCGAAUUACAAGUUUGGUGCAUACAACACAGGUACAUGAGCAUAAAGUAAACAUGACUUUUACCGUUUAUCAAAUAUCUCACCAAACAAGUGUUUCCUUUGUGUGCAAAACAAAACAAAAAUUAAAAAUAUUUUUUGGGAGUAUCAUUAGUCACCGAGGAGGGGUUGGUUGAAACAACCUAACCCUUAAAGUACACGUGCCGGUGUAGGUGUGAUUGAGGGGUAAAUCCUCGUAUUGAUGUGUUGAGAUUGUUUCCCCUAAAUGGGAUGAGAUUGAGGUGUUGAGAUUAUUCCCCUUUAUUUGGAUGAGAUUGUUUCUAACUUUGGAUCGGAUGUCGACUCACACGGCACAUGUGCGGGGACGGCUUAGCCUAUCGGGCUGAGAUCGGACGCCAUGUUGCGCACUUCGUAGUGUUGUGGGUGGAUGUCUCGGGGUGAUACGGCUUAGCCGAUCGGGCUGAGAUCGGACUCCGUGCUAAGAGCACGGUGGUAUUAUGAUUGGAUGUCUCUGGGUGAGAUGGCCUAGCCGAUCGGGCUGAGGUUGGAUGCCUUGCUAAAAACAUGGUGGUAUAUCGGUGCUAAAAAUCUCCCAACUUAAAACUAAUGACAUUUACUUGGAAAAAGGUUAUUUUCUCCUUAACUUGAUGCUUUUAUUUGGUGCUAAAACAAGAUAACCCGGCUAAGAAAGCCUGUACAAUGCCUUCCACCCAGAAUCACCUAUGAAUAAAGAAGAGAUAUAUUUCAUUAAUAACACAAUGAGAUGGUUACACGAACAAUCCAAAUUUCAUUACCGUUAGAACUUCAUUCAAGAUUUCCCCAAAAUAUUACAUUAUACGUUCAUAGUUUAGAAGUUGAAACAUAUGAUACAAAUACAACAUUUCAAAUUUGACUUCCCAAAACAAAGGUACCACCCGCGCUGUGUCUACGGAGCUACUAAUAGAUACAAAAGAGUAGCAUGAUUGUGCCAGAAAUAAGGCUUCGGCUAUACCUAAAAACAAUAUACACAAAGGACAAGAGAUACAAGACCCCGAAAUGAAAUGGGGCUCACUAAGUCAGCCGAGGAGAGGGUGUACUGCUAUCACUGAUCAAUACCACCUACUAUGGAACCACCUGCAUCCAUUAAAGAUACAGCGCCCCCGACAAAGAGGAUGUUAGUACAUAUGGAAUAGUACUAGUAUGUAAAACUAAACACCCUCUCAAUAGAAUGAGUAACAAUAAAAGGAGAAGGAUACAUGAAAUCAAUAGGAGUCUCAAAUAGUAUCAAGGGGUCAAGUUAGGAGAAAAGUACAUUUCAAGUAAGUUUCAAUAUUUUUAAGUUGGGAGAUCUUUAGUACCGAUAUACCACCGUUAUUUUAGCACAGAUUCCGAUCUCAGCCCGAUUGGCUAAGCAGUCUCAUCAUGAGACAUCCACUCACAACACCACCAUGUGUGCGGCAUGGCGUAUGAUCUCAGCCCGAUCGGCGAAGCCAUCUCACCACAAUUCCGUGUGGGUCGACAUCACAUCACAUCUUGCUAGCAGUAAUCUCAUCCCAUAUAAGGGGAAAUAUCUCAACACAUCCAUCUCACAUCAUAUAAGGGGAAACAAUCUCAUCACAUCAACACGGGGAUUUACCUCUCAAUCACUCCUACACUGGCACGUGUAGUUUCGGGGUUACGUUAUUUUUACCCACCCUUCCUCGGUGACUAAACGAUACUCCCAAAACAUUUAUUAUUUAAAGGAUUUGUAGCUCAUUUCAUAAUCUUUCACACGUCUUUCCAUUUCAUUGGCACUAGUGGCGACAAUUGUAAUAUCAUUCUUGGCACAUCGGUCGUAUUUCAUAUAUCAUACUCACCCCUAUAACUUUCAAUAUUUACCAUGGAUUAUCAUCAAUAAGAGAAUUUUCAAAUCAAGACUUUAAGCACACAUAUGCACAAACGAGACUCUUAAGCACAUUGAGUAUCUCUACCACAAUUAGGCAUGCUAGCUUGCAAUUGAAUCAUGGUUUUUAAAUCACAACACCUUUGAUACAUUGAUCCUACUAGAUUGCAUUUUCGGAGGGAAUCAUGAUAUGAUAGGAGCAUUUGGAGCAAAUUUUGGGUACAUACAUCGUUCAACACAACACUCAUUUUAAAAUAAUCAAAUUUAUUAAGAAGGGCUCGGGACAUGAGACAUAAGAAAUUAAGCUAAUCAUGAUUGCAAACUACUAGGACAUCAUGGAAGUCGAUUCUACAGGAGGAGUUUAGCCAACAUACCUCGCUUUGAGCUUCCUUAAAUUACUACAAUGUUCCGGAAAUCUUAGCAACGUCGAUCUCUUUAGAAACAUAACAAAAUUGAACACAAAUUAGGAGGGUAUGCGUGGUUUCAGCUCAUUUGAGCAUUUUAUCGAACACUAGGUGGGCAUUAUGAUUUCAAGGCCUUCCUAUGGUUGAUUCCUUCAUCCUACAACCCAAAGUCUACCCAUUUGAGCUCAACAACCUUCCCACAAACCUUGAUAGUACAUGCAUGCAUAAAUAACACUCUCACACCCAAGAAUCACACUCCCCAUUAACCAUCUUCUACCCCAAAUUCGAAAUUCAAACUAGGAUGUGGAACCUUACCUCUUGGAUGAAGAACUUGUGAGUUUUCCUUGUGGAUUCUCCAAAUGCUCUCACUCUAGAGAAUUUGCUCACUCUGAAAUAUCAGAUUUUUACCUUACAAAUGGUCCUUACCAUCUAUUUAUCGAAAUAGGGUCGGGUUAUAAAAACCAAAAAAUAGACCCUCCGAACACAGCUCUACGAUCACAGAGUGGACCGCAGAUCAAGUCUGCGGCCCACAAAAUGGACUGUAGAAUUGGUCCCAAAAAUUAGGCUGGUCUGGUCCUGCGACGGAUGUACGGCCCGCAAAACGAUUAUGUGGUUGCAUAGUUUACCGCAAAAAACCUCCAAAUUAUCCUAUUUCUCUACUUCACUCUGUGGUGGAUCUGGGGUCCGCAGAUCAAUUCUGCAAUCGCUUAAUGGACCGCAUAAACGCCCUAUUCUGCAACAAUUUUUCUUCAACUCCCUAACGCUCUACUCAACCCUCCAAUACAUUAGCCUACCUCAGCACCACGAAACCCCAGAUUUAAGGUGAAAGUUAUAUGGGGCCUUACAUUUAUAUUAUUUGAGGCUCUCAUUGAUCUUAGGUUGUUUCUCCUUGUACUAUUACUCUAUUCUUUGAGAGGUUGUUUAGCUUUACAUACUGGUACUAUUCCAUAUGUACUAAUAUCUUUUUUGCCGGGUGCUCUGCAUCUUUAAUGAAUGCAGGUGGUUUGUCAGCACACAACUUUGAUCCUUGUUAGCAGAUACUCUUUAUUCAGUUGGUUUUGGUGAGCCCUACUCUAUUCCGGGCCCAAUGUCACUUGAUGUUGUACUUUGUGCUUUGAGGUAUAGUCGGGGCCUUGUUGCCGGCACAUCCAUACUACUCUUCUGUUGUGCUUAGAGGCUCCGUAGACAUAGUGUGGGUCGUAUCUUGGUUUUGGGAAAGUUAAACUAGAAUGUUGUAUUUGUAUCACAUGUCCCACUUCAAACUAUGAAUGUGUAAUGUAUUUUUGGGAAUUAUAAAUGAAGUAAUAAGUGGCAAUUAAUUGGUGUUACUCACAUGGUCUUCUCAUGUUCUAAUUAAUGAAAUAUAUCUUCUCACUAUUCAUGGGUAAGGUUGGGUAGAAGGCAUCAAGUAGGCUUGCUUGACCACGGUAUCUCGGUAAAGUGCCGGUCGCGCUCCCCGAGGUCGGGUGUGACAAUUAAUAGAUUCUACAAUUUCAACACCAAUAACUCAACAAUGAGAGAUAGUCUAUAACCACGAUGUUAAAUAAGAAUAACUCACAAUGGAAGAGAUAACGUGUUGCAAUGACUUCAAAUAAUGGGAAUCAACAAUUGAAGAGAUAUCAUAAUGAAUAACUUCAAAUAAUGGAAACCAACAAUGAAAAGAUGGCAUGUAACAAUAAAAGAGGCAACAAAUUCAACUAAAGCAUGAGAGCAAUUUAUCAAUUAGGAGGUAGAACAAGUGUUAACAAAAUUAUUUUAGGCAUGUAAGGAUAGAUUAACACAAGUAAGAAUAGAUUGUCUAAUGGAAUUUAGAGCAUGAUAUGGAAUUUCAAUUAAAGCAUGAAAAUAGUCUAAGUAGCCUAAACCGGUCAAAUAUCACAUACAACCCGUGCGCCCACUUGCCACCUUGCGUACACAGAUUCCACUUAGUACAAUUGAAAUAAACAAAUACCAAUCUGUUACACCCUAUAUUUUCGUACGUAAAAGUGUGUCGUGAGCAAACUAAUGUAGGACCAAAAAUGAGAUCAUCUUUGAAAAUAUAUGAAGUAAGUUAACCAUGUUACCUCGUAGGUUACAAAUAUUGAAGAUCGUGAACAACAAGUGCAAAGAGGGUUGGAAGGUUCAGAAGCUAAAGGAAUUGAAGAAAAUAAUGUUUCGUCGAAAGUCGACAAGUUCGGAAUGUUAUAACAUGUACUUGUGAGGUGAGACCAGGGUAUUUAACAUGAUAAGGAGGUUAUGUUAUGAGUUAUGUUAGUUGUAUAAUAGUCGCGUGUUAUGUUUUGAAGUCAAGUGAGUGGUGGAACAAAAGUCGAUGAAAGUCAUCACAAGUUACGUUCAUAAGUUUUACUGAAACUUUGGGUCAAAUGUAACUGAGAUUUUCUCCUAAUAUACUUAGAGUUAUGGGGUUUUCCACCCAUAAAAUUAAAUAUCUAUGAGUCAAUUUUCUAACUCAUUAAGCCGUUUGUCAAUAUGAUAUCGGAGUAGAGAUAUAUGGCCAUUUUUGCGAGACUGCGCAGACUGUCAACUACUGGCCAGUUCGGGUCGUUCAAAGAGGCCUUUUUAAAGGCCUAUACCCUUAAUAUAUUAGACUUAUAAUAGGAAAAAAUAAUCAGACUUAAUCUCUGCAAAAAUCCUCCCAAAUAUUUCCCACAAACCCCAGUUGAUUUUCUCUCCCUUUCAAAGUUCUAAUUGGAGGUAAAGCCUAGAGUUUGAAGAACCAAGAUAGGAGCUGAGUUAUCCAACAAAUAAGGUAAGUUUAUUGCUCUCUUUCAUAUAUUUUUUUUUAUGUUGUAGAUGCAUAGUAAGUUGUUCUAUAUUUGUAAGAACUCACGGGAUGGUGAUCGGAAGCCGUGAGUUCGAGUUAUUCACUUGUAGCGGACUCUUUUAUGGACUGUUUGGUGUUGUUUUUGGGCUGCGUAUUUUACUAUUGUUUUGUGGAGUUUUAGAGGAUUAAGGGUGUGGAGAAACACCACAUAAAUUCAUGAUGUUGGGAUGGUCAUUCGUCAUAACAUUUUCAAGUUGUUGACACUACUACGGUGGUCGUUUUGUGUAUGAAGAGAUUGGGGUGUGUUGGGCUAUUUUGUAGUAUUUUGUGGUGUAAAUAAGAUUGGAAAAUAAUGUAUAUAUGUUGUUAUUGUUGUUUUUAGUGUUGUUGGUAUUAUCAUGAAUUUGGAGGAAGUAAGGAUUAUAGGGGAGAUGCUGUCCGUUUUAAUACAAAAUAAGCUUGUCGUUCGUUGUGCGAUAGUUGUACCUUUCGUAACUUAAUGAUAGUAUUAUUAUUGUUGUUGUAGAUUAUGGUGAGAAGAUGCGAGUUCAACUUGGUGAUUGGAAAGAAUGUGAUAAGGUAUGUUAAGGCUAAGCCCUUCCUUCAUUUUAGCAUGAUCUCGUAGCUACAUGUGUUGAUAAUGAGACAUAAAGAGAAGUUCGUAUUCAUGAAUUUAUUUACAUUACUCUAGUCUCAUAAGUUACAGUAUUAUUCCUUAUUGAGACGUUAUAUUCAAUUUAGUAUUGUCUUCUUCCAGUCAAAAGAGCAGAGGGUCUAUAUAUAUACAGUAUUACUGUGGCCGAGUGCCUAUGAGUGAGCCCAGGAUGGUCGAGAAAUAGAGCCUAGUAUUGCCGAGUGCCUAUGAGCGAGCCUACUACGGCCAAGCAGUUGCACGUACCGAGCCUUAUAGGGCCGGACAUUUAUUUUACUUAGUAUAUUGAAGGAGUUGAGUUACUAUCAGCAGGUAAGUAUAUCUCCCGAUCAUCUUUGACUCCCAGUUACUUUCAGUUAUUAUAUUAUCAGUUCAGUUUUAGCUUUCAGUUAUUUUAUUGCCUUAUAUACUCAGUACAUUAUUUUGUACUGACAUCCUUUUUCUAGGGACACUGCAUUUCAUACGUGCAGGUUCAGAUAGACAGACGGGUAGACCUCCUCAGUAGGUGUUUCCAGAGUUCAGCUUGAUCGGUAAGCUCCACGUCCUUCGGAGUUAUCGGGUCUAGGUUUUUGUGUACAUCUUCUUUAUGUAUAUAUAUAUGUUAUGGGUAGGUCGGAACCCUGUUCCGAUCAUAAUACAUCCAUUAGUAGAGGCUUGAAGACAUAUCUUGUUAGCUAGUGCAGUAUGUUGGCCUUGUAGGCCUGGUAUGUAUAUAUUGUUGGUUUGUCAGCUGUAGUAGUUAUGACGGCCUUGUCGGCCCAGCUCUAUAUUGAUGUUUAGUCAGCUCUAGUUUCCGUUUAGUUUUAUAUUUUGCUUCGCAAAGUGACUUGAAAUGUUGCCCCAUGGCCAGAUUAUGACAUUAUAUAUUCAGAGUCCCUUAGUCGUAAGUUGGUACGCUAGGUUAGGUAAGGCACGGGGUGCCGGACUUGCCCUCCCAGGUUCGGGGCAUGACAAACUUGGUAUCAGAGCAGUUCUGUCCUAGGCAGUCUACAAGCCGUGUUUAGUAAGGUCUUAUUUAUAGAUAUGUUNNNNNNNNNNNNNNNNNNNNNNNNNNNNNNNNNNNNNNNNNNNNNNNNNNNNNNNNNNNNNNNNNNNNNNNNNNNNNNNNNNNNNNNNNNNNNNNNNNNNNNNNNNNNNNNNNNNNNNNNNNNNNNNNNNNNNNNNNNNNNNNNNNNNNNNNNNNNNNNNNNNNNNNNNNNNNNNNNNNNNNNNNNNNNNNNNNNNNNNNNNNNNNNNNNNNNNNNNNNNNNNNNNNNNNNNNNNNNNNNNNNNNNNNNNNNNNNNNNNNNNNNNNNNNNNNNNNNNNNNNNNNNNNNNNNNNNNNNNNNNNNNNNNNNNNNNNNNNNNNNNNNNNNNNNNNNNNNNNNNNNNNNNNNNNNNNNNNNNNNNNNNNNNNNNNNNNNNNNNNNNNNNNNNNNNNNNNNNNNNNNNNNNNNNNNNNNNNNNNNNNNNNNNNNNNNNNNNNNNNNNNNNNNNNNNNNNNNNNNNNNNNNNNNNNNNNNNNNNNNNNNNNNNNNNNNNNNNNNNNNNNNNNNNNNNNNNNNNNNNNNNNNNNNNNNNNNNNNNNNNNNNNNNNNNNNNNNNNNNNNNNNNNNNNNNNNNNNNNNNNNNNNNNNNNNNNNNNNNNNNNNNNNNNNNNNNNNNNNNNNNNNNNNNNNNNNNNNNNNNNNNNNNNNNNNNNNNNNNNNNNNNNNNNNNNNNNNNNNNNNNNNNNNNNNNNNNNNNNNNNNNNNNNNNNNNNNNNNNNNNNNNNNNNNNNNNNNNNNNNNNNNNNNNNNNNNNNNNNNNNNNNNNNNNNNNNNNNNNNNNNNNNNNNNNNNNNNNNNNNNNNNNNNNNNNNNNNNNNNNNNNNNNNNNNNNNNNNNNNNNNNNNNNNNNNNNNNNNNNNNNNNNNNNNNNNNNNNNNNNNNNNNNNNNNNNNNNNNNNNNNNNNNNNNNNNNNNNNNNNNNNNNNNNNNNNNNNNNNNNNNNNNNNNNNNNNNNNNNNNNNNNNNNNNNNNNNNNNNNNNNNNNNNNNNNNNNNNNNNNNNNNNNNNNNNNNNNNNNNNNNNNNNNNNNNNNNNNNNNNNNNNNNNNNNNNNNNNNNNNNNNNNNNNNNNNNNNNNNNNNNNNNNNNNNNNNNNNNNNNNNNNNNNNNNNNNNNNNNNNNNNNNNNNNNNNNNNNNNNNNNNNNNNNNNNNNNNNNNNNNNNNNNNNNNNNNNNNNNNNNNNNNNNNNNNNNNNNNNNNNNNNNNNNNNNNNNNNNNNNNNNNNNNNNNNCGUGCUAUAGAACUGAGUUAUAGGAAAAUUGAGUUAAACUUACGUGUUGGUGUUUGCAUACAUAGAUGACGGUGACUAGGAAGACUAUGGCUAGCCAGAGGGGAGCUACAACAACAUGUGAGGGGAGUAACCCCAGUAGAUGGAUCCCAGUCUGAGGCCCAAAGCGAGACCCCAAUUUAGCCAUUACCGGCUCCUCCACCACCUGAGGAGAUUCUUAGGGAUACCGCACAUCCAGUUCCUUCUCCACUUCCAUCGGAUCAGGAUUUGAGGAGUAUGGUGCAUUUGUUGACACAGUUGGUAGCUGCCCAACAACAAGCUAGGGAAUCAGCUAGUGUAGAUUCUUCUGAGGGGUCUGGGAGUUCAAGGGUCCGAGAGUUUAUUGCUUUGAGUCCCCCAGAGUUCACGGGGACAGAUCAGAGGGAGGACACAUAGGAUUUUAUAGAUCAGCUUCACAGGAUCUUUCGGGUUAUGCAUGCCACGGAGAAAGAGCCAGUUGAGCUAGCAGCUUUUCGACUCCGAGAUAUAGACAUCCUUUGGUACGAGGGAUGGGAGAAGUCAGGGCACGUGAUGCACCUCCAGCUAUUUGGGAGAAUUUUUCAGAUGCCUUCCUUGACCAGUACUUUCCACGGGAGAUCCGACAGGCUCGGGUCGAUCAGUUUCUAGCCCUCAAGCAGGGCAAUAUGAGUGUUCGAGAGUAUAGUCUCUGUUUUGACUCAUUGGCUAGAUAUGCACCAUCCAUAGUUGCCACUAUGCAGGGCAGGAUCAACAGGUUUAUAGUAGGGUUAGCCCUAGAGUUGACUGAGUCAUGUGCCACCGCUGCAUUGCAGGAUAGUAUUGAUAUCUCCCCGAUUCAAGCAUUAGCUCAAAAUAUAGAAAGGGGUAGGUGUCGGCAGCAGGGUAUAGAGAGGACUGAGCAAGGGCAGCGUAAGAGGAUAAGAUUUCCCAGGUCUCAGGAGCAGUCUCAGGGUACUUAUAGUCCUCAGUUACAGGGUUACAGGUAUGACCGCUAUACUCAAUCAGGACCGGGUGAGAGCUCAUGGGCAUCGGGUUUGCAGCGACAGCGAGGUUCAAGGCAGACAUGGUCAUUUCCUCCGCGGUGUGACAUCUGUGGUAGAGGACACCUGGGCCAAUGCCGAGCAGGUUUUGAUGCUUGUUAUACAUAUGGGCGUCCGGGGCAUAUGAUGCAAGAUUGCCCAAAUAGAGAUUCUGCUGGUAUUACACAACCAGCAAGUUCAGCAACACGAUCAUCUAUGUCCAUGCAUCCUUCAGGGCGCGAGUCUGAGUCUUCGGCUGGUAGAGUUCGAGGCAGAGGUAGAGGUUCUAGUUCAGGUGUUAAUCAGAACCGUAUCUAUGCUUUAGCGGGUCGACAGGACCAGGAGUCUUCACCAGACGUUGUGAUAGGUAUAUUGACCAUUUUCUAUCACGAUGCUUAUGCCUUGAUAGACCUAGGAUCUACUUUAACUUAUAUUACCCCAUUUGUCGCUGGGAAGUUUGCUAUAGUGCCUGAAAUACUAAGUGAUCAUUUUGCGGUAUCUACACCAGUCGAAGAAUCAUUUAUUGCUAGACGGGUUUACCAAGGUUGUACGGUGACAGUUUGUAGUCGUCAGACUUCAGCCGACCUAGUUGAUCUAGGGAUGAUGGAUUUUGAUGCUAUCAUGGGCAUGGACUGGUUGGCAGUUUGCUAUGCCACAGUUGAUUGUCGAGCAAAGGCAGCCAGAUUUCCUUGAAUGGGUAGGUAAUAUAGCGAAACCCAGAGGUAGGUUUAUUUCCUAUCUGAAGGCGUGGAAAAUGAUCGCAAAAGGGUGCAUUUAUCAUAUUCUGCGAGUUAGAGAUGCAGAUGCUGAGAUACCUACACUUCAUUCUAUUCCCGUAGUGAAAGAGUAUGCAGAUGUGCUUCCAGAUGAGCUUUAAGGUAUUCCUCUAGAGCGAGAGAUUGAUUUUAGCAUCGAUUUUCUUCUAGGAACUCAACCAAUAUCCACCCCUCCGUAUAGAAUGGCAUCUUCCGAAUUAAAGGAGUUGAAGGAGCAGUUAAAAGAUUUGUUGGAGAAAGGUUUCAUCAAGCCCAGUACCUCACCUUGGGGUGCACCGGUACAAUUUGUGCCGAAGAAAGACGGUUCGCUGAGGAUGUGUAUCGAUUAUAGGUAGCUGAACAAGGUAACUAUUAAGAAUAAGUAUCCACUUCCAAGGAUCGAUUACUUGUUUGAUCAGUUGCAGGCGGCUAGAUUAUUUUCAAAGAUAGAUUUGAGAUCGGGAUAACACCAAGUCAGUGUUCGGGAGAAAUAUAUUCCAAAAACAGCCUUCAGGACCCGAUAUGGCCACUUCGAGUUCCUUGUCAUGUCCUUCGGGUUGACGAAUGCACCCGCCAUAUUUAUGGACUUGAUGAAUAGCCUCUUCCGGCCAUUUUUAGAUUUGUUCGUGAUAGUAUUUAUUGAUGAUAUUCUAUUUUAUUCAAGUUCAGAGGAUGAGCAUGUGGACCACCUGUGAGGGGUACUCCAAACCCUCCAUGAUCGUAAGUUGUAUGCUAUGUUUUCUAAAUGUGAGUUCUGGUUGAAGUCUAUAGCAUUCUUGGGGAAUAUCGUAUCCGAUGAAGGUAUAAAGGUAGACACUUAGAAGAUUGAGGCCGUGAAAUCUUGGCCUAGACCUACCACUCCGACAGGGGUUUGUAGCUUUCUAGGCUUAGCAGGAUACUAUCGGAGGUUCGUAGAAGGAUUUUCUUCCCUUUUGGCACCAUUGACGAAGUUGAAGCAGAAAGCAACUAAGUUUCAGUGGACGGAGGCUUGCAAGCAGAGUUUCCAAGAGCUUAAGAACAGGUUGAACUCAACGUCAGUUCUAACACUUCCAGAGGGUCCAGAGGGUUAUGCCGUGUAUUGUGAUGCCUAAGGUAUCGGGUUAGGAUGUGUCCUGAUGCAACAUAGGAAGGUAAUUUCAUAUGCUUCAAGGCAGUUAAGGAAGCACGAGAAGAAUUAUCCAAUCCAUGACCUUGAGUUAGCUGCGGUUAUCCAUGCACUUAAGAUAUGACGGCAUUAUUUAUAUGGUGUUCAUGUUGAUAUAUUUACAGAUCAUAAAAGUCUGCAAUAUAUAUUCAAGCAAAAAGAGUUGAAUUUGUGACAGAGGUGAUAACUUGAGUUAUUGAAAGAUUAUGAUGUUAACAUUCUCUAUCAUCCAGGGAAAGCUAAUAUUGUAGAAGAUGCCUUAAGUAGACGAUCUAUGGGUAGCUUAGCACAUGAAAGGGCCGAGAACAGACAAUUAACUAGAGAGAUUCAUCAAUUGUCUUAUUUGGGGGUUCGGUUAAUAGAUUCCGAUGAUGGUGGAGUUGUACUCUAAAACACUGCAAAAUAUUCUCUCAUAGCUGAAGUCAAGGAAAGGCAGUACGAGGACCCAGAGUUGGUCGAGUUGAGAGAGCGAUUUCCGCAGCAGAAGAAGCUGUUGUUAGAGCUCAAGGGAGAUGGGUUCUCAUAUAUAGGGGUCGUCUCUAUGUUCCAGAUGUAGCAGGGCUACGAGACAGGAUUAUGUCAGGGGCACAUUAUUUGUGGUACUCCAUUCAUCCUGGGUCGACGAAGAUGUAUCAUGACAUUAAGGAUGUAUACUGGUGGAACGAUAUGAAGAAGAACAUUGCUGAGUUUGUCACCCAGUGUCCUAGUUGCCAGCAGGUGAAGGCUGAGCAUCAGAAGCCCGGAGGGCUAAUGCAGAGUAUAGGGAUCCCGACGUGGAAAUGGGAGGCGAUAAACAUGGACUUUGCCAUGGGUUUACCUCUUUCUCAUCGUAAGUUCGAUUUUAUAUGGAUGAUAGUCGAUAGGCUCACAAAAUUAGCUCAUUUCCUACCAGUCAUAUCUACAUAUACAGUUGAAGAUUAUGUAAAGUUAUAUAUUAAGGAGAUAGUGCGGCUGCACGGAGUACAAGUAUCUAUUAUAUCUGACCGCGAGGCUCAGUUUAUAGCACAUUUGUGGAGGUUAUUUCAGAGAGGUCUAGGGACUCAGGUGAAUCUUAGAACAGCUUUUCAUCCACAAACUGAUGUACAAGACGAGCGUAGAAUUUAGAUGCUCGAGGAUAUAUUACGAGCAUGUGUGUUGGAUUUUAAAAGAAUUUGGGAUGAACAUCUACCUCUUGUCGAGUUUGCAUAUAAUAACAGUUACCACUCCAGUAUCCAGAUGGCUCCGUACGAGGCUUUGUAUGGGUGUAUGUGCAGAUCUCCUAUAGGGUGAUUUGAUGUUGGAGAAUCUAGGUUACAUGGGCCAGACCUAGUUCAGCAAGUCGUAGAGAAAGUAAAGCUUAUCUGGGAGCGACUGUUGACAGCUCAGAGUCGUCAGAAGUCAUAUUCUGACAUGCGGCGACGAGACUUAGAGUUCGAGGUUAAUGAAUGGGUAUUCUUAAAGGUAUCCCCUAUGAAGGGCGUAUUAAGGUUUGGCAAGAAAGGUAAGCUUAAGCCACGCUAUAUUGGGCCUUAUAGGAUCAUUCGGAGAGUGGGUCAAGUAGCUUAUGAGUUAGAAUUGCCCUGAAAAUUGGAGUCAGUCCAUCCAGUUUUUCACGUAUCUAUGCUAUGGAAAUGCAUUGGCGAUCCUACCAGAGUGGUUCCCAUAGAUGAUGUACAAAUUACGGAGGACUUGUCAUAUGAGGAAAUUCCCGUUGCCAUCCUAGACCGACAAAUCCACAAGCUACGAAAUAAGGAGGUAGCCUUCGUGAAGGUUUAAUGGAGAAGCAAGAAUGUGGAUGUGGGAAGCGGAGGAAGAAAUGAAGUCUAAAUACCCCUACCUAUUUCAAACUGAAGAUAUGGCUCGAUAUGGGAUGCUACAACACAACUCUAUUCAUGCUAGUAGGUCAUCAAGUAAGCUCUUAUUUCUUGACUUUCAGUAUUUAUAAUUUACGACUAUGUGAGACAAAGUGUUACUAUUUAUAGACAUUGGCGAGGUGUGGAAUGCAUAGUAUAUUUUCUGGCUGCAUGCAGGUUGGUUUUAGUCUAGUGUACGGAGGAGACUCAGGCAAAAAAUUUCCAAAGUCUCUAAGAGUAAACAUUCGAAGACGAAUUCCCAAGGGGGGAAUGAUUUUACACCCUAUAUUUUCGUACGUAAAAGUGCAUUGUGAGCAAACUAAUAUAUGAUCAAAAAUGAGAUCAUCUUGGAAAAUAUAUAAAGCAAGUUAACCAUGUUACCUCCUAGGUAACAAAUAUUGAAGAUCAUGAACAACAAGUACAAAGAGGGUUGGAAGGUUUAGAAGCUAAAGGAAUUGAAGAGAAUAAUGUUUCGUCGAAAGUCGACAAGUUGGGAAUUUUAUAACAUGUACUUGUGGGGUGAGACCAGGGUAUUUAACAUGAUAAUGGGGUUACGUUAUGAGUUAUGUUAGUCCUAUGAUAGUCGUGUGUUAUGUUUUGAAGUCAAGCGAGUGGUGGAACAAAAGUCAAUGCAAGUCAUCACAAGUUACGUUCAUAAGUUUUACUGAAACUUUAGGUCAAAUGUAACUGUGAUUUUCUCCCAAUCUACCUAGAGUUAUGGGGUUUUCCACCCAUAAAAUUAAAUAUCUAUGAGUCUAUUUUCUAACUCAUUAAACCGUUUGUCAAUACGAUAUCAGAGUAGAGAGAUAUGGGCGUUUUUGCGAGACUGCGCAAACUGUCACCUACUUGCUUUAAUGAGAAUCCAAAUAUGGGCCAGUUCGGGUCAUUCAAAGAGGCCUUUUUAAAGGCCUAUCCCCUUAAUAUAUUAGACUGAUAAUAGGGAAAAAUAACAAGACUUAAUCUCUGCAAACAUCCUCCCAAAUAUUUCCCAAAAACCCCAAUUGAUUUUCUCUGCUGUAGAUGCAUAGUAAGUUGUUCUAUAUUUGUAAGAACUCACGGGAUGGUGAUCGGAAGCCGUGAGUUCGAGUUAUUCACUUGUAGCGGACUGUUUUGUGGACUGUUUGGUGUUGCUGUUGGGCUGCAUGUAUUUCUAUUGUUUUGUGGAGUUUUGGAGGAGGAAUGGUGUGGAGAAACACCACAUAAAUGCAGGAUGUUGGGUUGGUCGUUCGUCGUAACAUUUUCGGGUUGUUGACACUACUACGGUGGUCGUUUUGUGUAUGAAGAGAUUGGGGUGUGUUGGGCUAUUUUGUAGUANNNNNNNNNNNNNNNNNNNNNNNNNGUGCAAUAGUUGUACCUUUUGUAACUUAAUGAUAGUAUUAUUAUCGUUGUUGUAGAUUAAGGUGAGAAGCGGUGAGUUAAACUUGGUGAUUGGAAAGAUUGUGGUAAGGUAUGUUAAGGCUAAGCCCUUCCUUCAUUUUGGCAUGAUCUCUUAGCUACAUGUGUUGAUAAUGAGACAUAAAGAGAAGUUCGUAUUCAUGAAUUUAUUCACAUUACUCUAGUCUCAUAAGUUACAGUAUUAUUCCUUAUCGAGACUCUAUAUUCAAAUUAGUAUUGUCUUCUUCCAGUCAAGAGAGCAGAGGGUCUAUAUAUAUACAGUAUCACAGUAUUUUCACCACUAUCGAGCUAUAAUCGGUGGGCAGGCCCCUAUUGGGCAUCCUUUGAUCAGAUGGUAGGUUAUAUACCGAGCCUAUUGUGGUCGAGCGCUUAUGAGUGAGCCCAAGAUGGCCGAGAUACAGAGCCUAGUAUGGCCGAGCGCCUGUGAGCGAGCCUACUACGGCCGAGCAGUUACACGUACCGAGCCUUAUAGGGUCGGACAUUUAUUUUACUUACUAUAUUGAAGGAGUUGAGUUAGUAUCAGCAGGUGAGUAUAUCUUCAGAUCAUCUUUGACUCCCAGUUACUUUCAGUUAUUAUAUUAUCAGUUCAGUUACAGCUUUUAGUUAUAUUAUUGCCUUAUAUACUUGGUAUAUUAUUUUCUACUGACGACCCUUUUCUGGGGACGCUGCAUUUCAUGUGUGCAGGUUCAGAUAGACAGACGGGUAGACCUCCUCAGUAGGUGUUUCCAAAGUUCAGCCUGAUCGGUAAGCUCCACAUCCUUUGGAGUUAUCGGGUCUAGGUUUUCGUGUACAUCUUCUAUAUGUAUGUAUAUAUGUUAUGGGUAUGUCAGGGCCCUGUUCCGAUAACAGUACAUCCAUCAGUAGAGGCUUGUAGACAUAUCAUGUCAGCUAGUGCAGUAUGUUGGGCUUGUAGGCCUGAUAUGUAUAUAUAGUUGGUUUGUCAGCUGUAGUAGUUAUGACGGCCUUGUCGGCCAGUUUCAUUUUAGUUUUAUAUUUUGCUUCGCAAAGUGUCUUGACAUGUGGCCCCAUGGCCAAAUUAUGACAUUAUAUGUUCAGAGUCUUUUAGUUGUAAGUUGGUACGCUAUGUUAGGUGAGGCACCAGGUUCCAGUCUUUCCCCCCAAGUUCGGGGCGUGACACAAUCCUAAGGGUUAGUUCCCCCACACGAAGUUAGGCAAGACACUCACCUCAACUAAGCCAAUUCAAGACUCGAAAAUAGCUUUUCCCUUAAAAUCUGCUUCCACGCGGCUCAAAUCGAAAACAAAAAUCGACUUAAUAUCACCAAACAAUGCUAGGGAAUUCAAUUGCAAUAAAUAAAGCUAAAGUCUUUACACUUUUCUCAAAAAGUCAACAAACGUCAACCUAGGGCUCGCCCGGUCAAAACCCGGGUCCAAUGGUAGAUUUCGUCUACCCAUGAUCCCACGAGUCCAUAUAUGUGAUUAGUUUCAAAAUCCUAGUCAAAAUCGACUCUCAAAACUCAAUUUCUUAUUUUUCAAAAACAUGACAAUGUUUCAGAAAUUUUCACUUCGAUUCACAUGAUUUUGAUGUUAAACUCUAAGAUAUGUUGAUGGAAUAUGAUUAGAAAUAGAUUAGAAUUACUUGCCCAAGGUUUGUAGGUGAAAAUUCCCUCUCCAAAUUGCCUCCUACCGAGUCUCGGUUUCAAAAAUGAGAGAUAAAUCCUAACUUUCAAACCUUAUGUUCAACUGCAGUUAUCGCAAUUGCAUUAUAGGUUCGCAAUUGCGAAGAAAACCUAGCAAAUCCGAAACUAAAGGACUGGGAAGCUCUUCACAAAUGCGUAUAUGGGUUCAUAUUUGCGAACCCUGCUGCCCUUGCAAAGGCGACAUUUUGGUCGCAAAUAAAAUCCAGGCCAUUUUGCAAUUGCGAGCCUAGCAUCGCAGUUGCGACACCUGAGCCGCCCGACCCCUAAGCUGGCAAAUGCGGCCCUGGUGUUCGCAAUUGCGACACCAGAGCACCAUACACCAAUUUUCUUGCGAUUUCAGUCCAAAACACUCUAGAACAUGUCCGAAACUCAUCUGAGCCCUCCAGGCUCCAAACAAAACAUCCACACAAGUCUAAAAACAUCCUACGAACUUGCUCACGUGAUCAAAACAUAAAAAUAACAUCAAAAACCAUGAAUUGAACUCUAAAAUGCAUGAAAUUCAUGGAAAGUUUGAGAACUCCGAGAAUUACAACUAAACGUCUGAAUCCUAUCAAAUCAACUCCGAAUGAUACCAAAUUUUGCAGACAAGUUCUAAAUGCUAUAACAGACCUAUUCCAGGUCCCAAAUUCAAAUUCCAAGUUUGAUAGCUAAAAGUCAACCUACAGUCAAAAUUUUCAACUUUAAAUUGCCAAAUUUUGGAAAAUCAACAUAAAUCAACCUACGGACUUCCAAAAUCAUUUUCGGACUUACGCCCAAGUCUGAAAUCACGAUACGAAGCUAUUAGAGUAAAAAAAAA
rnacentral:lncRNA from 1 species